CCAGACGGUUUAAUUAGCACAGGCCAUCCUACCAGUACACUUUUUUUUAACUACCAUCAUUUUACACUUUAUUUACUGCUCAUUGAUGCUCUGUUCGUAUAGUAUCAUAACCAAAAUUGCCCUACACUCUUUAGCAUGUUGCUGUUAACUGUUCUAUGUUAUUCCUCACGGUGUUGUUCUAUAUACACCUCAUAGAAAGAGCAUAUAAUUAUGAAUACAAAUCUUGGUUUCCAGGAUGGCGAGCCAGCCAGCCGCAAACAGCGCUCGCCCAGCCACGGUGCAGAUACGCGGGCAACCUGUCGAACAGAAGACGAGCUGCUGCUCUUCUUGAAAUGCAGGCAGCCGCCAUCCAUGUUACCCAAAUGGAGACGCAAACUUGGCCGCGCCAUCCUUGAGUCCAUGCUUCUACAUAGGCCUACUACAUCUUACACCUUCAUUCCAUUCUUUCUAGUGUACUUAUUAGCUCUUGAAUCGUUGGACUUGUAACACCGGAUGGAGUUUGGAGACAGUAUCUUCUUCUAGUUGUGUAUCUUGAAUGGUUAUAUGUUACGAUUUGCAGCUGUUGCUUUUCUUCCCUAAAUUUAAGGCGAUUUCUACUUUUACUUGACCAAAAUGUUCGGUUCUUCAAAAUAUUAUCUGACAGUAUGCUUAUCUUUGUGGUAAAAAAGGUCCUGGUUAUAGUUUUCAAGGUGACUUGUUGAUUGUUGAAGGCAGCAUUAGGAAUGUGCACAACAUGACAAGUUAAUUGCCAACAUUAAAUCAGUUGGGGCAUGUUUGGUUGCCUGCAUCUUUUGUCUCAGUGGGCCAGGUUGAGUUGCCUGUAUUUGUGCUAUUGGUAUGCAAAGCAGAGCUGUUUUGCUCAUCCCGUGGUGGUCUUACACACAAAUGCAGCACUUCAUAUCAUACAUAACAUAAGAACAACAUAAUACAAUUAACAGUACAAAUAAAAACAAUAGCUAAAUAGUUCAGAAUAGCUAAUUAGACCAUAGUUUAAGACAUCAAAGGCAUCCCAUGCCCCUGCACGACCCUAGGGUGUUGAACCCUGAGCAAAAUAUAUAGUUUUGCACUAAGUUGAGCAAAAUAUACAGUUUUGCAGUAAGUUCAGACGAUCAAGCCUAGCCCGGAGAGCCACAUGACGAGCAAGUCGCUGUGGAUGAUUGUGUGGCGCCGACAGAAGUAGUCUCAACUGCUCCCGAGCACCAUCUGCCCCUGAAAUGUAUGGCCCUACACCUAGAACUCACACCACUUGUUGGCAGAGGCUGACAACACCAGGAGGGUUGACGACUGCCAUUUCUUUAUCACCGUCCUAAAGGCAGGCGGGAUGACCAGCAUGGUGAUCUCUUCCUCGUUCUUGAUUUGCACGUAGAACCCGACUGACGUCCGUGUAUAUAGAGUAAAUUGCUCAAAGCCACUACAUUUGUGGCUAGAGUACUCUAAAACCACCACUUUUGCCAGAAAUCACAAAAAACCACCACUUCCGCGGCAAGUGAGUAACAAAUCACACUGAUUUGGAAUUGAACGCAUCUAACAGCAAAACUGACAUGUGGGACCCGUCUAUCCGGGCUGAUGUGGCAAAGACUAGUCCUAGUCAAUGGUUGACCUGCUAAGGUGGACGGGGGUCCUACCUGUCAGCCGCACCUAUUGUCUUCUCUCUCCUCUCCUUCUUCUCGAUAAAGCGGAAUCCCAGCCGCCACGCCAUGGCCGGCGCAGAGAGAAGCAGGCCGCGCCCGCCUAGCUCCCCUCCUUCUCCUAAUCCAGCGGAAGGCGCCCGCCGGUGCCGGAGCUCUACGCCGCCGGUGGCGCCACGCCCUGCCUCCCCCAUUUCUCCUAGAUCCGGUGGGAUCCCAGCGCCGGCAAGCCAAGGUCGGGCGAACUCCUCCUAGCCUCGACGCCCCGCCCCGCUACGACAGCCACUGCUGCUGGCCAUGGCCAGAGGCGAGCUCCUUCCCCUCACGCCACAGGCAACCUCUCCCAUCCUUGUCUUCCUCGCGAGCGCUGGCACGAGAGCCACGGGAGCCAGAGGCGGGGAAGAUGUGCUGCUCGCCAUGGCAACGCUGGUGGCGGCGACGCACCGGGAACCCCAAGGCGCGGCUAGCGGACUUCUUCGCAGGCUUCGGCUCCGGCGGCGUGCUGGUGGCGCGCGACACCGACGACGCGCGUCGACUCUCUCCCUGUCUUCCUCGCGAGCGCCGACACGAGAGCCACAUGAGCCAGGGCGGGGAAGGUGUGCUGCUCACCGUGGCAACGCUGCUGGCGGCGGCGCACCGGGAACCCCUAGGCGCAACUAGCGGACUUCUUCGCAGCCUCCGGCGUGCUGGUGGCCACGGCACCGACGACGCACGUCGACUCUUCUCCGCGGAGGACGCGCUAGUGAGUGGGGAGGCCUGGUGAGAGGGGACCGGCUCGCCGUGCGCAGAGGAGGGGCGGAGCUCGUCGAGGUGCGGACGGAGGGGCAACAUCGCCGGAGAAGUGCUGGACCGACGGAGUAGGUGUUGUGCGUGCACAUGAAGUACUCGACGAAAUGCCAGAGCCUAGUCACCUGUCUACGUGUUUAUUCUUUGCCAAGUCAGCCUGCAUGUGGGCCAGGCAUGUCAGUUUUUCACUUAGUCACGGCUGACAGCUCGUUUAGUGCAUUUUGUUACUCACUUGCCGCGGAAGUGGUGGUUUUUUGUGAUUUCUGACAAAAGUGGUGGUUUUGGAGUACCCUAGUCACAAAUGUGGUGGCUUUCAGCAAUUUACUUGUGUAUAUACGGUUCAAAUCUCGUUUUUAUACAUCCAUCCAUACGCUGAUGAGGCAUGCUAGGGUGUCAGGGACAAGGCGUGUGGCCUGCUUUUGUUUUGCGGAAAACCCCCCAAAAUAGUUGUUUUCUUAUAAAAAAGGCCCUCAAAGAAAAACUAAUAAAUUGUAAAAUUAACUAUUAAUCAAUUUAUAAUAUCUAAAAAUAGUCCGGGGUUCGAACCAGCGACAGAGGUGUGCGUGGCUAGCCAGCUGACCGGUUCAAAUUUGAAGGUGUUUGGUUCGCAAUUUUACACCCGGUAUCUGAUUACAUCGCAAACCGAUACCGUUAAUCGUGUUUGCUUCGCUUUGCAGAUCCCACAUAGACACGUCCCAUCACAGUUUACGUUACAGCCAGAGCGAGCCGACUCGGGCGAAUUCUUCUGGCUUCGAUCCCCAAUCCCGGCCCAGUCCCGUGCUAGCUGCCUAGACGUGGGGUUCCUGUUUGUUUCAUUUCUUUUUACGCUGGGGCUCUCAUUUUCUUGCCGGUAUCCAUUACCGUUAGACACUUAACCAAACAAGAAUGGAUUUUGGCCGAUAUCGUUUACAUCAACGGAGUAAACCCAUUACGUUUACGUUUCCGUUCCACUUCUGGAACCAGACACCUUAGUGUUAAGAAAGGAUUCGUAUGAUCCUAAAAAAAAGGAAUCGUAUACUUUGUAAACAUAAAGCUGAACGACAUAAACUAAACUUUUUUAUUCGCAGCCGCCCAUACUACUCCGACCGACAACAUCAGAUGGCAAAAUGAUAGAUUUAGGUUUAUGACAUAACGAGCCCUUCCUGAAGGCGUUGCUGUUGAAGAAUCCCGUCAUUCGCGCGGUGCCAUGACAUAGUUGAUGCGGAUAUGGUCAUUGUUGUAGUCUACCUAUUAUGGAUUUGGUCGCUCAGAUUUUUUUUCUUCAUCGUCUACGCGUGGCUUUGGUCUUAUAUGACUUUGCUAUUUGCUGACGUGAUGUUGUGUGCGUGCGUUAGUGUUGGCUGUGUGCAUCCUAGCUAUGCAGAGGCCGGGUGUGCUCAUUAUGUUUGUAUCCUCUUGAUGCCUCAUUUUAAGCUAAUAAAAUACAUUCUUUGUCGAGAAAAAUGACAUAACGAGCCCGUGUGGCUAAAACGGACCACAGUGUGGCUCAGUUUUGAACGUGUUUGUUUUUUUCAUUUCAUUUUUAAAAUAUAUUAAUUAUAAUUGUGUGUUACAAACAAUAUACAAUAUUUAAAACAAAUUACGUUAAAAUGUUUAUACUAUUUCAUAAAAUACAUAUGCAAUAUUUUAACAGAAAUAUACAUAAUAAAAUUAUGAGUUAAGAAUAUAUUUUAUAAUUUGAAAAAAAUGUUUGCAUUUUAAUAAAAUAUUAAUGUAAUUUUAGAAAUGUUCAUAUAUUUUAAAAAAUUCUCAUAUAAUUUUGAAAUUUCCACAUUAUUAAUAAAUUAUUUAUGUAGUCUAUCAGUGUGUUCAUGCUUUAAUUAAAAAGGUGUUAUUUUAAAAGGUUUAUAUAGUAUAUAAGUUUGUGCGUUUCUAUAAAAAAUAAAUGCAAGCCUAGUGCGCCAUUAGACUGCGUAUCCUCACAUGAAUAAUAGUUGAAUCAUCUAAACAUUUUGAUCUUCAUAAAUAGUUUCAAUUGUAUGAAUAUAUUUUAAAAUAACACAUGAUUUUAUUUCAGGAUACACGUGAAUUCUUUUGAUACAUGACAAUUCAUUGGUUGGAGUGACAUCCGUGCCUGGUCUACAAGCUUUGGUCCGAUGUGCAGAUCACAGAGCCGGUGCUGUUUUUGCUGGAUUAUUAAAUUCCUUUUAUUUAUUUUGUUCGGUCCAAUGUUUAUAAAGGUUAUAAAUCAUUAAAUAUUAGCAAAUGUGAAGUUGUCGAGCACACGCUCUGGACUGGUAGGUUGCAGGCUCGAGCCACCACAUGACAAGUUUUAGUUUUUAUUUUAUAGUUUAUCAGUUUCUCCCCGAGGGCCUUCUUGUAAGAAAAAUAAUUUUGGGAGUUUUCCGCAAAAACCAAGCCAAACACCCUUGUCUCUGGCAGCGGGUCCCAUGGCAUGCUGGCACGCCUCGUAAGUAUACAAACAUCAUUUAAACCAAAUAUGCACGUCUAUGCCAAGUUAUGAAACCGGUUCAAUGUAUUUUUCAAGGCACUAGAAUGCAUAUUCAUGACAAGUUCAAGCACCACAGAUGUAUUUACCUCGGAAAGUAAUAAAAAACACACACAAGAAAAUCAGAAAAAAAAACCCCGGGCCAAAACUAGAACAGCCAGCGAGAUUUCCAGAAUGGUCAAAAACUUAGUCUGGCCACGGAUUACUUUAAGGGAAUCUUGGGUCAGCCUGCCCCCUCGAUGAACACAGUGGACGUACACUCACUAUACACUUCACUUGAUCUAUCUGCCCUGACGGUACGGUUUUCUUGGGCUGAAAUCAUACAAGCCAUCAGCUGCUCACCCAAUAACAGAAGUCCAGGCCCUGACGGUUUCACCAAUGAGUUUUACAAGGCUUUCAAGUUGCUGCUAAAGGAUGACCUGCUCCACUUUUUUUAUGAUUUCCACAGAAAUGUGGUUGAUCUUACUGGUAUUAACUCCGCUUUCAUCACCCUGCUACCUAAAAAGAUACGCCCCUAGAGAUGCGGGACUUCAGGCCGAUUUCCCUCGUACAUAGCAUACCCAAACUGGUUUCUAAGGUUCUGGCUUGUAGGCUGAAAGCAUGGAUUCCUCUCUUGAUUCACUCUCUCCAGUCUGGCUUCUUGCGGGGCAGAUCGAUUAUAGAAAACUUUACCCUGGCUGCCGAAAUGAUCCAAUACGCACACAAACGGAAAAUGCUAGUCAUUGCUUUGAAGUUGGAUUUUCACAAAGCUUUUGACAGCGUCAGUUGGUCCUGUUUGCACAAAGUACUUGAAGCCAGAGGGUUUUCUCGGCUGUGGAUUAGUUGGAUUCAAAUGCUUUUGUCAACCGGCAGCUCUAAAGUCCUUAUUAAUGGCCAGCUGGGUGCCCCCAUCCGGGCUAAGCGUGGUUUUCGGCAAGGCGAUUCCUUAUCCCCUUAUCUUUUCAUUAUCGUUGCGGACGUGCUACAGAGAAUGUGCUGCAAAUUGUUCCAAGAUGGUUCCUUGCUGCACCCACUUGGUUCAGACAGUUUCUUCCCGGUUCUGCAAUACGCGGAUGACAUGCUGAUUCUUUUCCAAGGCACUACGCACCAGGCGGCAGUUGUUAAGUCAGCGCUCACAACUUUCUCUGCUUUCUCUGGGCUCACCAUAAAUUUCCACAAGAGCACUCUCGUACCUGUUGCCGCGGAGACCAUCACUGCUUCGGCCAUCGCGCAGAUCCUAGGCUGCCCCGUUUCAUCCUUUCCAUGCAACUACCUGGGCCUGCCUCUCUCUCUGCACAAGAUUACGCAUGGUAUGUUACUGCCUGUUAUACACAAGGUCGACCGUCGUCUUUCGGGCUGGUUAGCUACUUUCCUAUCCUUAGGGGGUAGAUUGACCCUUAUCAACUCAGUGAUCGUUGGUAUCCCAAGUUAUUUCAUGUCAUGCUUUCCCUGGCCCAAGGAAUCUCUUGGAAAAUUGGAAAGUCUCUCACGUGCUUUUUUCUGGCAAGGCAAGAAUAAGGUCAAGGGGGGUCAAUGCUUAGUAGCUUGGGAUACAGUCUCGUCACCUCGUAUCAAUGGCGGUUUGGGUAUCCGUCAGCUGCAGGCUCACAACCAAGCUAUGAUGUGCAAGUCUGUCUCCAAAGUUAUACAAGGUUCGGACAUACCAUGUUAUAACUGGUUCGCCACACAUUAUUGCCGGGCUAUCCUUCCACAAAGUGCUAGUAGCAGAGACACUGCCAUCUGGAAAGGGUUCAAAGAUCUUGUUCCUAUGGUCAUCAACUCCUCUAAAUGUGUUCUGGGGUCUGGUCUUUUGAUUUCAUUCUGGAAGGACCAGUGGCUUGAAGCGGGGCGUUUAUACCAGUUGUUCCCCAUGCUGUAUUCCUUCGCGAUCCAGCCAGAUUUCUCCGUGCACUCACAACACUCCAACGGUUCAUGGGCUAUUCAGCUACACCCUAAUCUCUCUCAAACAGCCUCAGCCGAGCUUGCUGUCCUGCAUGAUUUGUUGCUGGGCAUUGCUCCGAACUUACUGCAUGAGGACCAACGGACUGCUUCUGUGAGCUCUGGACAACUUUGCACUGGUUAUUUCUACAGGCUACUCACUUUCCGGGGGGUUUUGUCAACUCUUGGCACCUGGGUUUGGGAGGCAAUGACCCCCCUCAAGCACAGAAUCUUCCUAUGGCUUUCUUUCCGUGAUCGUCUAAACACUAAGGAUAACAUGGUAAAGAAGGGUUGGUCCGAGGCUUCCCCGUUUGCGCAUUGUGACACUUGCCCCGCUGUUGAGACCAUCGAUCACUUAAUACUACGAUGUGCAUCCGCCAGUGUUCUUUGGGGCAAGUUGGAACUUGACGUUUUGGCUUGCUCAACUACUAACGUUCUAUCUUUUAUGGAGCAAGCGCAACACCAGCUCAGUUUCAAGAAAAAUGGAAUGUUGCUUUCACGGCUUGUGCUGUCACCUUUUGGCAUGCUAGGAAUGACAGAGUCUUCAACUCAAAAGACUGGUCUGUAACAUACACCUGUUUAUAUGCAGCAGGCAUGCUCCGUCUUUGGAGUCUCAGAACUCAAAGCCAGCGUACCAGGGAGGUUCUCCAGGUUUGGAGACACAAGCUGCUGCAUAAUUCGUAGACGCCUGAUGUAAUCUUCCCCUCCUCUCUUCCUCCCUCCCUUCUUUCCCUUUUUUCGAUGCUUGUGCUUUGCACCUUGGUGCACCACACAAGCUGCACUUGUACUUGUACCUGCUACUUCAUCAGGCUCUGGCCUGUUUUGAAAUAUAAGGUCGGCAGCCUGCCACCUUCUUUGUUUUAAAAAAAAGAACAGCCAGCGAGCGAAUCAUCAAUCACGAAGCGAGCCAGAAGAAGCAUGUGCCUCGGAUCGUGGGGAGCGCCGCAACCUUUCCGUCGCUCGAAACUGCGUGCUCUGCAGUAACUCCAGGGAAAUGGCUGGCCAUCUUGCAGUUGGCUACCAUUUCUCUCGUGAAGUUUGGUGGCCACGCUGAGGCGUUGCGGUCUUGCUCACCACACAGACACCGACCAUUUACACGUUGUGUGCCUGGUGGCCUCACACUCGGAAUGUACUCUCCAAACCGGCAUGCAAAAGAUUCGACAUCCUGGCACUGCUCACCCUCUGGAAACUAUGGACUUUCAAUGGCGCCCCGAGCACCACUAGGCAGGUCUACGCCGUCAUCGCAAUGGAGGGCGACUUAUGGAAGAAGGCAGCACCGCUGCUGGGUUGCAAGCUAUUUGGAAACAGUGGCGUGUGUGUAGAUUGGUAGGCAUAGUUUAAAUUCGAAAGAUGCGGGACCAAACUCUUCUAUCUGGUGUAACUCACGGUGCCAACUCUCGUCCAAUUAACAAGAUACUAUAUUGAAUCCUUCAAAGAAAACACAAGAUAUAUUGAAACCUACCGACUGCAUGUGAAGCUAGUAAAUACAUUAAUUGGAGCUAGCUUUUGGACCAUACUCAUGUGUGGUGUGCGGCUAUAUAUUGCACACACAUAUAUGUGAAAUUCAUAAUUUAGUUGUGCUAGCAACAAAAGUAGAAGGGAUAUAUCAGGGUCAAUAUACAAUAGUUCAAUCUACUGGGUGUGCAACCACUACGGUAUUAGAGAUUGGUCAUUUAGCUAUACUCGCAGUGACCAUACACAUUGGAAAAGGAGACAUCUGGAAAUGAGGGGAAACAAUAUGCUUAGAACUAGAUCGAAGAUAUCUAUGGCGUCGAGCACCCUACAUGGUAGGACACCAUAUAGGACACCAUGUAGUCUGUUGCCUCAAGCUUUCUUUUGUUUUGAAAGAUCCAUCUGGUGCCUGGCUUUAUAUUGAUCAAAGCAGGGAGCAUAUGGGAAGAGUACAAAGGUGUAUUGUGAUCCAAGGAUCAAUGAGAAAAUAAAAAAAAGAGGCGCCACUAGGCAACCCUUCCAGCUCCUAACAAGCUUGCCAUGAUACUACUAAGUCUUGGCUAAAUUCUCGCACUUUCAUCCCCAAAAGGGGGCUCAAUGAAUUUUACACUCGCCUGGCACCAGAGUUCAAAAUUGCGUCUGACAACUAUAAUGCCGCUCACCGAAGCAAUCUUGGCUCGGAAAGUGCACUCAUUUCUUUCUUGCCAGAUCCUCCAAAGUAUUAGCAGCGCUAGGUCUUCGGCGGCUUUUUGAACUUUGAUUGGGCCGCGUUGAUCAAACACACUCAAAAUCAUAGUCUUUACUAUCAAACACAUGCGAACUGGCUGGGAUUUAUGAAAAAGCCCUCUCGACUACCGUUGCUUAUGAAGCUGCUUUUUCCUCAACGUCAGACGAUCUGUUUUCAUUAUUUGAAAAUAAUAAUAAUUUGCGCCUAGCUGGUGUUGAAUGUUUCUUUUGCUGGCACGCAAGCAGAGGAUAUUCACCAACCGCCUCCACCGAAGCUUGUCUGUGUUGUAAAGAAGCCGAAUCAAAAGCUCAUCUUCUCAUACAUUGCUCAGUUCCUAGGGUGAUGUGGACGAUUAUUGACUCUCUCAACAUUACUCCGGACGACUACACCUCCUUAACUCCUUUCAUGUUGAGUCAUCUCCGAGCCGGCAAAUAAAGUAAGGAACGCAGUAAUUAUGGCUCGCUUAUUGAAUAUCUAGAAGUGCCGGAGCGCACAAGUUUUCAGGAACUAGAAUGAAGACCUUCAAGUUGUCAUCUCUAGGUCUGCAAAUGAUAUUUUUCGUUGGUCAAACAGAUGUGAAAAUGAAUCCAAUCCAAAAGGCGAAUAGUCUAUGACAAUUGACAAAGACUUAAUGUGUGUGUCUUUGUUUCUGGAGUAGUUUGGGUAGCUUUGUUCUUAUCUCCCCGCUUCUUUGUAUAUGGCAGUGACGGUGUCAAAACCGGCGGAUCUCGGGUAGGGGGUCCCAAACUAUGCGUCUAAGGUCAAUGGUAACAGGAGACAGGGGACACAAUGUUUUAGCCAGGUUCGGGCCCUCUCUAUGGAGGUAAUACCCUACGUCCUGCUUGAUUGAUCUUGAUGAAUAUGAGUAUUACAAGAGUUGAUCUAUCACGAGAUCAUAAUGGCUAAACCCUAGAGGCCUAGGUUGUAUGGUUAUGAUAAUGUAUAUCUCCCUCCGGACUAAGUCCUCCGGUUUAUAUAGACACCGGGAGGAUCUAGGGUUAGACAAGGUCGGUUACAAAGAAAGGAAUCUACAUAUUUGGUCGCCAAGCUUGCCUUCCACGUCAAGGAGAGUCCCAUCCGGACACGGGUGCCAUCUUCGGUCUUCGUAUAUUCACAGCCCAUCAGUCCGGCCCAUGGCUAACAGGCCGGACGCCCGAUGACCCCUUAGUCCAGGACUCCCUCAGUACCCCCUGAACCUAGCUUCAAUGACAACGUAUCCGUCGCGUAGAUCUGUCUUCGGCAUUGCAAGGCGGGUUCCUUCCUCCGAACUCCAAGAUAGUCUUCGGACGUAUUUGAACGUGUCCGGACCUUUGUAUUGAUCUUAUAUUUAUUGACCUUUGUAUUGCUGCUCAAUGUUCUAAGCAUGGAUAUAAUGACUCUCUCAUUUUGUUAUUAUUGCCAUGUAAAUGUUGUCAUUACUUGUUUAUUUGGUAUAGUAAGUACAUUUGAUUGAGACUAAUAUCCUGUUACUUGACAUGGCAGUGACUAUCUCUUUAAGCUUCUGCUCAUCGGAGACUCAGGUGUUGGCAAGUCAUGCCUUCUCUUAAGAUUUGCCGUAAGAAUCCCUAUCUAAAGCAUGAUUUGUCCACUAUCUUUUAUAGGUCUUCCCUUUUUUAAUAUGCAUCUUCAUCUUAAAAGUUUGAUACAAGUUGUCUUCGGGAUAUCAUGGAAACUGUCAAUUUAUUUUUAGCCUCAGUAAACUGUAUGAUUUCCCACUACUUAAUACGAAUGAGGAGUUCAUUGUUGGUAGCUACUGUUUCUUAACAACAUGGAGAUGACCCCUAUAACAUUCUUGUUGUUACUAGUUAAUUUACUCUGACCUCCUUAAUAUUGACUCUUUUGGCAGGAUGACUCGUACCUGGAGAGUUAUAUCAGUACUAUUGGUGUUGAUUUCGUAAGUAUAUUUACUUUCUUGGUCUGAGUGUUGAUGUUCUGGCUACCUUAAUUGAACUUGUAGUUUUGUUUUCUUCCAACUUUGUCGAUAGAAAAUACGUACCGUGGAGCAAGAUGGAAAGACUAUGAAGCUGCAAAUCGUGAGUCUAUUCUUUCUUUCAUUAUGUCCAGUAUGCAUGUACCAUCAAAUCCAGAUUGUACAUCGAAUCCAGAUUUGACAAAAUAGAAGACUUUAUCGGGAAACAUUUCAUUUAUAGCCCUCUUCUGUUUUGUGGAGUUUGCUAGAUUUUCCCUUUGCAUAAUAUAGCAUGCCGUUAUUCAUCAGUAUUUAUGUGGUUGUUAGUUGAGGCCAGUUCACAGGAAACAGAAACUCCACUAUGCCUGAAUAUGUAGGCAGUUGCACAACCCCUUUUUACCUUUUGGAUUUUUUAGUUCCAUCCAUUUAAAUUACUGUUGAACAUAAAGAAUAAGAGUAGUUUAGCCCAUUAAAUUAAAUGUUAUAAAGUUUCUUAGUUCGCAUAAAGAAUCGCACUUUCAAGAUGUUUUUAGAUACCAAAGUGAUGCCCAUUUUGAACAUCAUAUUUAGGGGCCUGAUAGUAUGUCAUUUAAAUACUUGGGUGGUACGGUAGAUCAUGCUGCACCUACUGUUGGCAUUUGGCGAUUCUUCCUUCCUUUUGUGUGACACAUUACAUUUAGUGAUGCAAGAUAUCAUUUUCCUUUUCUUUAAACCCCUCUUUGGUACCUUUGUUUUUAUCAGUGGGACACUGCUGGGCAAGAACGCUUCAGAACUAUUACUAGCAGCUACUAUCGAGGGGCUCACGGGAUCAUUGUAAGUUUGUUUAUGUGAAAUCUUAUUUUUAUUUUUCACAUGCUAUUUAACAUGCAUAAAUGUCCACUUUUCAUAUAUUUUGAAUACAUAUAUACAAAUGGGGUUGCAGAUUGUCUAUGACGUGACAGACCAGGACAGCUUCAACAAUGUGAAGCAGUGGUUGAACGAGAUUGGUCACUAUGCUAGUGAGAAUGUUAAACAAGCUUCUUAUAGGGAACAAAUCUGAUCUCACUGACAAAAGAGUUGUAUCAUAUGAGACAGCGAAGGUACCUUAUGCUUUACUCAUAUCUGCUGAAGCAUUUUUUCUGCUCUUUGUGUUUACAUUUGGUGUAUGCAGGCAUUUGCUGAUGAGAUUGGCAUCCCAUUCAUGGAGACCAGUGCAAAGAAUGCCUUGAACGUUGAGCAGGCUUUCAUGGCUAUGUCUGCUUCAAUCAAGGACAGGUGUGUGUUCCCAGACGGUUUAAUUAGCACAGGCCAUCCUACCAGUACACUUUUUUUUAACUACCAUCAUUUUACACUUUAUUUAUUGCUCAUUGAUGCUCUGUUCGUAUAGUAUCAUAACCAAAAUUGUCCUACACUCUUUAGCAUGUUGCUGUUAACUGUUCUAUGUUAUUCCUCACGGUGUUGUUCUAUAUACACCUCAUAGAAAGAGCAUAUAAUUAUGAAUACAAAUCUUGGUUUCCAGGAUGGCGAGCCAGCCAGCCGCAAACAACACUCGCCCAGCCACGGUGCAGAUACGCGGGCAACCUGUCGAACAGAAGACGAGCUGCUGCUCUUCUUGAAAUGCAGGCAGCCGCCAUCCGUGUUACCCAAAUGGAGACGCAAACUUGGCCGCGCCAUCCUUGAGUCCAUGCUUCUACAUAGGCCUACUACAUCUUACACCUUCAUUCCAUUCUUUCUAGUGUACUUAUUAGCUCUUGAAUCGUUGGACUUGUAACACCGGAUGGAGUUUGGAGACAGUAUCUUCUUCUAGUUGUGUAUCUUGAAUGGUUAUAUGUUACGAUUUGCAGCUGUUGCUUUUCUUCCCUAAAUUUAAGGCGAUUUAUACUUUUACUUGACCAAAAUGUUCGGUUCUUCAAAAUAUUAUCUGACAGUAUGCUUAUCUUUGUGGUAAAAAAGGUCCUGGUUAUAGUUUUCAAGGUGACUUGUUGAUUGUUGAAGGCAGCAUUAGGAAUGUGCACAACAUGACAAGUUAAUUGCCAACAUUAAAUCAGUUGGGGCAUGUUUGGUUGCCUGCAUCUUUUGUAUCAGUGGGCCAGGUUGAGUUGCCUGUAUUUGUGCUAUUGGUAUGCAAAGCAGAGCUGUUUUGCUCAUCCCGUGGUGGUCUUACACACAACUGCAGCACUUCAUAUCAUACAUAACAUAAGACCAACAUAAUACAAUUAACAGUACAAAUAAAAACCAUAGCUAAAUAGUUCAGAAUAGCUAAUUAGACCAUAGUUUAAGACAUCAAAGGCAUCCCAUGCCCCUGCACGACCCUAGGGUGUUGAACCCUGAGCAAAAUAUAUAGUUUUGCACUAAGUUGAGCAAAAUAUACAGUUUUGCAGUAAGUUCAGACGAUCAAGCCUAGCCUGAAGAGCCACAUGACGAGCUAGUCGCUGUGGAUGAUUGUGUGGCGCCGACAGAAGUAGUCUCAACUGCUCCCGAGCACCAUCUGCCCCUGAAAUGUAUGGCCCUACACCUAGAACUCACACCACUUGUUGGCAGAGGCUGACAACACCAGGAGGGUUGACGACUGCCAUUUCUUUAUCACCGUCCUAAAGGCAGGCGGGAUGACCAGCAUGGUGAUCUCUUCCUCGUUCUUGAUUUGCACGUAGAACCCGACUAACGCCCGUGUAUAUAGAGUAAAUUGCUCAAAGCCACUACAUUUGUGGCUAGAGUACUCUAAAACCACCACUUUUGCCAGAAAUCACAAAAAACCACCACUUCCGCGGCAAGUGAGUAACAAAUCACACUGAUUUGGAAUUGAACGCAUUUAACAGCAAAACUGACAUGUGGGACCCGUCUAUCCGGGCUGAUGUGGCAAAGACUAGUCCUAGUCAAUGGUUGACCUGCUAAGGUGGACGGGGGUCCUACCUGUCAGCCACACCUCUUGUCUUCUCUCUCCUCUCCUUCUUCUCGAUAAAGCGGAAUCCCAGCCGCCAUGCCAUGGCCGGCGCAGAGAGAAGCAGGCCGCGCCCGCCUAGCUCCCCUCCUCCUGAUCCGGCGGAAGCCGCCCGCCGGUGCCGGAGCUCUACGCCGCCGGUGGCGCCACGCCCUGCCUCCCCCAUUUCUCCUAGAUCCGAUGGGAUCCCAGCGCCGGCAAGCCAAGGUCGGGCGAACUCCUCCUAGCCUCGACGCCCCGCCCCGCUACGACAACCACUGCUGCUGGCCAUGGCCAGAGGCGAGCUCCUUCCCCUCACGCCACAGGCAACCUCUCCCAUCCCUGUCUUCCUCGCGAGCGCUGGCACGAGAGCCGCGGGAGCCAGAGGCGGGGAAGGUGUGCUGCUCGCCAUGGUAACGCUGGUGGCGGCGACGCACCGGGAACCCCAAGGCGCGGCUAGCGAACUUCUUCGCAGGCUUCGGCUCCGGCGGCGUGCUGGUGGCGCGCGACACCGACGACGCGCGUCGACUCUCUCCCUGUCUUCCUCGCGAGCGCCGGCACGAGAGCCACAUGAGCCAGGGCGGGGAAUGUGUGCUGCUCACCGUGGCAACGCUGGUGGCGGCGGCGCACCGGGAACCCCAAGGCGCAACUAGCGGACUUCUUCGCAGCCUCCGGCGUGCUGGUGGCCACGACACCGACGACGCACGUCGACUCUUCUCCGCGGAGGACGCGCUAGUGAGUGGGGCGGCCUGGUGAGAGGGGACCGGCUCGCCGUGCGCAGAGGAGGGGCGGAGCUCGUCGAGGUGCGUACGGAGGGGCAACAUCUCCGGAGAAGUGCUGGACCGACGGAGUAGGUGUUGUGCGUGCACAUGAAGUACUCGACGAAAUGCCAGAGCCUAGUCACCUGUCUACGUGUUUAUUCUUUGCCAAGUCAGCCUGCAUGUGGGCCAGGCAUGCCAGUUUUUCACUUAGUCACGGCUGACAGCUCGUUUAGUGCAUUUUGUUACUCACUUGCCGCGGAAGUGGUGGUUUUUGUGAUUUCUGACAAAAGUGGUGGUUUUGGAGUACCCUAGCCACAAAUGUGGUGGCUUUCAGCAAUUUACUCGUGUAUAUACGGUUCAAAUCUCGUUUUUAUACAUCCAUCCAUGACGCUGAUGAGGCAUGCCAGGGUGUAAGGGACAAGGCGUGUCGCCUACUUUUGUUUUGCGGAAAACCCCCCAAAAUAAUUGUUUUCUUAUAAAAAAGGCCCUCAAAGAAAAACUAAUAAACUGUAAAAUUAACUAUUAAUCAAUUUAUAAUAUUUAAAAAUAGUCCGGGGUUCGAACCAGCGACACAGGUGUGCGUGGCUAGCCAGCCGACCGGUUCAAAUUUGGAGGUGUUUGGUUCACAAUUUUACACCCGGUAUCUGAUUACAUCGCAAACCGAUACCGUUAAUCAUGUUUGCUUCGCUUUGCAGAUCCCGCAUAGACAGGUCCCAUCACAGUUUACGUUACAGCCAGAGCGAGCCGACUCGGGCGAAUUCUUCUGGCUUCGAUCCCCAAUCCCGGCCCAGUCCCGUGCUAGCUGCCUAGACGUGGGGUUCCUGUUUGUUUCAUUUCUUUUUACGCUGGGGCUCUCAUUUUCUUGCCGGUAUCCAUUACCGUUAGACACUUAACCAAACAAGAAUGGAUUUUGGCCGAUAUCGUUUACAUCAACGGAGUAAACCCAUUACGUUUACGUUUCCGUUCCACUUUUGGAACCAAACACCUUAGUGUUUAGAAAGGAUUCAUAUGAUCCUAAAAAAAAGGAAUCGUAUACUUUGUAAACAUAAAGCUGAACGACAUAAAUUAAACUUUUUUAUUUGCAGCCGCACAUACUACUCCGACCGACAACAUCAGAUGGCAAAAUGAUAGAUUUAGGUUUAUGACAUAACGAGCCCUUCCUGAAGGCGUUGCUGUUGAAGAAUCCCGUCAUUCGCGCGGUGCCAUGACAUAGUUGGUGCGGAUAUGGUCAUUGUUGUAGUUUGCCUAUUAUGGAUUUGGUCGCUCAGAUUUUUUUUUUCAUCGUCUACGCAUGGCUUUGGUCUUAUAUGACUUUGCUAUUUGCUGACGUGAUGUGUGCGUGCGUUAGUGUUGGCUAUGUGCAUCCUAGCUAUGCAGAGGCCGGGUGUGCUCAUUAUGUUUGUAUCCUCUUGAUGCCUCAUUUUGAGCUAAUAAAAUACACUCUUUGUCGAGAAAAAUGACAUAACGAGCCGUGUGGCUAAAACGGACCACAGUGUGGCUCAGUUUUGAACGUGUUUGUUUUUUUCAUUUCAUUUUUAAAAUAUAUUAAUUAUAAUUGUGUGUUACAAACAAUAUACAAUAUUUAAAACAAAUUACAAUAUUUAAAACAAAGUAUUUUUCAAGUUUAGGCACUAGAAUGCAUAUUCAUGACAAGUUCAAGCACCACAAAUGUAUUUACCUCGGAAAGUAAUAAAAAACACACACAAGAAAAUCAGAAAAUAAAACCCCGGGCCAAAACCAGAACAGCCAGCAAGAUUUCCAGAAUGGUCAAAAACUCAGUCUGGCCACGGAUUACUUUAAGGGAAUCUUGGGUCAGCCUGCCCCCUCGAUGAACACAGUGGACGUACAGUCACUAUACACUUCACUUGAUCUAUCUGCCCUGACGGUACGGUUUUCUUGGGCUGAAAUCGUACAAGCCAUCAGCUGCUCACCCAAUAACAGAAGUCCGGGCCCUGACGGUUUCACCAAUGAGUUUUACAAGGCUUUCAAGUUGCUGCUAAAGGAUGACCUGCUCCGUUUUUUUGAUGAUUUCCACAGAAAUGUGGUUGAUCUUACUGGUAUUAACUCCGCUUUCAUCACCCUGCUACCUAAAAUGGAUACGCCCCUGGAGAUGCGGGACUUCAGUCCGAUUUCCCUCGUACAUAGCAUACCCAAACUGGUUUCUAAGGUUCUGGCUUGUAGGCUGAAAGCAUGGAUUCCUCUCUUGAUUCACUCUCUCCAGUCUGGCUUCUUGCGGGGCAGAUCGAUUAUAGAAGACUUUACCCUGGCUGCCGAAAUGAUCCAAUACGCACACAAACGGAAAAUGCCAGUCAUUGCUUUGAAGUUGGAUUUUCACAAAGCUUUUGACAGCGUCAGUUGGUCCUGUUUGCACAAAGUACUUGAAGCCAGAGGGUUUUCUCAGCUGUGGAUUAGUUGGAUUCAAAUGCUUUUGUCAACCGGCAGCUCUAAAGUCCUUAUUAAUGGCCAGUUGGGUGCCCCCAUCCGGGCUAAGCGUGGUUUUCGGCAAGGCGAUUCCUUAUCCCCUUAUCUUUUCAUUAUCGUUGCGGACGUGCUACAGAGAAUGUGCUGCAAAUUGUUCCAAGAUGGUUCCUUGCUACACCCACUUGGUUCAGACAGUUUCUUCCCGGUUCUGCAAUACGCGGAUGACACGCUGAUUCUUUUCCAAGGCACUACGCAGCAGGCGGCAAUUGAUAAGUCAGCACUCACAACUUCCUCUGCUUUCUCUGAGCUCACCAUAAAUUUCCACAAGAGCACUCUCGUACCUGUUGCCGCGUAGACCAUCACUGCUUCGGCCAUCGCGCAGAUCCUAGGCUGCCCCGUUUCAUCCUUUCCAUGCAACUACCUGGGCCUGCCUCUCUCUCCGCACAAGAUUACGCAUGGUAUGUUACUGCCUGUUAUACACAAGGUCGACCGUCGUCUUUCGGGCUGGUUAGCUACUUUCCUAUCCUUAGGGGGUAGAUUGAACCUUAUCAACUCAGUGCUCGCUGGUAUCCCAAGUUAUUUCAUGUCAUGCUUUCCCUGGCCCAAGGAAUCUCUUGGAAAAUUGGAAAGUCUCUCACGUGCUUUUUUCUGGCAAGGCAAGAAUAAGGUCAAGGGGGGUCAAUGCUUAGUAGCUUGGGAUACAAUCUCGUUACCUCGUAUCAAUGACGGUUUGGGUAUCCGUCAGCUGCAGGCUCACAACCAAGCUAUGAUGUGCAAGUUUGUCUCCAAAGUUAUACAAGGUUCGGACAUACCAUGUUAUAACUGGUUCGCCACACAUUAUUGCCGGGCUAUCCUUCCACAAAGUGUUAGUAGCAGAGACACUGCCAUCUGGAAAGGGUUCAAAGAUCUUGUUCCUAUGGUCAUCAACUCCUCUAAAUGUGUUCUGGGGUCUGGUCUUUUGAUUUCAUUCUGGAAGGACCAGUGGCUUGAAGCGGGCCGUUUAUACCAGUUGUUCCCUAUGCUGUAUUCCUUCGCAAUCCAGCCAGAUUUCUCCGUGCACUCACAACACUCCAACGGUUCAUGGGCUGUUCAGCUACACCAUAAUCUCUCUCAAACGGCCUCAGCCGCGCUUGCUGUCCUGCAUGAUUUGUUGCUGGGCAUUGCUCCGAACUUACUGCAUGAGGACCAACGGACUGCUUCCGUGAGCUCUGGACAACUUUGCACUGGUUAUUUCUACAGGCUACUCACUUUCCGGGGGGUUUUGUCAACUCUUGACACCUGGGUUUGGGAGGCAAUGAUCCCCCUCAAGCACAGAAUCUUCCUAUGGCUUGCUUUCCGUGGUGGUCUAAACACUAAGGAUAACAUGGUAAAGAAGGGUUGGUCCGAGGCUUCCCCGUUUGCGCAUUGUGACACUUGCCCCGCUGUUGAGACCAUCGAUCAUUUAAUACUACGAUGUGCAUCCGCCAGUGUUCUUUGGGGCAAGUUGGAACUUGACGUUUUGGCUUGCUCAACUACUAACGUUCUAUGUUUUGUGGAGCAAGCGCAACACCAGCUCAGUUUGAAGCAAAAAUGGAAUGUUGCUUUCACGGCUUGUGCUGUCACCUUUUGGCAUGCUAGGAAUGACAGAGUCUUCAACUCAAAAGUAUGGUCUGUAACAUACACCUGUUUAUAUAUGCAGCAGGCAUGCUCCGUCUUUGGAGUCUCAGAACUCAAAGCCAGCGUACCAGGGAGGUUCUCCAGGUUUGGAGACACAAGCUGCUGCAUAAUUCGUAGACGCCUGAUGUAAUCUUCCCCUCCUCUCUUCCUCCCUCCCUUCUUUCCCUUUUUUCGAUGCUUGUGCUUUGCACCUUGGUGCACCAAACAAGCUGCACUUGUACUUGUACCUUCUACUUCAUCAGGCUCUGGCCUGUUUUGAAAUAUAAGGUCGGCAGCCUGCCACCUUCUUUGUUUUUAAAAAAAAGAACAGCCAGCGAGCGAAUCAUCAAUCCCGAAGCGAGCCAGAAGAAGCAUGGGCCUCGGAUCGCGGGGAGCACCGCAACCUUUCCGUCGCUCGAAACUGCGUGCUCUGCAGUAACUCCAGGGAGAUGGCUGGCUAUCUUGCAGUUGGCUACCAUUUCUCUCGUGAAGUUUGGUGGCCACGCUGAGGCGUUGCGGUCUUGCUCACCACACAGACACCGACCAUUUACACGUUGUGUGCCUGGUGGCCUCACACUCGGAAUGUACUCUCCAUACCGGCAUGCAAAGGAUUCGACAUCCUGGCACUGCUCACCCUCUGGAAACUAUGGACUUUCAAUGGCGCCCCGAGCACCACUAGGCAGGUCUACGCCGUCAUCGCAAUGGAGGGCGACUUAUGGAACAAGGCAGCACCGCUGCUGGGUUGCAAGCUAUUUGGAAAUAGUGGAGUGUGUGUAGAUUGGUAGGCAUAGUUUAAAUUCAAAAGAUGCGGGACCAAACUCUUCUAUCUGGUGUAACUCACGGUGCCAACUCUCGUCCAAUUAACAAGAUACUAUAUUGAAUCCUUCAAAGAAAACACAAGAUAUAUUGAAACCUACCGACUGCAUGUGAAGCUAGUAAAUACAUUAAUUGGAGCUAGCUUUUGGACCAUACUCAUGUGUGGUGUGCGGCUAUAUAUUGCACACACAUAUGUGAAAUUCAUAAUUUAGUUGUGCUAGCAACAAAAGUAGAAGGGAUAUAUCAGGGUCAAUAUACAAUAGUUCAAUCUACUGGGUGUGCAACCACUACGGUAUUAGAGAUUGGUCAUUUAGCUAUACCCGCAGUGACCAUACACAUUGAAAAGGAGACAUCUGGAAAUGAGGGGAAACAAUAUGCUUAGAACUAGAUCGAAGAUAUCUAUGGCGUCGAGCACCCUACAUGGUAGGACACCAUAUAGGACACCAUGUAGUCUGUUGCCUCAAGCUUUCUUUUGUUUUGGAAGAUCCAUCUGGUGCCUGGCUUUAUAUUGAUCAAAGCAGGGAGCAUAUGGGAAAAGUACAAAGGUGUAUUGUGAUCCAAUGAUCAAGGAGAAAAUAAAAAAAAAGAGGCGCCACUAGGCAACCCUUCCAGCUCCUAACAAGCUUGCCAUGAUACUACUAAGUCUUGGCUAAAUUCUCGCACUUUCAUCCCCAAAAGGGGGCUCAAUGAAUUUUACACUCGCCUGGCACCAGAGUUCAAAAUUGCGUCUGACAACUAUAAUGCCGCUCAUCGAAGCAAUCUUGGCUCAGAAAGUGCACUCAUUUCUUUCUUGCCAGAUCCUCCAAAGGAUUAGCAGCGCUAGGUCUUCGGCGGCUUUUUGAACUUUGAUUGGGCCGCGUUGAUCAAACACACUCAAAAUCAUAGUCUUUACUAUCAAACACAUGCGAACUGGCGGGAUUUAUGAAAAAGCCCUCUCGACUACCGUUGCUUAUGAAGCUGCUUUUUCCUCAACGUCAGACGAUCUGUUUUCAUUAUUUGAAAAUAAUAAUAAUUUGCGCCUAGCUGGUGUUGAAUGUUUCUUUUGCUGGCACGCAAGCAGAGGAUAUUCACCAACCGCCUCCACUGAAGCUUGUCUGUGUUGUAAAGAAGCCGAAUCAAAAGCUCAUUUUCUCAUACAUUGCUCAGUUCCUAGGGUGAUGUGGACGAUUAUUGACUCUCUCAACAUUACUCCGGACGACUACACCUCCUUAACUCCUUUCAUGUUGAGUCAUCUCCGAGCCGGCAAAUAAAGUAAGGAACGCAGUAAUUAUGGCUCGCUUGUUGAAUAUCUAGAAGUGCCGUAGCGCACAAGUUUUCAGGAACUAGAAUGAAGACCUUCAAGUUGUCAUCUCUAGGUCUGCAAAUGAUAUUUUUCGUUGGUCAAACAGAUGUGAAAAUGAAUCCAAAAGGCGAAUACUCUAUGACAAUUGACAACGGGGUUAUGCUUUCAAGACUUAAUGUGUGUGUCUUUGUUUCUGGAGUAGUUUGGGUAGCUUUGUUCUUAUCUCCCCGCUUCUUUGUAUAUGGCAGUGACUACAAAUUUAUAAAAGAAAAGGUUCAGGAUGGAUUUUAGCCCGCCGUAGUUACCCCCCACCCCUCCCCAUUACUGCUUAGUGGUACUGCCUGGCUUAAAAGGACAGAGUUCUUUGAUGCUCAACCACAUGUACCACUCCUACUAAUCCGAGCAGGGGACCACUAUUUAGUGGUGGUUUAUUCUAAUGCAGCAAACAUGGCUUCUAGUCAACCUUCAAGUUCAUCGAUUGAACACCUUCUCUCCUAUUGGCCGGCUAGCGGGCUGGGUGAACGAUCUCUUUGUUUGCUCCAGUCCAGAGUGGUGGUUGGUUUUGGCAAGUUAUGGCCUGUGUUGCUGAUGGUGUGAUCCUCUAAAAAGUACAAGAAAGAACUCCAUUAUAUUCUUUUUGCUAAUAAUGUAAGUUUUGAAUGGACCAAUCGGUCCCAUGAUUUUUUUACAUCUCACGUUAUGUGGAUCAAGCGGAUAUGUCGGUGGUACGUUCUUGUCAUGAUCGUCGGUAAUAUACUCGCCUGGAUCGUAACCCUCUACUUUCAGUAUUUGUGCCCGUCCGAAUCAUGUUGCACCUUAAAAAUGGUCUAUUAAGCUAGGAAAUACUUGGUAAAAAGAUGUAAAAUCAGUAAAAAAAUAAAAUAAAAAAUUCCAAAAAUGAACCAUGAGAUCUAAAAAUUAUUAUAUGUAAGAACUAGCAUGGUAGUCCAAGCAAUUGUGCAAUGAACAUCUUGAUUUUCCCUCAUUAUAAAUACACCUUUAGGGUACUUAAAAACAAUAAUUUUCAGUUAAAAACAUUGAAAUUUUACACACCACUGAGCAACAAGGCCUUUAGCUAAUAUUGUCGGGCAGAUUGAAAUUCAAAAGAUGAGGGACCAAACUUUUCUAGUUUAAGUCACCGUACCAACUCUAAUAUAAUUAACAAGAUAAGUUGAACGCUGCCAACUGCGCGCCAAGCUAGUAAAGACAUUAAUUGGAGCUACCUCUUGAACAGUACUCAAACGGUGUGCAGCUGUAUAUAUAUAUACACUCUAUGCAUAUAUGAAAUUCACAAUUUAGCUGCACUACCAACCUAAACAGAAAGGAUCUGUUCAACUUACUAGGUGUACAACCACUGCUGUAUGAGAUCGACCGUCUAACUGUACGUGCAUAAUUCAUAUAUGUAGGAAAUGGAGGCACCGGGAAACGAGGGGAAACCAUAUGCUGUUGUGCCACCUCUCAUCGCGUGUCACCGUUUUGUGAUUCACACCCAGGAUCGUAUGCACCACACAUCGUUCACUCCGAAAACUGCACGUGCUAGGCUAGCUUCUUCAUACAUUCGUCUCUUCACUACAUUGAAUAAUGAUAAAAUCUCUCCUCCGACCAUAAUAGGCAACCGCUCGUCCCUGCACACUUGAUCAGCAAGGAGGCCACGAAUACAAGGAAGCUUAGUAACUUUUAGGGCUAGUAAGCUUGCACGUGCAACAACAUGUAUAAUAUUUAGAUUUUAUUGAGUAAAAUUUGUUUUUGAAUCCUUAAAACCUAAUCCCCUAAUUCAGGACAAGAAACUCACUAAUUUCAAUUAUUAGCAUCCCCAAUCACAUUUUCCAAAUGGAUUGUCGGCUGUUUCUAUCAGCAAGACAUGGGGCACUCUUGGGCAGGUCUCUAAGCACGCUCGAGUCAUUCAUUAUGCAAAUUAGUGGUGAUGAUGAACAAAAUCUAAGGAUUGAGAGCGUAAUGAAGAGAAGAGAGUAGAGCAGAAACCAAUAGGCAAUGAAAGGGAGAAGGGUGACCAUCGACAUUCAGGAGGGAGUGUCGGUGUCAAAACCGGCGGAUCUCGGGUAGGGGGUCCCGAACUGUGCGUCUAAGGUCGAUGGUAACAGGAGACAGCGGACAAAAUGUUUUACCCAGGUUUGGGCCCCUAUGGAGGUAAUACCCUACGUCCUGCUUGAUUGAUCUUAAUGAAUAUGAGUAUUACAAGAGUUGAUCUACCACGAGAUCGUAAUGGCUAAACCCUAGAGGCCUAGGUUGUAUGGUUAUGAUAAUGUAUAUCUCCCUCCGGACUAAGUCCUCCGGUUUAUAUAGACACCGGGAGGAUCUAGGGUUACACAAGGUCGGUUACAAAGAAAGGAAUCUAUAUAUUUGGUAGCCAAGUUUGCCUUCCACGCCAAGGAGAGUCCCAUCUGGACACGGGUGCCGUCUUCGGUCUUCGUAUAUUCACAGCCCAUCAGUCCAGCCCAUGGCUAACAAGCCGGACGCCCGAUGACUCCUUAGUCCAGGACUCCCUCAGUACCCCCUGAACCUGGCUUCAAUGACAAUGUAUCCGGCGCGUAGAUCUGUCUUCGGCAUUGCAAGGCGGGUUCCUUCCUCCAAACUCCAAGAUAGUCUUCGGACGUAUUUGAACGUGUCCGGACCUGUAACACAACACCACACACAACCGCGGAGAGAAUAUAAUAUUCCACGAGUCCAAUCUGAUGACAACUUUUAUAACGUGACGUCACACUCGCCCAGUUUUUCGAGCCGUUUCCUGUCCCGCCGUUCCACGUUUUGAGGCGCGGUUGCUAUUGGCACGCUCUGUCGAAACAGAGAUUGUGUCCCUUUAUUGCGGGAUUCUCAUUAACACGAGUGUGGGUAACCCAACUGUUCUGUUGGAAAGAUCCCUUAGGAAUAGGCAGGCUUUCAGGCUCAAGAGGAGGCGUUUAAUUCCUGGUGCCUUUAUAAAGGAACCAAGGGCCGUCCUUUUUGACGCCAAACUUCUCCUCAGCCUCUCGAACCUCGAGUUCUAGCACCCAAGGUUUUGACUUCGUUGCUCCGAGCUUCCCCAUUAUGUCCGGACCCAGCCCUCAAGGCCAAUGGGUGGCUUCCUCUAUUACAGAGGAGGACAUUAUGAAGCUUCGAGCGGCCAGAUACCUGACAGCGGAAAUCCACCACAGACUUCCUGCUCAAGGGAAGGUUAUCCCGACCCCCAGAUCUGGCAAGAGGGUCGUAUUCAUCUCACACUUCCUUCGAGGGCUAGGGCUCGCUCUUGAUCCCUUCAUCCGGUGGCUAAUGUUCUAUUAUGGACUAGAUUUUCACGAUCUAGCCCCAGAGUCUUUCCUCCAUGUCUCAGCGUUCAUCAUUACGUGCGAGGCCUUCCUUCGAAUCCCCCACACUUCGGCUUAUGGCUCAAGACCUUCAGUGUGAAACCAAAGAUAGUCGACGGGGAACAGGUGGAGUGCGGUGGUGCUGUAGUCAGCCAGCUCACCAACACUCCUUGGCCAAAAGACUCCUUUAUUGAAACUUCCAAUCAAUGGCAGCGAGAGUGGUUUUACGUUAUGGAGCCCCGCUGAGGGAAUCUUGGAUUAGGGGGUCUCCGGACAGUGGGACUAUAUCCUUUGGCCGGACUGUUGGACUAUGAAGAUACAAGAUUGAAGACUUCGUCCCGUGUCCGGAUGGGACUCUACUUGGCGUGGAAGGCAAGCUAGGCAAUACGGAUAUGGAUAUCUCCUCCUUUGUAACCGACCUUAUGUAACCCUAGCCCCCCCGGUGUCUAUAUAAACCGGACGGUUUUAGUCCAUAGGACAACAUACAAUCAUACCAUAGGCUAGCUUCUAGGGUUUAGCCUCUCCGAUCUCAUGGUAGAUCAACUCUUGUACUACUCAUAUUAUCAAGAAUAAUCAAGAGGACGUAGGGUUUCACCUCCAUCAAGAGGGCCCGAACCUGGGUAAAACAUCGUGUCCCCUGCCUCCUGUUACCAUCUGCCUUAGACGCACAGUUCAGGAACCCCUACCCGAGAUCCGCCGGUUUUGACACCGACAUUGGUGCUUUAAUUGAGAGUUCCUCUGUGUCGUCACCGUUAGGCUUGAUGGCUCCUUCGAUCAUCAAUAGCUAUGUAGUCCAGGGUGAUACUUUUCUCCCCGGAUAUAUCUUUGUAUUUGGCGGCUUCGCACUGCGGGUCAACUCGCUUGGCCAUCUGGAGCAGAUCGAGAGUUAUGCCCCUGGCCACCAGGCCAGGUUUGGAAGCUUAAACUACACGACCGACAUCCGCGGAGACUUGAUCUUCGACGGAUUCGAGCCCCUGCCGAGUGCGCCGCACGGUCACGAUGAGCAUGAUUUAGCUCUGCCAUCGGACAGUGUUCAGGAGACCGCACCGGCAACCGCUCUAACCCUCAAUUCGGAGCCAAUUGUGCCAUCCAUGGACGGGUGGAUAGACCCCGCCACGGAGGCGGCACUCUCAUCGGCGAUCGAGCCGAAUAUCGACCUUACCCUUCACACAAGAGCCUGACAUCGAACUGCCGAAUUCUUCCCCGGCCACGGACUCCGAACCGCCUGCGCCCAUGCCUAUCAGAUCCAACUAGGCGCCGAUCAUGGAGUUCACCUCCGCGGAUAUCUUUCAGCACUCGCCCUUCGGCGACAUACUGAGCUCAUUAAGGUCUCUCUCCCUGUCAGGAGAGUCCUGGCCGAACUAUGUUCGGCAGGAUUGGGACGCGGAUGACGAAGAAAUUCGCCGCCCACCCACCAUGCCCACUUAGUAGCCACUGUCGACGAUUUGACCAACAUGCUCGACUUCGACUCCAAAGACAUCGACGGUAUGGACGACGAUACAGGAGAUGAACAGGAACCACUGCCGACAGGGCACUGGACGUCCACUUCAUCAUAUGAUGUAUACAUGGUGGACACACCCAAAGAAAACGACGAGGAGGAACGGAAGGAUGCAGUGAAGGGUUGUUCCCUCGAGAAGCAGUCAAAGCAGCAACGUAAGCGCCGCUCCAAAUCCCGCCUCGGUAGAAACAGUGAUCAUAUAGACCCAGCGUUAGAGCAGGGUGAAGCAUCGCCCGACCAUGGCAACACGGAGAAUCAAACCGAACAACCCGACUCCGUCAAAGAUAACAGUCCGGACGAGAUCACACCGGACAGGCACCCGGAGCAACAGAAUGUCCAUCAAAGGCUUGUUGCCACUGCGAGGUGUCUGAAAAAGCAGAAGCAAAGGCUCAGGGCUGCACAAGACACACUCAGAAUCAGAUGGAGUGAAGUACUCAACACUGCAGCGAAGUACGACGGUAAUCGCCACACCAAGAGCUACCCGAAGCGAAAGUUGCUACCUGAAUUCGACGAGGAGGCCUUAGAUCCCCCACAAUUGAAAAACAAAACGGCCAUCCGGUCGGAUAGACGACCUCAUGGCCAACAUAGAGCGGCAAACGACGCCGCACAUAAGCCAGUACGCGAUCCACACGAGGGCUCGCAUCAAAAGGACGGCGCAACCAGAUCCAUAUACGGGCCACGCAAGCGCGCUCCAGUAUGCAAUGCAACACAACAAACAUCCGAACAUCACGGUACACCCAAAUACAGGGGUGCCGCACACCCCCUAUGUUUCAUCGAUGAGGUGCUGGACCAUGAAUUUCUAGAGGGAUUCAAACCUGUAAACAUAGAGGCGUACGACGGAACGACAGACCCUGGGGUCUGGAUUGAGGACUACAUCCUCCAUAUCCACAUGGCUCGAGGAGACGAUCUCCAUGCCAUCAAGUACUUACUCCUCAAGCUCAAAGGGCCAGCUCGGCACUGGCUUAAAAGCCUCCCCGAAAACUCCAUUGGAAGCUGGGAAGAGCUCAAAGAUGCUUUUCGGGAAAAUUUUCAAGGGACCUAUGUCCGACCACCGGAUGCAGACGAUUUAAGUCAUAUAACUGAACAACCCGGAGAGUCAGCCCGAAAGCUUUGGAACAUGUUUCUCACUAAAAAGAACCAAAUAGUCGACUGUCCAGACACCGAAGCCUUAGUAGCUUUCAAGCACAGCGUUCGAGACGAAUGGCUCGCCAGGCACCUCGGCCAAGAAAAGCCGAGAACAAUGGCAGCAUUAACAAGCCUCAUGACCCGCUUUUGCACGGGCGAGGACAGGUGGUUAGCCCGGUGCAGCACCAGUGACCCAAGUACAUCCGAAGUCAGGGAUGAAAACGAGAAACCACGACACAGCAAAAACAAGCGCCGGAAUAAAGAAGACAGCCCGAAGAGCACGGCGGUAAACGCCGGAUUCAGAAGCUCUCGGCCAAGUCAGCAAAAGCUGCCCUCCAAAGGCAACAGAGACGAACUAUCCAGCCUAAACAAGAUUCUGGACAAAAUAUGUCAGGUCCACACACUACAAAAAAUACACUUCCAUGAUGAUACGUGUUUGUCACAGUAGGUCGCUUUUUUUGUCAUGCAUGUACAUCCAUGACAAAUUUAUGACAGAAUGAAGAUAGUCAUACCUGUGCUGUCGUAGAAGUGUUUCAUGACAUUACCAAAAUUAUCAUCACGGAAGUGUCCACUUCCACGAUGAUAAAUCGCGCGGCACAGAAGUGCUUUCAUCAAGGGUGACCGACACGUGGCAUCCACCAUAACAGAACGCCGUUAAGCUAUCGGGUCGGGUUUUGGAUCCGAUAACCCGUUAACAGCCCCGACCAAUGGGAAAUUUCCACGUGUAAAAUUCUUAUUGGGCGGACGAAACACGUGUCAGCUCGUUAGUGGGUCAGAUAGGCGCCUAUGAUAUGUUGACACAUGGCACGGCCCAUCAAGUUUAAAUGGGCCGGCCCAACUAAAGGCCCACAAGAUUUUGCGGACCAUAAUGGGCUGGCCCAGCUAAAGGCCCACGAGAUUUUGCGGACCGUAAUGGGCUGGCCCAGCUAAAGGCCCACAAGAUUUUGUGGGCCAUAAUGGGCAGGCCCAGGUAAAGGCCCACAAGAUUUUUGUGUGCCAUAAUGGGCCGGCCCAGGUAAAGCCCACAAGAUUCUUGCGGGUCAUAAUGGGCCGGCCCAGCUAAAGGCCCACGAGAUUUCGCCGACAUUAAUGGGUCGGCCCAGCUGUAGGCCCACAAGAUUUUGAGGACCCUAGUAGGCAGGCCCAUUAACUGGCUGCCAUGUUUUGGGCCAAAUGCUGGCCCAUAUUUGAUCCGGUCCAUUAAUGGCCUGCCAUGCUCCGGGCCUAAUAGUGGCCCAUAUGAGAUCCGGCCCGUUAAAAGCCUACCACGUUCUGGGCCAAAUUACGGCCCAGAUCAGGUCCGGCCCUUUAAGAGGCAUUGGGCUCAAUUAUGGCCCAUAUCAGAUUCGGCCCGUCAACUGGAAACUAUGCUUUUGGGCCCACUUGCUAAAGGCCCACUUAGUAAUUCGGCCUGAUAUUAGUUUUGGCCUGUUAAGGGCCCGUUUAACAUUUUGGCCCUAUAUUAAUUUCGGCCUGUUAAAAGCUAGUCAUAUAGUUGGGCCUAACUACGGCCCUGUUUGCAUCCGGCCUGCUCGCAACCGAUAUCUGAUUGGGCCAAACAAGGACCAAGAUAAUUUUGGCCUGUUAAAAGCUAGUGAUUUGAUUCGCACAAUCAUGGGCCGGGGUUCAUUUCAUGCUGCUACGUAACUAGUAUGAAUUAAGAACAAAGCUACUCUAUACAAUAAAGAAAUUACGGCAUAGUAACUUAGAAUAAACCUACACUAUACAAUAAAGGGUUUAAGGUAUAUUACAUCCACUGGGCAUCGAAGUUCGCCACCAGUGAUCAUAAAGCGCAACGUAGAAACAGAUUACAAAAACAGGGCACCAUUGCAGCGUAACAAAAUAAUACUGAACCGAGACCACUUCCAAGACAGUUCAAGAAAGGUUAGCCUUGCGGGGGAACUACUGCGCAAGCUGCUGAGCAAGGCUGUGAGACCAGCCUAGCAUGUCGGUCAUAGUUUCCAGGUGUAGCUGUUUAGCGAUGAGGUUCUCAUUGGUGUUCUCCACAAUCUUUCUUAGAGAUAGGACUUCAAGUCGAAGUUGAGUUGCAGAAUGCCUUUCUGCUAGAACUUGGGACUGAAGAAGUCGAACCGAUUCAGACAACGAAUUCUGUGAGCUUGUCUGACUGUUAGUGUCAAGUAACUUGAACACUGCAUCAAGACAAGACUUUGGGGUUGUCUCGCUAUCUGUAAGAUGUUGUUCCUUCUUUGCUGCAAUAUAUGUUGGGUUUGUCUCACAGCCUUCAGCAGACUUGUGCAUGCCAUCAGGCAUAUCACCCUGAAACAAAGUAGAGAGAUGACAGGUUUUCCACGUGUAUAAUCAAAGAUGAUAGCUGUUCUAUCAAUUCUAUCCAAUUUCAAAUUAGAAAAUAAAGAGUAUGUUCAAAAUAUCAAUAGCAUAAUUUGGCAUUGUUCAUAAUGCGGGGAGCUUCACCACAUUAAUGGAUUACCAUGUCAACAUAACAAGAAUAGAUGAAGGGCAAAGAAAAUCAUUGUAUCUAUUUUGGAUAAUAUGCAUGGCAUGUUGUUCAUAUCAUCAGCCACAUCAAUAAGAUAAAACAGGAGAUGACAAGGUGCAAACGUGGGCUGCUUCACCACACACUGGAUUAUAGAUCCACAAAAACAAGCAUACAUAUAGGGAGUAUUAAGUAAUGUGCAUGGUAUGAAUAAGGAAUUUGGUUUUACAAGUAAAACUUAGAACUUACGGUUCUUACGAACAUGCAUUUUGGCAGAAACAGCAAACUAAACAGCAGUAAACGAUAGGGAGUAUGAGCAAAUUAAACAACAGUUGAGGAUAAAGGCUUUAGAAGGACUGACUUACAUUAACAGUUAACACCGGCUUUAUAAUGCCCUUCUCCAUGUCAAGGGAAGGAUAACUCAAGAAUUUCAGCACAGAAUCUUCUUCAUAAGCAUUGCCUGUACUCUACAUUUUGUAGAGAGUAAUUAUAGAUAUGAUAAUACUGGAAGGGGUAGAGGAUAAUGAAGAUAAGAUGCAGAUUGAUGCUACAUAAUCAACUACCAAUCCCUGGAAGUACAAGCGUUACAGGACAAAAUGUACUGACAAGAGCAAUGGGCUACACUUCUGCACUGGCAUUGUCUAUGUAUUCUACUUGUUGGUAAGAUUGAAUAUAGAUCUGAUCUUUUUUAGUAAAUGCUGGGCGAGGGAGAUAAGACGCAGAAUGCUACAAAAUGAACCAAUCCCUCUUCCCAUAAUACAAGAGUGUUUUGAACACUGGUGUACUGUACAAAACGUUCUUAUAUUACGGGACGGAGGGAGUAGCUGUUAAUGUAAGUACAGUGAUAGACCACGUUCAGUCCUUUCAAGAGGACUGCAGAGCUAAACCUCUUCAAAAGCAUUGGGUUGAUUCUAAAUUUAUGUAAGAGUCCAUACGGAUCUUAUAAUGUCCACCAAAUGGACGAUUACGAGGCUAACAUGUGCAGUGAUGCUACAUAAUCAAACAGCUAUGAAAGUAAAUAUGGUCAUACAGGGCAAGAGGUACUCACAAGAGCAAUGCAGUGUGCAGUAUAGUUGCGAGAUUCUAUGGUCCCUUGAGAAUGAAUGUUCUUCUGCUAACAGUUUUCGUACAAGUGAGACAUUAAGGCAAAUGCAGAAAUGUAGUUCAAAUUGUGAUGUGAUAUCAUAGACAGUACCUUACGCUGCAGCCGAGACCAAUGUGUAACAAGAUUAUUCCAGUCUCCGUCGGAUAAAUGUAGCACCGGAGACUUUACAGAAAUUUUGUUCAGAGGCUUGCCAUCGAAGUGCGCUUGCCUCAGGUAGGAACGAUACUUCAUCAAUGAGUGCUUGAAAUGGGCAACCAACCCUUGCUCAUCAUCACAAUCCAGUUUGCGCCUCGCCUAUUUAAAAGAAUGAAAUCUUGUGUCUUCUGUCAGCAGAAACAUAUGCAGUAAUGACCAUGAAUAACAUUAGUACAUUACUUACGCGUAAGUUGUGGAGGAAGACUGGAAAUUGUUCUGUGUCUGCGGUAUAAUCUUUCCAUGAAGGAAAGAUGCGCACAAAGUUCCUGACAACAACAUAAGCUUCAUCUUCUAAACUGGGAAGAAAUGGAACAGGGGUCCUAUUUGCUACAAUUGGGGCUCUCUCUGGUUCGAAAAGGGAUUUGGCAACUAGAUUUGGUGUACUCUUUGCUGGAAUGGGGGUUUUUUGCAUCGUACAGCUGGUGCUAUGUCAACUGGCAUAAUCAUAUUGUUUGCUGCAGUUGGGGUCUGCUGAGUUGGGGCAUCAGAAAUGACCAGUGUAGUAGGGCUAGAGUCUGCUAGAGUUGGGGUAUUUUGUGGGUCAGGUGAUAUUGCAACUACACCUAAUGGGCUAUUUGAUUUAUCAGGUGCCACUACCUUUUCCAAAACUUUGCUUGUGCUCCUCCACGAUCAGCAAUCGCCCUCUUCCUUUUGAAUGUCUGAUACACAAGAACAACAUUUGAAUGGAUAAAUAUGGUAUGAUGACAGAUGGAAUAUGUAUUGAAAAUGGAUAGGCAGGGCGUAUUCACAUAAACGAUGCGUAAACUAAGCUAAUGGCAGUUCAACAAAGUAGAAGCAAUGCAAAGCAUCAGUUGCAAGAUAUAUGCGAGCAAUGUAACCUUGGAAAGUUAGAGCAAGUACCUUGAUGGGUGAAUAAGAUAUGACAUCUUCCUCUGACUCCUCCACUAGGGAGAUACAUUGACUUAGGUCUCCCUCUAGCUCAGAAUCACUGUUAGGAUCAUAUUCGGAGCAUGAAUCUGUAGGUGGAGCGUGUUUGCAUUGCAUUGCAUCCAGACUUGAUUUCAGUCCCUUAAUGCCAAGUUUGACAUCCAUGGCAUUGUUCUGCUUUAUUCUUUUCAUGCGCACAAGUUCAUAAUCAUUAUGAUGGUGUUCAGAAUCUGAGAUUCAUGAAAACAUAAAAAGUAGUCAGAUUAUCUAUGGAAUGCAUUGCGGUUUCAACUCGGAGAGUGUCUCCCUAUAAAUCCCUGCAUAUGCAAAGUUCACCUCCCCAACCGUGCUGACCAGACCACACACAUAGAUACACACCCGAGCGGCGAACAUGCAUUUUUGAAACUAAUAUAGGAACAUUUAGCUGACCAAUUAAACAACUCUGUUUUAAUAAUAUCAGAUUCGUAUUUGAAGAACUAAGAUUGAUUAGCUUGAUGGGUGGAGUAGUGUUAUUAUGAAACGAAGCACGUAUUCUGAUCGUAUAGUGAUCAUAAAAGGGGGAAACUCUAAGCAUAUAAUUUUUAGCAAAAGAGGGUUUCCCCUCUGAUUUCUAUUAAAGAAACCACCACAGAACCAACAUAAUCAAUUAAACCCUAAGCAUGAUCAAUUAAACCGUAUUAUGGCUGUGCCAUGGCAAAAUUGAAGCUGCAAACCGGAGAAAUGAUAUUUAGCAUCCACUGUUUGCUUCGAACUAAGAAAUAAAUUCUAAGAGCUGAAAAGAAAGUAGAGUAACCAAGUUAAGAUCUAUUUUCUUGUUGAGAUCAAAAAGUUGACGAGAUAUGAAGUACCACCUCUCUUGCGGCGCUGUGUAGGCAUCGGGGGUGCGAUGGCUGUCGGUGGCGUUGAAGCAGAUCUGCAACGGUAGACGGGUGCAUCGGGGGAUAAGUCCCGUUGCGGUGGAAGAGAAGGUCGUGUGAGCAGCCCCGGCAAAGAGGACGACGGCGCCGAUGAAGCGAGAGGACGCCAUGCAAGGCUAUUGGUCCGUCGCCGUGGAUGAGAAACGUCCAUCUCUAGCAGUGGACAACGCGGUCUUGGUAGGCGCUCCGGCAUGGUGGAGGACGAUGGCGAUGGAUGUGGUGGAGGACGGCAGCGAUGGAUGGGGUGGCGGACGGAGGCUGGUGUGGGAAUGGGUGUUCUAGCGUGGAUGAUGUAUGAAUGGGAAAAUGGAGGGAGAGGUAUGGGGAACCAUGUUUUUGGGACGCGCUUGUCUGAAAUAUGGGAAAGUUACGAACUUAUCCCCUGUUUCAAAUUUGGACGUCUCGUCGGUUGGGGAUAGGACGGUAAUCUCGCAUCUCCCAAAUAUUUGCCGGUAACUAUUUUGGGCGAGGAGAGGGUGUUUUGCCGCCCACGGUUGGGCGCCCAUGGUGUAUGAACGGGGCUAGCAGGUAGGGUGGUUAUGUCACGUCUGAUGGAAGUUACACAUCUGCCCCUAUUUAAAAUAUUAGCCUACAUCUAUUUUGGACGAGGAAAGUUUGUCUUGCCGCCGACCAUGUAUGAAUGGGGAAUAAAGGGAGAAUCAAAUGAGUUUUGCCGCCCAUGUUUGACGCCCACCGUGUCGGAAUGGGCUCAAAGGCGGUCGUGUCACGUCUAAUUGAAGUUACUAACCUACCCCUAUUUAGAGAAGUGGAAAUCGGGCCGAUGGAUUGUUUGUGUAAUGGGUAGACAGUAAUUUCCAUCUCCCAAACACUUGGCUUCGGGCAGCCGAUGUGGGAGUGGACAUUUUGCUGUUUCUUUCGAAUUUUGGGACAAUAAGCAUCCACGUUUACCCUGACAACUAAAUUCGAAUCCAUUUUGUAUUCCUAUAUGAAUCUUUAUAAAUCAUUCUAUGUGUUUUUAUAUAUCUUCAAAAGGACGACAAAGAUGUAUUCCACUGUCAUAUAUGAAUAUGGUUUACAAAUGCCGAUACUCAAAUUCAGAAACUAGAAUCCAGUUUAAGGUGAAUUCGAAUAUUUGCAACACUUCAUGUCCAACUCAAAUGUCACACGCAGCAUAAUGUGUACUCCCAUUUAGAUAUGUGCACAAGCGAUGUAUCAAGAUUCAAAUACCGAGUCAAUCAACCAAGAAUGUACGGAACUAACAGACAUAUAAACACUUAUAGAGUAUAUGGAUCAAUAAUAUCAACUAACAUACAUAAGCCAGGUCGCUGUACUUUUUUUGGCUACAACAGCAUCCUUUUUUUAGCCAGCAUCUUGGCCCUUUCCGAUGCGUGCCACUUAUGGUCCAUCUAUACUAGUAUUGCUGAAUGCACAUUCAGCCCGAUUGGCAUAUUUGUAGGUCUGGCACAACAAUCCAAAUGAAAUGUCUCAGAGUCUUAUCAAUUAAUACAGACUUGUGCUCAAAUAAAAUUACAAACAAAAAACAAAAAAAAACAAUUAUUACAUGAUCUCUAAAGCAAAUGGUUUGAUUGAUUACAUGAACAGACAACACAAAGGUUAUUCAACUAUGGAAAGAACAUUUCACCUAUGAUUUACCAAGUAGGAAUUUAAUUUCCUUUUUUCCUUCAGGACCUUAACAAUCUAGUCAGUCUCAGCUUGCUUCUUUUGAAAUCCACCAAAUAUUUAAUGGUUGUCUUGAGUACUGCUUGUAAUUGUGCUGUUUGCUUCCUCAACAUGUCAACUUCAUCUCUAACUGCAGAAGCAGAAUCUCUUUCUACCACUAGUUUAGCCUCUAGAGCAUCAGUAGUUGGCAAUUCAUAAUGCACGAUUGGGCCGGUGCCACUGCUGUGGGAUGAUGCAACGUCCAUGGGGACCUCGCUCUUUGAUCUUGGGCUAACCUAUUUUGCCAUUAAAGUUCCGAUUGGAUUCAGAAAAGUUGAAUUUAGCAAAACAUCUCAACUGGGAGUUAUAAUAGCAAACUAGUUAAACAAACAAGGAAGUAAAGAGUUUCAAUUGGAUGCUGAAAAGUAGUUAUUAACAUCAUUGUAACCCGCUGUUGCAGCAGCAAAGCAGUUAAACAAACAAGUAGAUAUUUAAGUUAAGGCAAAUAGGUAAUUCUUAACAGUAAGUAUCAAACACAUAGAUAGGCGCAGUCUACAAUAUGAUUAACAUGAUGUGCCAUUAUGUAAUCAGUAGCAAACUAAAUUAAGCCAAGCAACGUAAUUGAACAAUUUCGCAAUAAGUGGCUAACUAAAAUUCCGAGAAGCAGGUAACUGAACUUAUGCUAGUUCUUUGUACAAGCACACUGCAACUUCUUUUUCGCUUACAUGGUUGUACGAAGGAGUCCAUGGCAUCAAUUGCUUGGAUACGCAGUCCUAAUACUUCUUUCUUCCCACAUUGCAUGGGUAAGUCGAAUGGUUAAUCUGGUAAGAUGGUGCGUCCUUGAUAUGUUAUAUGAGGACGUGUAGUCAGACUAGUUGUAGCCAAACACAUCACACUGGCUUUUACUGUAUAUUUCAUGCGAUUACUUUUGGCAUAUCGAGAUCUAAGCAAUCUACAAUAGGAUGAAAAGACUGGCAUCCUUCACAUUAUUGGCGAACUUAGUUCAUAGAAACAAGCAAUUCAACCAUUCUGUGGGUAAAUCAAAAGCGCCACUGGAAUAUUUUUCACUAUCCAAUCAUACACGCAAAAAGGGGCGACGCCACCAUAGGGGCUGGUAUGGGUGGCCGCCUCAGGUGGCUGGAAAGUGUGCACCUAGUUUGAGUCAUCCAGGUUGGCCCAUGCUAGUUUUGUUCGUCCCAACGCACGAGCAGGCAAUGUAAAAAAUGAAUAAAAAUGUUUCAAUUUGGAUGGACCAAAAACAUAAGUGCAAGGCAGGCCCUAUAGCAGGCUCGCGGCCCAAAUGAGCACCUCCCAUAUCGAUCGACAGCAGGAAAAAUCCCAAUUCAUUCGCUCCAGCCUCCAGUCUGGUUCGCUCCUAACCUAGCCGCCGCUGGACAGACCGACACGGCACUUCCCCGCGCCCUCGUUGGAGGGCGGUUGCUGGGCUUCAAGUGAACGGAAGGACAAGAAGAUGAAGAUCCAACCCUGGGUGUAGCCUACGUGGGAGGCAGCGGCGGCAGCACGGGCAUGGCAUCGAGCUUGCGCAAAUGGACAGUCGCUAAUUGCAAGAGUAGCAUGCGCAACAAGCAGGUACAUCACAUCCCUGAUUAUAUCUAAUUCAACUCUUCAAUUUCUGGCCAAUAGUUAAACCUGACGGUGUUGUAAAACUGCUUGUAUGUAGGGAAUCUAUGAGAAAAUGAAACCAAUUUCUACUUAUUUUAUAACUCCCCCAAUCAAUACUGAACUGACUAAAUCUGAUGUAUCUAAUCAAGUUUCCGGUGCAAACAUACAAGCUCAUGUUGUUCUUGAGCCUGAAGUGUCUAAUGAACAGACUGCUAAUGAAGGAUUUGAUGCAAACAUUUUACAUGCUCCUGGUGAUGAACAUAUAGUGUCUAAUGAGGGAUCUAAUGCAAGCAUUUUGCAAGCUCAUUGAAGGAUUUAGUGUCUAAUGAUGAUCUACUAUGUUGAGAGAGACAGAGAUUUGCAGGCAUUGAUGACAAGAAAAUUAUAGUGCAUUUUCAUAGCUUGAGGAAACGUCGAGGCCAUCUACCAGAAAGUCCCCGUAUCAUGACAACAUAGCAUAAAUACUUUUCUAAUCUGUUGUUUGAAACUAUUGGCAUACUUGUGCAUGAUAGAUAUAUUGAUAUGCAGUUUGCGCACUGGUUAUACGUGCAAUUACACUUCGAUAUUUUCAGCCAGAGAACGAAUAAUUCAAGCAGGUACAUACCAUGUUUGUAGUCCUUGUACACCAUGUUGCAUUUUACGUUUUUUGGUGCUUGCAUCAUUUAGUGUUUAUAAUCUGAACUACUUUGGAUCAUUAGCUGGUUUUCGAAGUGCAUGUAGCUUCACAUUUCUCAAGUUAUGUUGAUUUCCGGAGUGCAAGUGCCUUCGUAUUUUUUAAGUUAAAUGUUCGCCCUUGGUAACUUGAAUUCGUCGAUCAGCCACUGCACACAAAUCAUACACGAAUACCAGUACGAAUUAAAUGAAAUGGAGGGACUUACGCUAGCUCAUUGUAGAGGCUCACUUCAGCUCUGCUUGCGCUUGGGAUGUUCCAUGUACAAGUCCAUGUUACCACUUGCUUGGAUGUGCAGGCCUUGUGCUCCUUGCAUCCCCCUCUGCAUUUUUGACACGGCGAAUGGUUGAUCAAAUAAGAGGAAUCAACCUUGAUGUUGUACCGGAGGACAUAUACUUACAAGGUUAUACGGGUGUGCAAGAUGUGUACCAGAUCCCGUAGCGCCGUCAUGCUUCGCUAAAAUAUGGAUUUGCUUGUUUCAGAUGAUAUCUCCAGAAGAAAUAAGAGUUAAGGUCAGAGUUGCAUAUGCGUGUAAGCUAAGAGAGCAGUGAAAGGAUAUCCAAACAUCGUUGGAACAGUGCACAAGGGAGUGAUGUGUGGAUACCUAGUUCGGGCCGGCGUUUGGGCAUGCUCGCCUAGCUAGAGUCCGGGUCACUUCAGAGCCGUUGAGGGUGAUGCGCUGGCGUUGGCUGGUCGUGCACGGAUGCAGAUCUUGAGUGGCAGCGGAGCACUACGAUGCGGUGGACGAGACCGUUGGUGAAGCCCCAACGGCCUCAGGGGGCGGAGGUGCGACGAUGUGCUCGGUGAAGUAGCCCCGGUGAGCUGGGAGACGACAUCAGUGAAGCGCACCUGAUGCAGUGGAACUCGGUGUCUGUGAGGCACGUCGGUUGCGGCGGCCGACGUUGUCGGUGGACCACCCGGUGUGGUGGACGACGACGUAGAUGAGGUAGCUCUGGUGCGGUGGUGAAGCGCGACCAUCGUCUUCGUCGUCGUCGUCCGGCAUAGACGUGGGGAACGGUGGGGAAAGAGACGAGACGAGGGGCGAUUCGAGGGUUGGCGGUGAAUUAGGGAUUUGAGCAAUCUGGGCGUGGAAGGGGACGGUGGAGAAGAGAGAUUUUGCAGGGCUGGAAUUGGGGCCGCCAGAUAUUUCAAUCCGAAACAUGGAAGCGCGAACUUAUAUUGUCGUCGUCUUUUUUUUGGGGGGGAGGAAGGGGGGGUGGGUGGCUGGGUGCUACGCGUCCGUCCGACACACGCGACCACCCCGACAGGACUAUGCUUCGGUGCCUUAAGGCACCUGCCUUUGUGUCCAUGACAUAUGGGCCCAACAGGUGGCUGGCCCACAUGUCAGUGAUGCAAAGGUAGUUGCCUUUAAGGCACCGAAGCAGCGUCCACAACGACACGACCUUGGUUUGCCUGGUGUGCCUACAUUUGAGAAUGCAAAUGAAUCUUCUUUCAUUUGCAAACGAAUCUGUAUGUAUUACCAUGCCCGUGUUUUCCUUGCAAUAAUUAGUCAUUCGAAACGAGAUACUCCAUCCGUUCACUUUUGUAAGUCAUUUCAAACAACUUAAAAUGAACUGUUUUGCACAUUGUCUGAAAUGUCUUCAAGGUCUUAUAAAAGUGAAUAGAGGGAGUUUUAUAAAUUAAUUAAUGAGGAGUUAUUUGAAAAAAAAUCAAAACGGUACCCACGCUAACGUGGAUUAGAGUGUGUCUCACAUAAUUAGUUAUUUGAAUUAGAGUGUGUGUCACGUAGUUAGUUAUUUGAAUUAGAGUGUGUGUCACGUAGCGAUCUUCAAUUCUAACGUGGAUUUCGCAUUUCACUGUAUCCAUGCUACUUUUUUUAAUACAAAUGCAUAUGUAUAUGAUGAACACCAUGGUAGUGAGAAAACUUUUGGAUGGAUUCAAACAUAUGACCUACAGAAUAGCACAACAAACUGAGUCAAUGUCAACUUUUCGAAACUUAGUAUGGCACGAAUUCGAAAUAAUUACCCAUGUGCCUGCUCCUCGGUUCAAAUCUUACAAUGUACACCGAAUUGAAACAUCGAUAUUAAGUCUCGUAGUAUGUACAUUCAAAUGUUGUUUUUAGCCCCCCCCCCGCCGCGCACAAACGCCACAUACUUCCUGUAUCGGUCAAUCUUCCUCUAUUAACCACCUUAGGAUGCUACCGGUUUCCAACACACGUUCAUUCUUUCUCUCCAUGUUUCGAUCUCUAAGUCUCUCAACUACACAACCCCUUUUUCUACUCUGUUACCAAAUGUAUUUACCUCACACACCCGCCAUUGCACCCCAUGCCGAGCUCUCUCUCUCCCCCCUCUCCCUCUCACCCUAUCGCGCUAAAUACAUGCAUUGCCUAUCUAGCCCCCCAACCUCUCGUGCAUGCGCACGCAUGCACGUUGUAUAUCUAGGUCACUCCCUUGAGACUGUCUCACUCUUUCUUCCGCACGGCGGGCCACACUUGCUAAAUCUUGCUCUAUUCAUCCGAGUCUCGUUUAACCUCGUUUUCUUUCACACACAAAUGAUAUAUCUCCCUGUUCGGGCCUCGAUCGACACACUCUAUACUCUCUCACGCAGAUUGUCUAUCUAGGUCAGUCCAUCCAAGACGCCACCACUCUUUCGGCCUCAUGGUGGGCCACGCUCACUCAAUCUCUCUCUCUCUCUCUCUCUCUCUCUCUCUCCGUAUGUCUCGAUUGACCUUGCUCUUUCUCGGACAAAAAGAUAUAUCACCAUGUUUGAGCCCAAUUCGACUAUUCACAUUGUAUACUCUCUCACGCACAUCGUCUAUCUAGGUCACUCUCUCCAACCCAUCUCACUCUUUCGAUCGCACGGCGACCCUAUGUGAUCGGUUGACCUUGCUUCCUCCCACGCACAAAAUAUAUCUACACGUCUUCACUUACUGGUGGGUUCCAUGUGUGCUCUCUCUCUGUCUCGUCCCCUUCUGCGUUUAGACGCACAGGCAAACAUGAAGAACUCGCGGGCGAUGUUGCCGUUGACCAUAUCUAGACGCGUUCACAAGUCACGGCACCAGUUUCACGUACUAGGAGCACUAGUCAGUGUGUACGUGCAAUGCACGUUAAUUUGGAUGUAUAUUAAGUGCAUGCGGAUAUUAACUACUAGGAUAUUAUUCGCGUGUUGUCAUGUGAUUAGCACUAUUUUUGGCAUGAAAUUAACUGCACGCUAAACGUGUUGAGCGCUCGACAUUGAAGCAGUCUAGGUCGUUGGAUGACAAGGAAUACAUGUGGCUUGAUGACGUUUUAUAUUUAAUUUGAUAUGGCUCUAGCAGAACAUCCAAUCGAUCAAACCAUACAUUUCGUUCAGUCUGACUCCGACUUUAAAUUAUACGACGAUCGAUAUAAAAUAAACGGAAAUGAUAAACGUUCGGAUUUUAAGCAUGGCAAUACGAACGUUUUUCAUGGCAAAUUUAGAUUAUGCGGCGGCGGCGGGGGCGUCUCGCAGUGGGAAGCGGCUCCUCUGCCGUGCUCUGUGUGUCGUCGGGCCACUGACCAAUGGCGACGGCGGCGUCUUGCGCCGUUGUUGGCGUACUCCUGGACAUUGGCCUAGCUCCAAGGAAGGCCAAAAUGUUCUAGACUUCGGAGCGAGUCGACUGGCGGGAGGAGGCGACUAGCAUUGGUGCAAGAAAGCGGUCGACGGCGGCCAUCCAUGCCGCUGAGGGGGGCACUGGCACCCGUGCGGGGACAGGCGCUGUCAACGGCGCGGCGGAGACAUUCGUGUGCACAGGCACCGGCACGGGCGCGCACGUCAGUGCACGCGCAGGCGCAUGUGCUGGCAGGUGCACGGGCACCGGCACGGGCGUGCGUGUCAGUGCACGUGCAGGCGCAUGUGCUGGCAGGUGCACUAGCGCGUGAAAGUCGGCGGGCACCUUGUGGAACCCCGUGGGAUCAAGCUCGGCGACAAUGUGCAGCUCCCAGCCCAUCAAUGCCACGGGGAUGGGCGCUGGCGCAGUCGGGGCGACGGGAGCCGGAACGGGAGCGGGGACAGGCGCGGCGUCUUCCCGCAUGGCCAGUUCAAGCUCGUCCCAAAGCGCCUUAUGUUCUUGAGACUCCGGCUGGUUGUCUUCCUCAGGAAACUGGAACACUAAGGGCAGACCAUCGUGAUGCGGCAUGGCGUAAGUUUAGGUCAGGCUAGUUGGAGGUAGAUGAUAGGAGAAUCGGAGAGGAAGAGAGAGGAUUGUAGCGAUACUCCUUCCUUUCCGAUUUAUAAGGCUCAAUUCAAAAAUCUCACCAACCAAGGUAUAUGGUGAGUGGUGGAAUACUUUUUGUAGUUUGCAAAAGCACCCAAUUAAUGCUCUUGUUUUUCUCAAAAAAUAUGUUUACCAUUGCAUUAAUUGCAAUGCAUGCAUGCAUAAAUUACAUGCAUUGGUCAAUUUUCUCUUAAUACUUGCAUGCAAUGAUUUAAUUUAUCUUGGAAUUUGAACAUGUGAUGGGAAACAACAAAAUUGAGCCUUAUAAAAUGGAAAAACUAAUAUUUUGAGAUAAGCCCUAUAAACCGGAAAGGAGGGAGUACCGGGUAGUGCGGGGUUGAUUUUAAACCGCGGCGCCAGCGACAUUAAAAGUGGGAGCAGUUGGGACGACGAUGGGCGGUGGAGCCUGGUUAAAGGGCUCGCCUCCCGGUGAGCCUGCACAGCGGUCUGCUCGCACGCCUCCCUAACAGCCGGUGCAACGGUCUGCUCGCACGCCUCUCGUCGACUCACACGCUUGCUCGGACGGCACCUGCCGAUUGCCGAUGAGAAGCGGGGACUCAUGGUGGCACGUAAACGCCCAUGGUUUCAAUAGUGAAAGCGUUUGCCUUAACGUGACAGGUCUUUCUUACAAAAUACCUUGGCUCUUCAUUUGUGCAACUUGUCAUAAGUAGCUUGUCUCAAAUUGAAGAAAAAACUUACAAAAUAAUAUUUGUGCCAUAUCACGUGACCAUGCUUAGUUUCAAGAAUUUAUGGUCACUUUUGGAUUUUCAGAAAUUUAAGAUCCAGGAUUCGAAACAAUAUCAUAACCUGCAUCAUGCAAUAAAUUUUCAAGUCGUACAUCUGACCUGUUGUAUUUCUUAAGAAAGGAUUUGGUCAAACAUUUUGCUUAGUUAUACUUCAGACAAGUUAUAUAUGCAGAGUAAAAGGAUAAUCCCUCCGUACCAGUGCAUUGCCUGAUAUAUUAACUCAAGUAAUAUGCACGAACAAACGGGCUCAAUUCUGUGCUCAUCCUGGUGUAGUAGUAGUAGUAGUAGUAGUAGUAGUACUAGGCAAUGCAGUUGACGGGUGACCUUGACGAGCGGCGACCGAGGGAAUUGAACUGUGCUCGACACGGUAGGUAACGUUGUCUAGUUACUAAAGCAUCCCUCCGUUGUUCAUCGGUAGUCAUUAUGGACCGGGGACAUGAGGGGAAUUUCCUAGGGCUAGAAUUCUGGCCGCCAGAUAUUUUGACUUGAAACGCCGAGGCUCGACUGGUUGGGGUAAUGGGGUUGCCUAAUGUGCGUACCACGCACGCCACCGAAGGACACGAGCCCGCUUUUUUUUAGGAUCAACACGAGCCAAGGUGUGGCUGGUACGCCGUUGGGUCCUACCAUUCGAGAAUACGAAAUGAACCUUUUAAAUUGCCGAACGAAUCUAUGUGUAUUACAAUACCCGUAUUUUCCUUGCAAAUACUAAUCUCAACGUGGUAAUUGAUUUAUGAAGAGUUGUUGAAUUAGAGUGAGUUUGUGAUAUAGUGAUCUCAACGUGGAUUUCACAUUUCAUGGUAUCCCUAGUACGUUUUCCAAUGCAAUUUCAAAUUUAAAAGAUGAACAACAUGGAGGUGAGAAAACUUUGUAUGUAUUAAGCAUAUGACCACACACACACACACAGAGACACACACGCACGAACACAACAACAAUCCAAUAAGUAUAGUGCAUCUAUUUUUCCAAACCAUGCAUGUAUGACACGAAUUCAAAAAUACUCCUUCUAUUCCUAAAUAUUAGUCUUUUAGAGAGUUCAACAAGUGACUACAUACGGAACAAAAUGAGUGAAUCUAGACUCUAAAAUAUUUCGAUAUACAUCCGUAUGUGCCAGUCCAUUUGAAGCCUCUAAAAAGACUAAUAUUUGGGAACGAAGGGAGUAAAAUGUAAGACAUCCAUGGUCCUCAGUUCAAUAUUUAAAAUGAACAUGAAACUGAAACAUGAAUAUUAAGUCUAUUACUACAGUACAUGCAAAUGUUCUGUUAAGGCGGAGCUAUGAUUGUCGGGGGUCAACCCCUCGACCUUAGAUAAAAUUGUGGAGUUCUGUUUAGGGUUGUUUAGAUUAUAUUUGUCCCCACCCUCCCAGCCAUCGAUUGGUUGUGCACCGCCACCCCUCCUCCCCGGGAGAAUAUCAUGUGCCCCCAUACCUUAGAUGCUAUAUGCCGAUACGAGUUGCUUGGAGCUUGUAGAUCUGAGAUAUAGCAGCUCACAUGAUGUGUCUUAAUAUUUCCGCAGGAAACCUUGAUGAGUUUGAGAAUUGCACACAAUUUGUACAAAAACUAUUUAGAUGCCCUUUGAUCCCAUAUCCAACGACCUCGAAGCUCGUAUCACCGUAGCAUCUAAGAUGAAGGAGGGAUCAUAUUCUCCUGUAUGUAAGAAUAUCAUGUGCUACCACACCUUAGAUGCUUUGGUGAUACAAGCUCUUCGGAGGCGUUGGAUUUGUGACCAACACCUGCUCGGUGGUUCGAAUGGUUUUUUGCAAAAAAGCCCCAAAAGAGUUCGGCCACUGCUUACAAGCACAAAGACUGCUCAGAUGCCAUUGGAUCUCAGAUCAAACGACCUCCAAGCUCGUAUCACCGUAGCAUCCAAGCUGCGAUAGCACCUUAUGUUUUCUCGCAUAGGAUAGUAUUAUGUGCUCCCGCACCGUAGAUUCUAUGGUGAUACGAGUUCACUGAGAUCUAACGGCCCAUAAUAGGAGGUUUGAAUGUUUUUGCAAUAUACGGCUGAUAGAGUUUGGGAAAUGCGCAGAAAGUACAAGUACUACGCAUGUGCCAUCUGAUCACCGAUCAUAUGACCUAGAUGCUCAUAUCACCGUAGCGGGUAAUUAAGCUACGGGGAGCACCUAAUAUGAGCAUCGGGGAGCCGUUGGAUCGAAGAUGCAGCGGCACACACGAGGCCUGAAUGUUUUAUUUGCAAAACAACCUUUGGAGAGUUUGGAAAUUGCGCAUAAUUACGAAGACUACUCCCAAGCCAUUGGAUCUCACUUCCAACGGUGUAAAAACUCGUAUCACCAUAGUAUCUAAGCUGCGGGGUGGAUGUGAUAUUCUAUGUCGCUGUCAUUUUUGUUCGUAAACUUGCAAAAUACGUGUAACUCGUGCCGUUACUUGUCUAACCGCGCAAAGUGUUUGUUCAAAACAAACCAUCCUACAUUGAAAUAUCGGAACAACACACGGGGGUCCCACUUGUCAUUAAUCAAAUUUGGACCUAAAACUAACAAAUCUGAAAGACGAGAUUCAAACUGGCAACCUGGACUACAAAGCGUAAGUCGAUAGCCUGAAAAAACGAACGGUUGUUGGCUUUGUCCCAUAACUUGAUUUUAUUUAUACAGUACUUUCGUUGAGUAGAGUAGAGGGAGUGCCUCGUCAACACGUGCAUGACCGUUGUCUCACUUACUGGUGGGUCCCAGGUCUGCGAUCUCAAUCUCUCUUCUCUCCAUCGUCUAACCUUUGCACGUGCACACACGAAGAGCGGCGCUAGCUUGCCGUGGUGUUAUUACAACAAAAAAAGCUUGGAAAAUAGAAGAAUCGCUUAGAACAAGAGACGUUGUGGCUGGUCGAGACGGAGCUAACCACAUCUACCCUCCGUGCCACGUUUGCAUGAUGAAGCUGUGUGGCUAGUGGGGUGUUUUCGACCGAUUAGCUGGGUCCCGAGGUCGAACCAUAGGUACUACGUCUGAUACAGUAUAUUUUUACACGCACAUUUUUCCUCCAUGCCGAGACGUGGCACACCCUACCGCGUGGUUUCGGGGUCCUCCCAGGUGGUGCACGCAUAUAUUCUUCCUGACGUGGGAUGCCCUACAACGCGUUUUCUGGGUCCUCCUCGGUCGUAGCGCCGAAGCAAGUAAAUGAGUCGUCAAAUCACGAAAGACCACCUUUCCCGCCGAGUACAUCAGUGAAGCACGGUGGCUAGCUAGAUGGGCUAGUUCGACCGAUUAGCUAGGCCGCCGCCACAUUUGUUUUUCACCCCUUUUCUUAUCUACUUGCCAGCAGGUAAAUAUAAAUAUCCACCAUGGCGUUUCUCUGGUGUUUGGGUGCGGUAGGAUUUUCAUUUUUUUGAUUGACGGGAGCAGGCGCGACAGUAUUUUUAAUUUUUUGAUUGACGGGAGCAGGCGCGGCAGCAAUUAGUCACGAUGACUCCGCCUGUAAAAACCCACCGCUCCCUGAUGUGAGAAGUCAUCGACUGGUGUUUUACCCUGGUGAAAACCAAAAGAUUCCCCGUUCCCUCCGCCUUCCCGUAGAUUACAUUGCCUUUCAGCCGUUUCGCCCCCUUUGCUUCCUUUCCCCAUUGCUUCUACCUGGUGCCAUGGCGGCGCAUGAUCACGGAGUCCGAGGUGAGGCUCCUGACACAGGAGCUCCAUGCCAAGGAUGCGGAGCUCAGGGCCAAGGACGUGGAGCUCCGUGAGCUCAAGGAGGAGAGGAGUGUCAUGCUCCUCCGUUAUGUGUAGGAGUUCACGGAGCUUCAAAAGCGGCAGGCGUCCACCACAAAGAUGCUCGAGGCGUCGGCGGCGUUGCUGCAGAAAGUGAGAGAUACGAUAGGCCGUCAGGGGAGCCGACUGGAGCGUGAGCGGGCCGAUCGUGACGAGGUCCAGGAUCGCCUCAGCCACUUGGUGAACCAAGUUGCCACGCACGUGUUGCGGCUGCGUGAUGCCUACCGUCGUGCCAGCGCGACGAUGUCGGCCAUCGGGCUAAACCCGUUCGACUACCCGGUUGACUUCAACAAGUUGCGGCUUCCUGACCUGGUCUUCCUCUUCACCUAUAUCUCCGAGGAGCUGAGCCGUCUCCGCGCGAUGGUGGGGGCUGAGCUGGACAAGGAGGGGUUGUGGGCUGCCGUCGCUGUUGCCGGGCGAAUGCUUUCAGGGCUCUGUCACCGGAAUCCAUUCGUGCCAUUGGACGCCGUCUUUGACGAGCUGGUUCCCAUCGACCGGGAGCGGGCUCUGCGAGCGGUUGCAUCCUGCAUCACCAACGUCAUGCGCCUUGAGAAGCAGAGGGACUUCGGUGGUGUUUAGGCGCCCUCUACAUGGGCAUGUCCAUGUCUCGGCGCAACAUGACCGUUGGAUCAAACUCAGACGGUGCAGAUCAGUCACUAUAGCACAAAGCGUGUGGGUGUGUUUGGUUGCAUUCUCAUCUCAAUAUAGUUGUUUCCUCUUCGUGUAUUUAUUACAUAUAGGAGUAGUUGACAUGCGCACAACAUCAUUUGUUAUCGUUAUAUCUUACUACACACUAGCAACAAGAUUGUGUAGUACUGACGUAUGAACCACUGCACAUGCCUAGUAGUAGGAGCACUGUGUAUGUUCAAGUGGCUGCCGUGUUUCGCACUCCUCCGUCGUAAGAGUGGAAACGCUUGCUGUAAUCAUUUUUUCUUUUGAAAAACAGUGGACACACUCUACCGUGCGGAUCCUCCUCCAGCCAUGCACUAAAUUACUCACUUUCCCCAACGUGUGGGAUAGCCAGCAUCAGGGUCCACCAGCCAUGCACUAAAUUACUUUGUAGUAGAGUGACGGUAGACUACCCCGAUCGAAGCGCCGCAGUAAUGCCCAAUGAGCCGUCAAAUCACAAAACCCCCUCCUUUCCAGCAGUAAGUUGGACGGACGAAGCAACCAUCAUUUCACUCUUCUCUCUCAGCUUCCUCUCUACCCAACCAUCGCUUCUGCCUCAUCUUGUUCCUCAUUUCUUCAAGAAAACCCCGACCUGCUUCUGCCAUUGUUCUUCUCUCCCAAAGAAGGAAAGGUGAGCGCAUCAAUGGUGUUGAUUCUGGCCAAGGCCCGGUCUUGCAACCCCGAGACCGAUCCUAUAACUCCCUCUCUUUUCUUCUUUUGGGUUUGUGAUUAUGGUUUCUUUUCUUUUAUUUCUAUUUGACAGUUUCUUGAUGGACGCUGGAGCACCGGCCGAAGUGAUGUCUAUGGCUCCGGCCAAAACCGUCGAGGCUCAUGGUACAAAGAAGCGCAAGCACCCCGCCGAGACUACCGCAGACAAGCUCAAAGCCAUCGCCCUGUCCAAGCCCCCCUCUUCGGGAUCCCUCAUUAAGCAAGUCCAGGUAAUAUCUCUUCUUGACGAUCUUCUUCUCGAUCUUGAUCGUGUUUUAGUACUAGUAGUACAACUUUCCGGGUGAUCUUUCAUGUGAUUUUUGUGUGCCAAAUGAUGGUUCUAAAUUCCUCUUUUGACCAAAACAUGCGAGAGGUUGACACUAAUUUCUUAUAGAUUACUUUCAACUACUCCCUCUGUCCCAAAUUUCUUGUCUUAGAUUUGUCUAGAUACAGAUGUAUCUAAUACUAAAAUGUGACUUGAUACAUCCGUAUCUAGAAAAAUCUAGGACAAGAAUUUUGGGACGGAGGGAGUACUUUAUGAACAUCAAUGCUAGCUUUUAAGAGGGUAUAUUUGCCUCAGUAACUUGUGUUAUGGAUUUUGCAUGUAAUCCCUCUGCUCUCAUGCCUUUGAAGACAUGUUCUAGUGUCUUUGUUCACUCAUUUCUGUGCGUAUAUGUAGUCAUAUAUGGAGUAUAAUAUCGAAAAUCAUCUUAUAUUUUCUAAACGGAGGUAGUAAUAAAAUAUGGUUUCCGUUUGAAUUAGAACCAGGUCCGCGGUGGAGAUGAAUUUCUCAAAGUCAUGCCGUGUGAACUGGAAGACCUGAUGAUGAGUUCUACUGCCGAACUAUCCAGCUGCUGUGUCCUUGUCGCCACGUGUCCUGAACUAGUGUUUUCCUGUAGCAUCGUUGCCAAGCGUGUUCUCGAGGCUGUACUUGACCACAACAAUUUCCUGGCUGUGCCUUCGAUUACAAAGGGUGUGGUUCUUGUAAAGCUUCCCAACAAAUCUGAUGCGGCCUGUCUUCAUCAUCAUGUUUAUGAGUGGAAAGACCACUCUGUUAGGUUAUCCAAGGUUGACAAGAUGGUGAUGGUGCGUGUAGACAUCUCACACGAAGUGCAUGGCCUAGUCAGUUAUGCGGGGUUCAUCCCGUAGGUCGGUGGCAAGAAAUAGUCUGCAGAGUUUAGUUAGUGCAACUUUGCUUGUCUGUAGUAAGUACUAUUGUUCAGUACUUGAUUUGCGUUUGUGAACCCUGUAUUUCUAUUAGUAUUGCUGCUUUUGGUGUGUGGUCAGUCCUGAGAACGGUCUAUGUUAAUGUCUGUCCAGUCAAUUCAGUCUGUAUAUUUUGAAGUAUCCAGAUCAUAUUUUUUGUGAGGACGGUUUAUCAAUUAUGGUUACACUCCAAUAUCUGUAUGCAUUGCAGGGUUUAUCGCACCCACCAGGAUUUCCAGUCCCAUGGAUGUUCGGUCCAUACGAUUUGUCACGACCUUUGGACUGUCCUGCUUGUGGGAGUAGGCAGGGCCCCUGCAUGCCACGCGUAGUUGGACGAUCAAUCUUCUGUUUAGUACUUCAACAUAGUGAUUUCCUGGUAAGGAUUCACUUGUGUCACAUCAAGUAAAUCUUAUUGAUUUACUGUCUAAAUCUUAUUGAUUUAAUGUCAUGUUUUCUUUCUUUUCCUGCAAUUUUACGAUGCAGGUUUUGCCAUGUGACAUUCAUCACAGAAUAAACCGUUUGGUUUGCUCUACGAUGGCUAUUUUUGCAGGUUUCACUUCUUAUGUCGUGUCAGUAAUGAAGGCACUGUCCAUCACUUAUAUUACUGGAAAAAAUUGGAUCAGUCUGUUGUUUGAGUACAAGCUGAAUCCCUAUGAUGGACUGCAGUUUGGUUUAACAAAAAAUGCCACAAUUAGUCCUUCUGCGUUUAAAAGAAAUGAAGAAAAAAACUGGAUCAUGGUCACGGAUCCUAGUCAAGUUAGAAAGCUGAUCAUAGCAGACCAGACACGAUCGCCGCUGUCUCGCACAGAUCGAGCACCGACAGUUGCUCUAGCACUGGUAGCGGCAGCAGCUCAGUCUGAUCCAGCUGAGGAUUGGGCACCAACCGCGUCAGCGGAUCAGUCUGAUCUACCGGAGGAUCGGGCAACGACACCGGCACCUGCUCCGACACUGGCACCAGCUCUACAAGGAGCACCAUCUCCAGCAGCAGCGGCUUUGACACCUACACCAACACUUGCACUUGCAUCUGCUCCGGCCCGUGCAGUUGCACCGGCAACAGACUGGGCCGCAGUUUGCACUUCAUAUACCAAAGUCCUUACAAAAAUCGACAUGUCCACCUUCUUGGUAAGCAUUGGCCACCCAAGUGCUUCAUUCUUUUUUUCCAUGUUGUUUCACAUGAUUCACUGUGUUGAUCUAACUGUUUGGGUAUGUCUUCUUGUUUGCAAACAGAGAAUUCCUAGAGCAACGAGGGAGUCGUUCAACAAUCCGGGCGACCGCGGCCAAGUUUCUCUUACCAUGCGCAGCCUUGGUGUGAAUGAACCUACUCAAUAUAACGUAAGUACAAAGGAUGGUCGCAUGAUGAUUGAUGCUAAAGGAUGGUCAAGGUUCAAAUCUAAAACAUAUCUUGCGGUAGGGGAUGAUGUCAAAAUCGAACUUUCUCGGCAAGGAGAGCUGGUCCAAAUCAACUUUGAAAUUAGCAGCACGCAACUGCCGAACUGAUCUAUCCUCCGAGAGAUUUUGAUGUAAUAAUCUGGCAUGGUGAAACAAGUGUCCUGUGUGUAUAAGUAGUACGGCAGUAUUAUUUAUCACAUGGUAUAUCAUUGAUAGAAUUGCAACUCUAAUUGCUGGUUAGGAACUGUCGUUCGAUUUCAUUCCAACAGCUGCCGUGCUUUAUUCAAUUUUGUGUAUUCGCCUUGCGACAGCAUCUAAAACCAGCGCCGUACCGAUCGCUUGCAAUAUGAAAAGCACUGAGGUAGAACACAUGGGCCCCCAAACAUGCAGGGUCGGCCUACGGCCCAAUGUCCAGAACCGUGAGCCUAUCUGAGUAUUAUAUUCUCAGCUGAACCCCCAUAAAAAAAGCUGAACCCCAAUAAUGCCCGUGCGCUGCAGAGGGAGUAUAUUUCUCGGCAAGGUGAGCCUGUGAUAUAAAAGAAUUGUAUAUUUCUUUACAGAGGGAGUAUGUCUCUGUCAAAAAAUAUAUUUAUGUGUAACUAGUUACUCCUGUCUUUCUACUUCCUUUCGCUGAUAUGUGGGGCAACCGACAACGGGGUCCACGUGCCAUAUGCACAAAUUAGAGUGCACAACUUCACGGUAGACACACCCCGGUCGUAGCACCGCAGUAAUGCCCAACGAGGCAUCAAAUCACAACCCCCCUUUCCAGCUUUAGCAGUAAGCUGGACAGACGAAGCGGCAAUAUUUCACUGGGCCUGAAUCCCCUUCUCCCUCGUCUGCUUGUUCAGAGAAAACCCCCUCUCGGAGAUUGCAUAGGGUUUUCUCAUGGAGAACCAGGUACGAAUUCUUCAUCCAUCCCCGAUAAACCCAAGUUCCUUGGUCGCAGGUAAUCCUACGAUGGCAGCCGCCGCCGUUGAUGCAUUUUUCUUCCUACUGAAUCUAGUGUGUUUCAUUUGCAGUGCCCAAAGUGCGAGUACCCUACAAGUUUCCGCGCCCUCGGCGAGACGCCACACUUGUUCCUUCUCAUCCUAACACAACAUUUUGAAACGCGCACAGUAUGUUCCUAGAAUCGUCUUUUCUAUCCGGGAGGGUGGUUUUUUUUUGAACAUGCUAUGUUCUCAUAUUAUUUUUCCUGCAGUGUAUUAUUUGCUCUGCCAGAACACAUGUACUCAAGAUGCUCGGCCUUGCCAUAACUGAAUACACUAGUUUAAUGGUCACAGUGAAGACAAGCCAUGGAUAUAAGUUCCGAGUUGGGUUCAUGAACCAAGAAGAUCGCUGCUUUUUUUUAUGGCCGAACUUGGAUAAACUUUCUCAAGUGUUACAGACUGAAAGUUGGUGCACGAAUGUUGAUGGAAAUAGCAGAACCUAGUCUCAUCUUCACUGCGAUCUUCCACCCCGACGUCGUUCCAAUUGUUCAUCCAUGUUAGUUUUGUAUCUGGUUCUUGCUUGUUGCCUCGAUUACUUCUUAAUCCACGUAUUCUGUCUAACUAAUCACAAUUUAACUUUAAAAGUAGCAACGAAUCUCUCACGAAGAUGCUACUUCUAACUAAUAUUUUCUUAUAAUUGGUGGCACGUGUAGGUUUUUUCAGAGUUAAGCAGUCUGCUCGUUUGUUACUCUGUAAUAACUCGGCUGUUACUAAUGACACUGAAGUUGACUGGAUCGACAUCCACAAGUUCCUACACUUUAUUGAUCGUCUUGAGGUCCUUGUGGGGCGUUUCAAUGGUGGAAGGCCACGUGGGAUAUGUGUGCCACUGCUGCACUCAUUGAAUAGGUCCAACUAUGUCGAGAAACUUAUGGUACGAGCUGUUUUCUGUUAUAUAUGUUGUUCAUAAACUAUUGCUUAUACACAGUUUUACAGCUGUGAUCUUCUUGAAACAGGAACUGCCGAGUUCUAUUGUUCCUAUACAGAUGCCUGACCAUGGUCGGGUCAGACUUGCGCUUGGUCACAACAUGAUGUAUAUGUCGACCUACUCAAUUCCCCUUGGAGGUGAAAAGAUACUUAUUCAUGGGUGGUCUCAAAUAAUGAAGGCCCAUCCAUCUUGGAGAAUAGGACAGAAGAUUAUGUUCAUGCUUUUCCAUAGCUCUAAAGCGAAUAUCCUAUUUAUUGACCACGUUGCGAGAUGAAGCCGCUUUCAGACGGUUGUGGAUGCGCGGGGUGGCGCCUGGGCCUUGUCCUAGGGCUUGGCAGCCUCACCCUUGGUUAACUGUAGGCAAAGUAGCACUGUUCGAGGCAUGCUUUGUACGGUUGAACCUGUAUAAGUACUCUUUCUGCUUUCAGCUUUGGUUGUUAAGUGCCCUUGCUGGUUUCCGUUAAGGUUGUUAAGUACUCCUGCUGCUUUUACAGUCUGUCGUGUUUCUUCAGUCCUGUCUUCAUCCAGCAGCCAAAACCAAACCAGCGCCAGCGGGGCCGCCUGCUUCCGCCUCCCACGGCUGGCUGCGCCUCAGCACACGCAUCGCCGCCCCACCGUCUCCUAAAUCGUUAACGCCGACGUCCUUCGCGUGCUUUGGUGCGCUCACCGCGGCGCCGCCCUCUCGCGUUGUCAACAUGGUCAACAAACAGCAGGAAUUGGCAGAAGUACGUGGAGAAGAUGACAGUAGGGGCCCACCACGUCAGCGUAUGGAAAAAUAAAAUGCUUCCUCCUAGUGUUUUCCUGACAUCUGGGACCGACGACAUUGUGAGCGUAUAUAGUCAAUAGACAAGAGAACAUCACAAGAUCGGCUGACACCUGGGACGUAGCUACUCGAGCAGUAUUUUUUUGUUUGGUAUUGUUGAGACGGAGCAGGGUUUGAACUGGGCUGUGGCCCGUCUAGCCCAGGCUUAUAUUUUAUGUUCACCAAGUGACUAGCCCAGCUACUUUUUCUUUGUGAAAAUGAGCCCAGUUUAUUUUUUCUGAAGAAUACCCAAUCCAGGCCUACUUAUUUUUCUACGCCCUGAUGGGCUGCAACUCUUUCAAGACGCCUGCAAAUCUUGAAAGUAAUAUGAAAUGGGUUGUAAAUAUAAAAACAGAUGACAAAUUGGCAAUUACUUUAUAAUUUCUGAAUUUUAUCACAUUUUCAGAUUCCUAUUUCACUGGGCAUUAGCCUAAUUUAAAUAUAUCUUCAAAGUACUUUAAAUCUGGCUGGACAUUUCGGUAUUAAAAAUAGUUUGGAACCCAUAGAAAUAUGCAAAAUUGGCCCUGGCCAACCAAAACAAUGACUACAAUAAAUUGCAUAAGAAGUUUCCAUGAGCUAUAUAUAAAUUAUUAUAUAUAGCCAUGGUGCGCUCGGCGCGGCGUGGUCAACAUGGUCAAGGAACGGCUUCCAUCGGAUGUGGACUGUACGUGGAGAGGCUGACAGCUGGGUCCACGGCCGCAGCAAGGAAGUGCCUCCUUAUUACGUGCAAAAUAAUUAUUCCUCCACCUAACAGCAGGGACCCACCAGACGGGCCACCAGUAUUUUGUGAAAAAAUCAUUUCCCCCUGAUUGCUGGGACCCACCAGACGGGCCACCGUAUUUCGCGAAAAAAACGUUCCCCCCGCUGUCAGCUCGGCCCCACCGGAAGUGCCUCCUUAUUAUGCACAAAAAAAUGAAUACUCCCCCGGCUAGCUGGGACCCACCUUGGUGGGAGGCUAACUUGUGGGCCUACUAAGUUGACGGGGAUGAAGGGCUUUGUCAACUUAGUCAAUAUGAAUGAUUCUAGCUCCAUUGACCGUGCGAUGUCCAUCCAACGGCCGUAGUGCUUCUUUAACCUCUGGUCUUCUUGCUCCAGCCGCCCAAAGCAGCGCCGGUCAUGCCGCAUGGUCCUGCCUCCCGUGGCCGGCUGUGCUGCCACGGAGGCCUCACCGCCCCCUACUAUUCCCACCGCUGGCCAGGCCCUGCGGCGGCGACAGCCUCACACCGCAGCCGAACCAGUGAACCCUCGUACUCCUCUCCACGCGCGCAGGCUUCCACUGUCGCGUCUUCCCCGGCUCCCCGUCGUCCCCUUCCUAGGCCUCGCCGUCGUCCACCGCCCUGGUGCUCUCGGGGCGGCGUGGUCAAUGUGGUCAAGGAACGACUUUCAUCGUACGUGGACUGUACGUGGAGAGGCUGCCAGCUGGGUCCACGGCGGCAGCAAGGAAGUGCCUCCUUAUUAUGCAGAAAAUAAUAAUUCCUCCACCUGACAGCAGGGACCCACUGGACAGGCCACCGUAUUUCGCGAAAAAAACGUUUCCCCCCUGACUGCUGGGACCCACCAGCUACACCUUCGCACGCAAGGAAGUGCGUCCGAGCAAAAAAAAACGAUUCGCCCCCUCACUGCUGGGACCCACCAGCUACAUCUUCGCACGCAAGGAAGUGUAUCCGGGCAAAAAAACCAAAAUGAUUCGCCCCCCUGACUGCUGGGACCCACCAGCCCCCCGACUGCUGGGACCCACUAGCUACAUCUUCGCACCCAAGGAAGUGCGUCCGGGCAAAAAAAUGAUUCGCCCCCUGAUGCUGGGACCCACCAGCUACAUCUUCGCAGGCAAGGAAGUGUCUGACAGUCGGGACCCACCUGGUCGAAGCGUAUGUAGCGUUAACAUUCUGGUCGCGAACGUGUACGUACAUACUGGUCGAUGUAGAGGCGCGCACGUGUCGUAGUAGAGGCGCACACGUGUCAUAGUAGAGGCGCGCACGUAGCAUGUACACGUACGUACAGCGGCCAGGGUGCAAGAAAGAAAAUACGACCACGUAUGUGUACAUACGGGCGGGGUCUCGAACGCCUACUCGCGCAUACUUACGGCGAGGGCUCGUGUACAUGUCUGGGUCGGAACGGAGAAACAGCGUCGUCGUCGUGUUCAUGGGUCGGAACGGAAUGCGUGGUCGUGUUCAUCGGGAGGGCUUGAAUGGAAGAGGCGAUGGAAACGAGGCCUGGCGUACCACACAACGGAGGAAACAGACCUCCUACGGUCGAAACGGGGGUCCUGUUGAUCGGGAGGGGUGUGGCGUACCGCAAAACGGAGGAAACGGACCUCCUACGGUCGAAACGGGGGUCCUGUUGAUCGGGAGGGGUGUGGUGUACCGCAAAAUGGAGGAAACGGACCUCCUACGGUCGAAGUGGGGAUCCUGUUGAUCGGGAGGGGUGUGGCGUACCGCACAACNNNNNNNNNNNNNNNNNNNNNNNNNNNNNNNNNNNNNNNNNNNNNNNNNNNNNNNNNNNNNNNNNNNNNNNNNNNNNNNNNNNNNNNNNNNNNNNNNNNNNNNNNNNNNNNNNNNNNNNNNNNNNNNNNNNNNNNNNNNNNNNNNNNNNNNNNNNNNNNNNNNNNNNNNNNNNNNNNNNNNNNNNNNNNNNNNNNNNNNNNNNNNNNNNNNNNNNNNNNNNNNNNNNNNNNNNNNNNNNNNNNNNNNNNNNNNNNNNNNNNNNNNNNNNNNNNNNNNNNNNNNNNNNNNNNNNNNNNNNNNNNNNNNNNNNNNNNNNNNNNNNNNNNNNNNNNNNNNNNNNNNNNNNNNNNNNNNNNNNNNNNNNNNNNNNNNNNNNNNNNNNNNNNNNNNNNNNNNNNNNNNNNNNNNNNNNNNNNNNNNNNNNNNNNNNNNNNNNNNNNNNNNNNNNUAGGCAUCCACGCGCCAGCAUUUCUGUGGUUGGGGUUUUUGUUUUUUUUGAAAGGGGGGGGGGUUGGGGGGUUUUGGGGGGUUAAUUUAGGUGUUUCAUAUAUUGUGUUAGCUAGCUAUAAUUAAUAGAGAGAAGUGUCCUCUCUUAUGUCCGUGCUUGGUCGACGCUACGUACUAUACAUACGUAUAGAGAGGACUAGACACGCUAGCUAGCUAGUAAGCAAACGAAGGAAACAGAAGAUCGUCAUGAACAUAUAUGCAUACAGAGAGAAGUGAUAUCGACCACCUCUCCUUCUCUGAGAGAUUGGUCCAACAACAAGUUCUCAUAUAUCUAUCCGACACUACCGGCUAUAUAUAUAUACAAUAAUUAUCUCUUACAAAUAUAAUCAUACGGACUCAGGGUCCACAUAGUAUUCUCCGUCUUCAGGGAUCACUUGGUCAAGAAAGAAUGCCGCCAAUUCCUCUUGAAUUGCUCGCAUGCGAGCUGGUGCUAGGAGUUCAUCCCGCUUCCGAAACAUCUAAUUUAAAGAAGGGGGUCAAUAUAUAAAUAUAUAUGAAUGAAUGAAACUCAACACAAAUGAUGGUAAUAAAAUAAAAUUGUGAAUGUUGUUAUUUACGUACUUCAUAUUGUUCGUCAGUGUAGCCCCGCUCACAGGUCAUGUGGCGGAUGGACUCGCAAACGCAGUAUCCACAGAAAUCAUUCCCUUGUUCCUGCCACAACCACUUUACAAGAAAUAGAGGUCAAUCAAACUGAUAAGCAAGAAUGUCAAAUGGUAUUGAUGAAACUAGCGCUUGAAUGACUAGUAGAUGCGCGGAACAUGCUACUAUAGUACUUACUUUCGGGUGUCUAAAUUGCAGCUCCUUCGGCAGUCCCGGAGCUUUUCUGGUGAAUUUUCUCCAAACCCUGCCGGACAAAGAAAACAAUUACUUGAUAUAUCAGGAAAUGAACAAAGUUGCUGAUAUGGUGGAUAAUGAUCGAUUUAACUUACUUCUCGAGUAUUUGAGUCAUGUCUGCAUAGUCCUAGGGAUCUUUUCGUCUUGAGUCUAAGACGGUUACUAGUCCCUGCUCAAGCUUAAUCUCUAGGAGAAUAUAGUGGAAACUGCACAUGCAUGCAUAACUCAUCAAUUACAUUACUAUAAACUUGACUAAUAUAUAAGGGAAACCGAAUACACACAAGACAGUAACACUCACUUGAAGUUGUAAGGAAAGAGUAUUACAUCUUUGUUUUCAUUUAUUACCAACGAUCGUAGCAAGUUGGCCUCGGUAGCUGUGGCAUGAAAUUUAACCUGAGUUGCAUCUAUGAGAUAUGUGUUAAUGAACCCAAUAUCACCAACUUGUCUUUUCUUCAAUUCGGCGAUCUUCAAUCUGCAUAAUAUAGUGAGGAUGAUUAUAAAUACAUGCAAUGAAAGAGCUGAGCUAUAUAGAGAGACUUAAUGACAGAGGUAGUACUACUUACAGACAGUAGCAGGCGACCGUUGUUUUAUCGAGGGCCAAUUGAUUGAAAAACUGAUAGAACUCCUCAAAUGGAACAGGCAACAGUUCAAUUCCAACGAGGUCAUGCUCCUUUUUUACUUUCACAUACAAAGUACUCCUCCCCUCAGAGUCUCUGCAGAUUUUCAAGUACCAAUCAUGCAAUCUUCGCAUCAUCGUUGAUAGAGAUCUUUCAUCUUUGACGAGAGGCUUCCUGUACUCGUAUCUUUGUAUCUGCACCUCCAUGGGUUCAUAAUGUACAUCGUCGGGCAGGUAAUCUGCAAGAUUGCUAUGACCGGGCACCAUCCUCGGAUCAUUAGCGACAUUGUGGCUAGGCACCUUGAGCGGGGGGCAUGAUUGCUUCGCUUGUUCGCGGAGCUGGGCAAUUUGUUUCCCAGCUUGUCAGUCUUUCAGCCUUUGAUCACUGACAGUACUUCCCGACCGCUCCGCUUCGGCAAAGUCCUUUCCAAUAAUGCGCUCAUAGUUUCCUUUCGGCGGAGACUUGGGUGCUUUUGUCAGGGCAGCCAGAGUGCGCUUCGCUUUCACCAGAUCUACCUUCUCCUCCGGAAGUGGAUGUCUCUUUGCUUUCAACCCUUGAAACCAGUCAUCCACUUCGGUUUGUGCGAUCUCGGCGUUCUCCUCCGGGGUCCUCUCGUAUGGUAACUUCUCUGGAGUCUUCAGAGAAGGACCGAAUCUGUAUGUCCUCCCGCCUCUGGCUGUACUGCUAGACGCCGACCGAGCAGACGGAGCGGUUGUCUUCUUUACUUGCUUACGAGGCGGAGGAGAAGGACUACGACGCGCCAGAGCAGCCGGAGCGGCGGCAGGUCUCUUCCGCCCUUGCUGACGAGGCGGCGAAGGAGGAGGCUGGCUGCUCGGGCGCGUCGGCGCAGGCGGAGAAGGAGGCGGAGUGCCACCACGCGCUGGAGAAGGAGCCGGUCGAGUGCCCUGAUGGACGAGGCGGAGUGCCCUGACUCGCCAGAGGAGGAGGCGGUCGAGGAGGCGGAGUGCCCUGACUUGCCGGAGGAGGAGGAGGAGGAGGCAGAGGCGUCCAGUUCGGAAGGUUGAUGAGCUCCUUCCGCCAUAGACAUGGAGUCUUCAGAGCAGACCCCAGCCUAGUCUCCCCUUCACCGGUAGGAUGGUCAAGCUGGAGAUCCUCAAAUCCCUCUGUUAUUUCAUCCACCAUCACCCUAGCAUAUCCUUCUGGAAUCGGCCGACAGUGAAAAGUUGCGCCGGGUUCAGUAGGAUAAACAGAGCCAACAGCCGCCUUGACCUUCAAAUUCAUCAAUUGCGUCAUAAGGUGGCAAUUUUGAGACUCCGUGAUAGCAUCCACGGGAUAGCUGGCAGGAGCCGUCAAGGCAUGCUCCGGCUGAAGCAGCUCGGUGGAAGCCACGCUGCUUCUUCGCUGAGAUGGCAGGGUAGCUUCGGGGGAAGCUUUGGCAGUACGUUUGCUGCGAUUUGCUUCUCGUUCCUCUAUCGCUUGUACCCUUGCUUGCAGCGCCUGCAUUUGGGUCUUCUGCACUUUUUUCCUCCUCUCAUGGGAUUUGUAACCACCUGCGUCCGGAAACCCAACCUUCCACAGAAUGGAGCCUGGCAUGCCUCGUGUCCAGGGUGCUCAUGAUUCCUGAGGGCCAUUCUGAGCUCGUCAUUCUCUCUGUCUGGAAAGAACGCCCCUUGCUGCGCUGCUUCGAUAUAGUGCUAAAGCAUCCUGACUGGUAUGUCCAUUUGAUUGUUCGUCCAAAUGCACUUCCCUGUUACAGGGUCCAAGGUUCCGCCAGCCCCGAAGAAUCAAGUCCGGCAACGGUCUGGCCAGUUAAUUGUCUCUGGUUCGAUCCCUUUAUCAACCAGAUCAUUCUCAGUCUUGGCCCACUUAGGACGGGCUACGAGGUAGCCACCUGACCCCGUGCGAUGGUGAUGCUUCUUCUUUCGCAACAUUUUGCUUGUUUGUCGCCGACUUCUUCUUACUCUUUUUCGAUGUCUUGUGGGCCACAAAUGCGGGCCAGUGAUCUCUGAUCUUCUCAUAUCUGCCCUUGAAUUCUGGUGUCUCAUUAUUUUCGACAAACUUAUUCAGCUCUUUCUUCCACCUCCUGAAUAGUUCUGCCAUCCUCUUAAGAGCAAAAGACUUGAUUAAUUGCUCUUUAACUGGCUUCUCUGGAUUAUCCUCUGGCGGUAGGGUGAAAUUUGACUUCAGCUCAGUCCAAAGAUCAUUUUUCUGCAUAUCAUUGACAUAAGACACCUCAGGGUCUUCUGUAGCCGGCUUAAACCAUUGCUGGAUGCUGAUCGGGAUCUUGUCCCUAACCAAAACCCCACACUGAGCAACAAAUGCGCUCUUUGUCCGGAGGGGUUCAAUCGGUUGGCCGUCGGGCGCGAUUGCUAUGAUCUCAAACUUUUCAUCCGAGCUCAACUUUUUCUUCGGGCCUCGUCUCUUUACCGAAGUUGUGCUCGAUCCGGAGGGCUAGAAAAAAGAACAAAGACUUAAUUAAUAUGUGUACAUACCAAAACAAUGAAUGCAUCAAUUAGCUAGUCAGCAGAAGCUUAACUAAUAUAUAUACCUGGCCGGACUCGGUUCGGUCACCGAAGAUGUCAUCACGAUCUCCUUCUUGCACCGGCAUUGGGUCACCGGAGCCGUCCUCACGGUCUCCUUCUUGCACCGGCAUUAGGUCACCGGAGCCAUCAUAAUCAGCUGCUUCCAGACCAUCGGUCUUGUUGAGAAACAACGAGCAGAUGGCAUCACUUCCUCGUGCGAUUAUGCCCCCCAACAACUCUUCUUGUACUUCGUCUCGGGCGGUGUCCAUAGUUUCUACAAAUAUUGACAACAUGGCAAUUAUUAUUCAAACAUGACAGAUGGAUAUAUUAGUGGCAAAAACAUAGAACUAAUAUUAAUUAGUGGCCUCGAUGCAGCUUCUCUAGGGUUUGGGGUGGCCUCGACCCCUCGGCGAUCCUCGACCCCUCAAACCCUCGACGACCCUGGACCCCUCGACCCCUCGAACCCUCGACGACCCUAGACCCCCUCUUGACCCCCUCAUGUCGAAGUUGUCGGGUAGGGGGUAUAUCGACAACGACAUACCCAAUACAUGCAUACAUACAUACAUAUCACAUGCAUCCAUACAUAUAUGAACAAAAUUAAUAUCUACUAAUUAACAACCUAAAUAAAAAAACUAAUACAUAUAGGAAGAAGAAGAAAAAAGAAGAGAAGAAAGAAUAGAGGAGAAGACUUCCUCUUCUUCCUCUCCUCUUCUUCUCCCUCUUCUUCUCCCUCUUCUUCUCCCUCUUCUUCCCCUUCUUCCCUCGACCCCCUAAACUAGUUCUCAACCCUCGACCCCCUAAACUAGUUCUCAACCCUCGACCCCCUAAACUAGUUCUCAACCCUCGACCCCCUAAACUAGUUCUCGACCCCCCCUCAUGUCGAAGUUAUCAGGGAGGCGGUAUAUCGACCCCCCUCAUGUCGAAGUUAUCGGGGAGGGUUAUAUCGACCCCCCUCCUGUCGAAGUUAACGGAGAGGGGGUANNNNNNNNNNNNNNNNNNNNNNNNNNNNNNNNNNNNNNNNNNNNNNNNNNNNNNNNNNNNNNNNNNNNNNNNNNNNNNNNNNNNNNNNNNNNNNNNNNNNNNNNNNNNNNNNNNNNNNNNNNNNNNNNNNNNNNNNNNNNNNNNNNNNNNNNNNNNNNNNNNNNNNNNNNNNNNNNNNNNNNNNNNNNNNNNNNNNNNNNNNNNNNNNNNNNNNNNNNNNNNNNNNNNNNNNNNNNNNNNNNNNNNNNNNNNNNNNNNNNNNNNNNNNNNNNNNNNNNNNNNNNNNNNNNNNNNNNNNNNNNNNNNNNNNNNGGCGGCGACGGCGAGCACAGGCAGCCUGGCGGCGUCGUCGGGGCGGGAUCAAAGAACUGAACCAAAAAUUUCACAAGGAUGGCUUAUAUAGACGGGGCAUUGGUCACGGUUUGUGCCACAAACCGUGACCAAUGCAUCCUUUAGUCCCGGUUGGUGCCACCAACCGGGACCAAAGGCCUUGUGCGGCUACGGCGUCGAAAGUUUAGUCCCACCUCGCUAGUUGAGAGGGGUGCGCAGUGGUUUAUAAGCCCCACUGCCGCACCCCUCUCGAGCUUCUCUCCAUUGCAGGCUUACGGGCCUAAUUGUCACUGCUAUGCCUGUGGGCCUAUUGGGCCUCCUGCGGGCCUGAAUCCUGGCCCUUGGAUGGGUUUCUAGUCGUAUUCAGGCCGUGGUGGCCCAGUAGGUGGCAUUUUUUUGUUUUUUUGUUGCUUUAUUUAUUUAUUUUCUUUUGUUUUUUUCUUUAUUUUUUAAUUCUUUAUGCUUUUAGUUUUAGAAAAAUUAUAAACUUUUUGUUAAUGCCAUUAGUUUUCAAAUUNNNNNNNNNNNNNNNNNNNNNNNNNNNNNNNNNNNNNNNNNNNNNNNNNNNNNNNNNNNNNNNNNNNNNNNNNNNNNNNNNNNNNNNNNNNNNNNNNNNNNNNNNNNNNNNNNNNNNNNNNNNNNNNNNNNNNNNNNNNNNNNNNNNNNNNNNNNNNNNNNNNNNNNNNNNNNNNNNNNNNNNNNNNNNNNNNNNNNNNNNNNNNNNNNNNNNNNNNNNNNNNNNNNNNNNNNNNNNNNNNNNNNNNNNNNNNNNNNNNNNNNNNNNNNNNNNNNNNNNNNNNNNNNNNNNNNNNNNNNNNNNNNNNNNNNNNNNNNNNNNNNNNNNNNNNNNNNNNNNNNNNNNNNNNNNNNNNNNNNNNNNNNNNNNNNNNNNNNNNNNNNNNNNNNNNNNNNNNNNNNNNNNNNNNNNNNNNNNNNNNNNNNNNNNNNNNNNUUUUUUUGUUUUCUUUGUUGCUUUAUUUAUUUUGUUUUGUGAUUAACUUUACUAUAAAAAUAGUUUUUUCUUGUUUUUUUGAUUUGUUUUUUGCAUUAUUUAUUUUCUUUUGUUUUUUGCUUUAAUUUUUAAUUCUGUUUGCUUUUAGGUUAGCAAAAUUAUAAACUUUCUGUUACUGCCAUUAGUUUUAGAAAAAUUAUAAACUUUUUGUUAGUGCCAUUAGUUUUCAAAUUUGAAUUCUUUGAAAAUUGUUUGAAUCACAAGUUUGUGAUUAACUUACUAAAAAAAUGAGAAUAGAUGCACUUAUAGAGAAAAUUCAACCUAAAUUCCUAGUAAAUUUCUAUGAAUUUCAGAGAAAUUCACUAUGAAUUUAGGUUAAACUUUUUCGCUAUUAGGGCAUCUAUUUUCACUUUGAGAGGAGCUCAACAAGGCAGAGAGGGAAGGGCUUAUAAACCGGUGUGAGCCCCCUUCGGUUGGCGAGGUGGGACUAAACUCUGCUCACAACGAGGACCAACCCUUUAGUCCCGGUUGGUGGCACAAACCGGGACUAAUGGUCAUGGGCCAGGGGCGAGGAGCAAAAUUAUAAACUUUCUGUUAGUGCCAUUAGUUUUUGAAAGUUGAAAGUUGAAAGUUGGCAUGGGCCAGGGACUAAUGGUCAUGGUAUUACGAGGGCCGAACCAUAAGACAUGAAAGCAUUUCAAAUGAACUCUGAAAAAGUUUAAAGUUGGCAUGGUAUCAUAAUUUCACCCACAUAGCAUGUGCAUGUACAAAACGGACAAUGGUAGCAUGUUCGUGUGUUACAAAGUUGGCAUGGUAUCAUCAUAAUAGUUGCGGGACAAAGUCUUAACUUUUUCUUCGCUUGUGUCAUUUGCUUAUUGCACCGUAACCAUGGAUAAUCCUCAUUGUUUAUCAGGAUGCUUGGGUCAGCCUUGACAUUGAAGGGAGGAAUUUCAUGAAAUUUUCAUAAUCUUCAGACAUGUCUGUCUGGCCGUCCACUCCCAGGAUGUCCCUUUUUCCUGAAAGAACUAUGUGGCGCUUUGGCUCAUUGUAUGAUGUAUUUGCUUCCUUAUCUUUUCUUUUUCUCGGUUUGGUAGACAUGUCCUUCACAUAGACAACCUGUGCCACAUCAUUGGCUAGGACGAACGGUUCGUCAGUGUACCCAAGAUUUUUCAGAUCCACUGUUGUCAUUCCGUACUGUGGGUCUACCUAUACCCCGCCGCCUAACAGAUUGACCCAUUUGCACUUAAACAAAGGGACCUUAAAAUCAGGUCUGUAGUCAAGUUCCCAUAUGUCCGCUAUGUAACCAUAAUAUGUGUCCUUUCCGCUCUCGGUUGCUGCAUCAAAGCAGACACCGCUGUUUUGGUUGGUGCUCUUUUGAUCUUGGGCGAUCGUGUAAAAUGUAUUCCCAUUUAUCUCGUAUCCUUUGUAAGUCAAUACAGUCAAAGAUGGUCCCCUGGACAACAAGUACAACUCAUCACAAACAGUGUUUGUCACCUCUGAGACAUGUUUCUAACCAACUGCUGAAAGUCCUGAUGUGUUCACAUGUAAUCCAGUCGUCGCACUGCUCCGGGUGUUUGGAGCGCAGAACGUUCUUGUGUUCAUCGACAUACGAGGUCACCAAGGUAGAGUUCUAUAGAACUGUGUAGUUUGCUUGAGACCAAGAAUAUCCAUCCCUGCAUAUUAUUGAGUCUCUUCCAAGAGUGCCUUUUCCAGUCAGUCUCCCCUCAUACCGCGAUUUAGGGAGACCUAUCUUCUUAAGGCCAGGAAUGAAGUCAACACAAAACCCGAUAACAUCCUCUGUUUGAUGGCCCAUGGAGAUGCUUCCUUCUGGCCUAGCGCGGUUACGGACAUAUUUCUUUAGGACUCCAAUGAACCUCUCAAAGGGGAACAUAUUGUGUAGAAAUACGGGCCCCAGGAUGACAAUCUCGUCGACUAGAUGAACUAGGACGUGCGUCAUGAUAUUGAAGAAGGAUGGUGGGAACACCAGCUCGAAACUGACAAGACAUUGCGCCACAUCACUCCUUAGCCUUGGUACGAUUUCUGGAUCGAUCACCUUCUGAGAGAUUGCAUUGAGGAAUGCACAUAGCUUCACAAUGGCUAAUCGGACGUUUUUCGGUAGAAGCCCCCUCAAUGCAACUGGAAGCAGUUGCGUCAUAAUCACGUGGCAGUCAUGAGACUUUAGGUUCUGAAACUUUUUCUCUGGCAUAUUUAUUAUUCCCUUUUUAUUCGAUGAGAAGCCAGUCGUGACCUUCAUACUGAGCAGGCAUUCAAAGAAGAUUUCUUUCUCUUCUUUCGUAAUAGCGUAGCUGGCAGGACCUUUAUACUACUUCAGAGGCAUGCCGCCUUUUUCGUGCAAACGUUGCAGGUCCUCCCGUGCCUCAGGUGUAUCUUUUGUCUUCCCAUACACGCCCAAGAAGCCUAGCAGGUUCACGCAAAGGUUCUUCGUCACGUGCAUCACGUCGAUUGAGGAGCGGACCUCUAGGUCUUUCCAGUAGGGUAGGUCCCAAAAUAUAGAUUUCUUCUUCCACAUGGGUGCGUGUCCCUCAGCAUCAUUCGGAAUAGCUAGUCCACCGGGACCCUUUCCAAAGAUCACGUAGUGUAAAUCAUUGACCAUAGCAAGCACGUGAUCACCGGUGCGCAUGGCGGGCUUCUUCCGGUGAUCUGCCUCGCCUUUGAAAUGCUUGCCUUUCUUUCGACAUUGAUGGUUGGUCGGAAGAAAUCGACGAUGGCCCAGGUACACAUUCUUCCUGCAUUUGUCCAGGUAUAUACUUUCAGUGUCAUCUAAACAGUGCGUGCAUGCGUGGUAUCCUUUGUUUAUCUGUCCUGAAAGGUUACUGAGAGCGGGCCAAUCGUUGAUGGUCACGAACAACAACGCCUUAAGGUUAAAUUCAUCCUGUCUGUGCUCAUCCCACGUACGUACACCGUUUCCAUUCCACAGCUGUAAAAGUUCUUCAACUAAUGGCCUUAGGUACACAUCAAUUUCGUUGCCGGGUUGCUUAGGGCCUUGGAUGUGAACUGGCAUCAUAAUGAACUUUCGCUUCAUGCACAUCCAAGGAGGAAGGUUAUACAUACAUAGAGUCACGGGCCAGGUGCUGUGAUUGCUGCUUUGCUCCCCGAAAGGAUUAAUGCCAUCCGCGCUUAAAGCAAACCAUACAUUCCUUGGGUCCUUUGCAAACUCAUCCCAGUACUUUCUCUUGAUUUUUCUCCACUGCGACCCGUCAGCGGGUGCUCUCAACUUCCCAUCUUUCUUUCGGUUCUCACUAUGCCAUCGCAUCAACUUGGCAUGCUCUCCGUUUCUGAACAGAUGUUUCAACCGUGGUAUUAUAGGAGCAUACCACAUCACCUUCGCAGGAACCCUCUUCCUGGGGGCUCGCCGUCAACAUCACCAGGGUCAUCUUGUCUAAUCUUAUACCGCAAUGCACCGCAUACCGGGCAUGCGUUCAGAUCCUUGUAUGCACCGCGGUAGAGGAUGCAGUCAUUAGGGCAUGCAUGUAUCUUCUCCACCUCCAAUCCUAGAGGGCAUAUGACCUUCUUUGCUACGUAUGUACUGUUGGGCAAUUCGUUAUCCUUUGGAAGCUUCUUCUUCAAUAUUUUCAGUAGCUUCUCAAAUCCUUUGUCAGCCACAACAUUCUCUGCCUUCCACUGCAGCAAUUCCAGUACGGUACCGAGCUUUGUGUUGCCAUCUUCACAAUUGGGGUAUAACCCUUUUUUGUGAUCCUCUAACAUGCGAUCGAACUUCAGCUUCUCCUUUUGACUUUCGCAUUGCGUCCUUGCAUCGACAAUGACCCGGCGGAGAUCAUCAUCAUCGGGCACAUCGUCUGGUUCCUCUUGAUCUUCAGCAGCUUCACCCGUUGCAGCAUCAUUGGGCACAUCGUUUGGUUCCUCUUGAUCUUCACCAGCUCCCCCCGUUGCAGCAUCACCAUAUUCAGGGGGCACAUAGUUGUCAUCGUACUCUUCUUCUUCGCUGUCUUCCAUCACAACCCCUAUUUCUCCGUGCCUCGUCCAAACAUUAUAGUGUGGCAUGAAAUCCUUGUAAAGCAGGUGGGAGUGAAGGAUUUUUGGGUUAGAGUAAGACCUCGUAUUCCCACAUUCAGUGCAUGGACAACACAUAAAACCAUUCUGCUUGUUUGCCUCAGCCGCAUCGAGAAACUCAUGCACGCCCCUAAUGUACUCGCGGGUGUGUCUGUCAUCGUACAUCCAUUGCCGGUUCAUCUGCGUGCAUUAUAUAUAAUUAAGUGUCCAAAUUAAUAGAAGUUCAUCAUCACAUUAAAACCAAAGUGCAUACAUAGUUCUCAUCUAACAACAUAUAGCUCUCCAGAGCAUCUAAUUAAUUAAACCAUACAUUGAAACUAUGUAAAACAUUUCAAUGCGAAAACAAAUGUGAUCAUAAUCGCAACCAAGGUAACAAUUGAUCCAACGGCAUAAUGAUACCAAGCCUCGGUAUGAAUGGCAUAUUUUCUAAUCUUUCUAAUCUUCAAGCGCAUUGCAUCCAUCUUGAUCUUGUGAUCAUCGACGACAUCCACAACAUGCAACUCCAACAUCAUCUUCUCCUCCUCAUUUUUUUUAUUUUUUCCUUCAACAAAUUGUUUUCUUCUUCAACUAAAUUUAACCUCUCGACAAUAGGGUUGGUUGGCAUUUCCGAUUCACAUCCUACAUAAAUAAAAUCUAUGUCACGUUGGUCGGCAUAAUUUUCAUAAACAAUAAAUGAACCAAUAGUUAUAAAGAUAAUAUAUAUACCACAUCCGAAUCAUAGACAGGACGAGGGCCGACGGGGGCGGAUACCAAAACCAUCGCACUAUAUAAGAUGCAAUAAUAAAAGUAAGAAAAUAAUACAAGUAUCUAUGUAAACAUACAAGUAAGAAUAUUUUUCCUUUCAGAAAGAAGAUAAAACAAGAGGCUCACCACGGUGGUGCCGGCGAUGAGCUCGGCGCGGGUGAUCGACGGCGGUGAAGACGGGGACGGGGCGUGACGGACCGCUAAACCUAGACAAAUAUUAUGGAAAAUGGAGCUUGGAGGUCGAGCUUGAAGAGGAGAAAGCUUAAGUAGUGUGGCUCGGGCAUUCCAUCGAACACCUUGUGUGCAUAGGAGGUGAGCUAGAGCACCACCAAGCCCUCUCCCCCUCGGUCAGAGAAAAACAGAGCACUGGGGUGCUCUGCUCGUGAGCGAGGGGUAUAUAUAGGCACCUCAUUGGUCCCGGUUGGUGACAUGAGCCGGGACUAAAGGGGAGCCUUUGGUCCCGGUUCAAGCCACCAACCGGGAUCAAUGGUGGUGGGCCAGGAGCGAGGCCCAUUGGUCCCGGUUCAUCCCACCAACCGGGACCAAAAGGUCCAGAUGAGCCGGGACCAAUGGCCCACGUGGCCCGGCCGGCCCCCUGGGCUCACGAACAGGGACCAAUUCCCACAUUGGUCCCGGUUCUGGACUGAACCGGGACUAACGGGCUGACCCGGCCUGGACCAAAGCCCUGUUUUCUACUAGUGCACGGAUACUGUUCAUCUUCACCGUCCCAACCGAUCACCUUCGACCAUCGGGAUUACUCGGCAAGUAUCCGGCGUGCAGGAUGGGCUGCCUUGGUGUUAGACCCGAUAAUUGACGGAUACCACUUCACACGAGUCUUGAUGGAUGGUGAUAGUAGUUUAAACCUGAUAUAUCAGGACACAGUCAGCAAAAUGGGGAUAGACCCAACAACAAUUAGCCAUAGCAAUACUACCUUUAAAGGAGUAACGCCAGGCCCAGAAUCCCAUUGCACGGGCUCCCUGCUACUAGAGGUUAUACUUGGCUUCCCCGAUAAGUUCCGCAGUGAAAAUUUAACCUUCCACAUCACUCCAUUCCAAAGUGGCUAUCAAGAACUACUCGGACGCGAAGCUUUCGCUCGCUUUAACGCAAUACCGUUUACGCUUCCCUCAUGCUCAAGAUUCCCGGUCCACGUGGCAUCAUUACAGUAAAUGGAAAUAUUGAGUGAUCCUUGCGCGCGGAAGACCGUGUGGCUACCUUGGCAGCCGCACACUAAACGGCCUCACCAACUAAAGCAUCUGACAGGUCGUUAAGACCACGAACACGGUUGGACGAGUCCGGUGCAGCUAUAUGUAAUUGAUACAAGUUUGAUGGCUAUACCCCUAUUACAAUACAAGGGGCUCAACGCGCGUGCACAAGUGGCAAUCAGGCUCAACUUUACUCAUUUUGAACUAUAUAUUGUUUAUUUAGUAUAACUUACCUUUUGCACGACAACUUUUCAAUUAAGUUCCUCUCUUUUUUAGAUGACCAUCAUGCUACACCCGUCCAGAAUACGGCACAACGGAGACACAGGUGCAGACGUGCAGCAGGGACCCGUUCCAAGGAUUCUUUUUAGAUUAAGACCCUGCGUAAACCUUUUUUACUGUCUCUUGUUGAUACAAAUCCCUCGGAUUCUUAGUAUAAUUGAGAGGGAUGCUGACGUAUUGGCAUGUGGCCACGUCAGAAUAUUGCAUGUACCUGGACACCAGGGGCUUAUUACAAAGGGCACUGUUUAGGCCCGGCUUCCACCAUAAAGACCGAAUACCUUAGGGAGUGUUCGGUGUCGUGAGUUUGGCCUUAUAUGCAUCAGCUCCGAAUCAUGUUUUUGGUCAAAUGUUGGGUUUGCCCGGCUCAUGUGUUUUGCUGCCUUACGUUCCACUCUAUCGGCACCAGGAGAACUACUGCGAUUGUGCCCUGGUUCAUCCGGACGAGCACCUCAGUAGAGAAAGCUGAAAACUGACUGUCAUGAUAUAGCGUGAGACUAGUCAACCACUCGAUGACCUAGCGGAAUCUUCGGGAUUGCUCCGCCUUAACGAAGGGCCGUUUCCCGGCCAGGCAUGUACGCACCCCGAAUUCGGAUGAGUGCGGAGCCACCAGGGGCUAUAUAGUAGCCCCACUGUCAAACUCCUCUGGCUAAGUGAAAGUGUUAAAGCAUUAUAGUCCGAUUGCCUAGUUCGCUGCGCUAUCACCUCCUUAAUGGACCAAGACGUUGGAUCAAGUGUGAACGUGUGUCUUCUGCGAACACCCCCGCAUUAUAUGCGUGGGGGCUGAAGCCGACGACUGCCAUCUUUCAGGUUAUAUACAUAUAUACAUAAACGGCCGCACAGGAGGCAUCAUAGUACUUUCGGGCAAAAGUAUAAAUACAGCCUUGAUAAACUCAAUAAAACAUUGUUUUAACAAUGGGAAUACGUGUCACUCAAACAUAAUAUUCUUCAAGCACUGAGCCUCUAUCAAACGAGCGCCUUCAAGAACUCCUUCAAAGUAGUGCUCGGCAGCCACUCGGCCUAUGGCCGAACCCUGUGCCGCAACAGUGGUGGCAUCCAUCUCCGCCCAGUAUAUUUUGACACGGGCAAGGGCCAUCGGCGAGCCUUCUAUGCACGCCGACCUCUUUACAGCAUCGAUGUGAUGCACAACGCCAAGGAAUUGUUGCACUAAGCUAAAAUAGCUAUUCGGCCUUGGCCCUCCUGGCCACAAAUGAUCCACAAUGGACCUCAUGGCCAGUCCGGAUAAUCUAUGGAGCUCGGCCCAACCGGUCAAUCACUCAUUCAGCAACAGCGGACGGGCUGGAGCGUGAAACUGUGACCAGAACAAUUUAUCCACUUCAGGACCUUUCUGAUCCUUGAAGUACUCGGUCGCAUCCGCAGCACUUGCAGCCAAAUCCAUGUACUCAUCCGCAGAACUACAUAGCCGGUCCAGAGGAGCAUAUUUCGGAUCUCCGAACUUAGUCCGCAACAAGAAGGACUUCCCAGAAACGAUAUCCGCAGCUUGAUUCAGCUCCUCCUUGUCGCUCUAAUUUUGGAGCGGGCUUCCUUGGCAGCCACCCGGGCCUUCUCCAGGUCCGUCGCCUUCACCCGGUUUUCUUCUCCAAGAAGCCGAUAACAGUCAGCAACAUUUUUUUACUCCAUGGCCAUCUUAGCAAUUUUUUCUUUGCUCCAGCAAUGUGCGACCUGUUCGGCCCUUAACUCUUCGGCCGCCUUUAAAGCGGUCGCAUUACUACUCCUUGCUUGAUCCUUGGCUCGGGUAAGCUCCGCCCGAAGGGUCUCCACGGUGGCAGCUCCAUCUGCAGUCACAACAUAUUAAAGAUACUAGCAUCAUGCUGCUCUUAGUAUGUGACAUUCACUAGAAGAAUCACCUACCCUGUGCCUCGUCAAGCCGCUUAUUGACAAGCACGAUGUCGGCAUCUGCCGCAUCCAGCUGCCGCUUUAGUUCGGCAUACCCAUCAGUCCGGCUAGCCACCGGAGCCUCCACCACCUGCACAUAAAGGCAGUCUGGUUACUACCUGGGACUAUGAUCCUCCGUUUGCCACCGUUUUCGACGACAACCAGAGUCUCAAGGCUACUAUCUACACAGGGCACAUCUAAAAAUGUGUGGUACUUUCAAAAAUGUACAUCAUUUCGCGUACCUCAAAACCCGUCAGUAGACUCGUAAAGGCUUCAUGCGGCGCUUUUGGCAGACGAAAUCCUUUCAAUCACCGUACCCAUCAAUGUGUGGUGCUCUUCUGAGAUAGCCGCUUUCUCCAGCAGAUCCCUUCGUACAUCCGACCGCACACCAGACGGUGCAGGACUCUUUUGAUUUCUCUCUUUGAGAGCCGGAUACUGAGGACUUUGGGUGGCCACAUGAUUACCUUCUGGCCUUGCCGGAUCAGGAGAAGCCCUCCGCGAUGACACCUCGGGGUCGCCCUCUACGUAAGGCGGUGUGGCAGGGGGAGGCGUUUCGCUCUCCAUCAUCUCCGGAAGAAGAUCCCCCGAAGACGAGCUCUGCUGAGAAGGGCUAAGAUCCGAACUACAAGAUAAAUGCUUCGAUUAUUUUCCUCAGAAAUAGAGCAAGAUAUUUUCGUUAUUGAAUACCCUUUUACUUACAGCUUAGUAGAGGGCUGAUCCCCGCGCGGACAUUGUGCGGCAAGAGUACCCUCCAGGGCAGGUCCCUCUGGCGGAGAUUUCUUCUCCCGUUUGGAAACCUUAGUUUCCGGAUCUUCAGAGGUAGACCUCUUCCUUCCCCGGGGAGAGAGAAUGUCAAAUUCUUCCCCUUGGUUAUCCUCCCUCGCGGAGGUGCUCAUUCCCUCGAUGGGAAUAGGUAGCGACGGAGGCCCGCUUUCGCCCUCUUUAUUCCCCCCUUCAUCUUCCUUUGAGGGCACUAGACAAGGUGCUGGCUCGAGCAUCUUUUCCAGCACCGGAUUGUCCAAGCCUUCAGGAAGGGGGGCCGAACACCGGAUCAUCUUCGCCUUUGUUAUCCAGUCCUGGUUAAAGAGUGAUUCUUCAAAAUGAUGUCAUGAUAAAUAAAAAGACAGUGUGUUCGGCCAUGGGAUUACUUACUUGGGGAGCAGGGCAGUUGCAGCUCAGGCCCACGUCCUCGGUAGUGUCCGGACACUCUAUUUGGGGUCCGAAGAACGAUUUGUACAUCUCCUCGUGCGUCAUGCCGAGGAAAUUCUGAAUAGUGCGCGGUCCUUCCGGGUUGAAUUCCCACAUGCGGAGGGUCCGGCGUUUGCAAGGCUGGACUCGACGAACCAGCAUAACUUGCAUUACCAUAACCAGACUAAAAUCCCCCUCGAAGAGAUCUCAGAUACGGCUCUACAGUAUUGGCACGUCCUUGGCUGGACCCCCGAUCAGCCCCCUGCUGAUCCAUGACAUCAGUUGUGGUGGAGGGCCCGAGCGAAAGGUGGGGGAAGCUACCCACUUGGCACUUCGGGCAGCUGUGACGUAAAACCACUCCCGUUGCCACAAUCCGGACACCUCUGGAAAGGAACCCUUUGGCCAUGGAGCGUCAGCAAUUUUUCUUAUUAGAGCACCUCCGCACGCUACGUACUGCCCCUCGACCAUCUUUGGCUUCACAUUGAAGGUCUUGAGCCAUAGGCCAAAGUGAGGGGUAAUGCGGAGGAAGGCCUCACAGAUGACAAUAAAUGACGAGAUGUGAAGAAGGGAAUCCGGGGCCAGAUCUUGAAAAUCCAGCCCAUAAUAGAACAUGAGGCCCCUAACAAAAGGAUCCAGAGCGAGGCCUAGUCCUUGGAGGAAGUGGGAGAUGAACACAACGCUCUCAUUGGGUUCGGGAGUAGGGACGACCUGCCCUCGGCCGAGCAGCCUAUGCGAAAUUUCAGCGGUCAGAUAUCAGGCCUCCCUCAACUUCUUGAUGUCCUCCUCCGUGACGGAGGAAGGCAUCCACCUGCCUUGAAGGCUGGAUCCGGACAUGAUUGAAGGUCCGGGGCACCUGACCUGGGCUUUGGGUGUUAGAACUCGAGGCGGGGGAAGGAUUCGAUUGAGCACGGGAGGGAAAAAAGAAAAAGCCUUGUCCCUUUAUAAAGGGGAUGAAUAUCAGGCGUCCUCCUCGUAGCCGUUCUAGACUUACCUAAAAUCUAGGAGUCAUACCAACAGGCACGGUUGGGUUACCCACAUUUGUAUUGAUGAGAAUCCCGUGAUAAGGGGAACACGAUCUCUGCUUUGACAAGACGUGUCAAGAAACCGCCUCGCGUUAUGUGCGGGGCUGGUUAAAGAAAAAUGGUUCAAAUAAUUACCGGGCCGUGGCGUGAUGUCAUGCUGCCAAAACAUGUCAGCAAAUUGGACUUGUGGAAAUAUUAUUCUCUCUACAAUGGUAUGUGGAACUUAUUUUGCAGGGUCGGACACUAUCCUUGUAUUCAAACUCUUCCGUGGUGUAUUCGGAGGAGGAACCCGCCUUGCAAUGCCGAAGACAACACUGCAUGCCAGACUCAUCAUCAUUGAAGCCUGGUUCAGGGGCUACUGAGGGUAUCCUGGAUUAGGGGGUCUCCGGAUAGCCGAACUAUAUCCUUUGGCCGGACUGUUGGACUAUGAAGAUACAAGAUUGAAGAUUUCGUACCGUGUCCGGAUGGGACUCUACUUGGCGUGGAAGGCAAGUUAGGCAAUACGGAUAUGGAUAUCUCCUCCUUUGUAACCGACCUUAUGUUACCCUAGCCUCCCUCGGUGUCUAUAUAAACCGGAGGGUUUUAGUCCGUAGGACAACAUACAAUCAUACCAUAUGCUAGCUUCUAGGGUUUAGCCUCUCUGAUCUCGGGUAGAUCAACUCUUGUACUACUCAUAUUAUCAAGAAUAAUCAAGCAGGACGUAGCGUUUUACCUCCAUCAAGAGGGCCCGAACCUGGGUAAAACAUCGUGUCCCCUGCCUCCUGUAACCAUCCGCCUUAGACGCACAUUUCGGGACCCCCUACCCGAGAUCCGCUGGUUUUGACACCGACACCCGCAGCACCAAGUGGGUAGCUGCACUCACGUUUCGCCCUGGCCCACCGUUACAGCUUGCAUCAUGGGCCAACAAGGGGCUGGAUUGGGGAUCAGUUGAUGAAGUGCGGACUCUACAAAGUCGCAUACGAACCCUCCUCGAGAGGGAUAUCGAUCUUGUCAGCGUGAUUCAAGUAAUGUUGAUUCGCCGAAUCCUACCAUGCCAACGUACGCCUCUCUGUAUGUGGGAGUUCAAUCCAGAAGGACCACGAUCCCUCCAACACUUCUUCGGCAUUACGCACAAAGGGAUGUGGAAGUUGUUUUUCGGAAAACGAAAACAUUGGCCGAACACUAUUGAGGACACAUGCCUCGACUGUAACUGUCCGGAUACCCCGGUAAGCACUUGACUUCCGAACACCCUUUUUUUAAGUAUGCUGUAAUACAUUAUUGAGCAAACUAUCUCCUCCUAGGGCUGGAUAAACAAAAGCGGAGCUGAUUAGGUGUCCGCCCCCCCCCCCUUUCCGAAGGUUUAGCGGAUCCUGUAUUAACAAGGAUCCUAUCCCCGACACCGUACCAGAUGCUUGUGAAGGAGGGAAAGGCAGAGAGGACCAAAGAUGGCCCCCAUCCCGAUGGUGUGCCAGACAAGAUUCCAUCGUCCGAAGAAAAAAAUGACGGGAAAGUCAACGUCUCUUCCCCCCAUGGGAAGAAAAGGGUCACCUCCGAAGAUUGGGAGGAAAAGGCUCAUAAACGAGGCAAGAUGCCUUCGUCGGGUGGCUCGGGCUUGGAGGACAACGUCAUCGCACAGUCCCAUGAUGAGGACAAGCCUCAGGCCAACUCGUAAGUGAACAAGGGUGUUUUAAACACGUCACACCCCUUUCUUGUAACGUCUAGAAUAUAUGUUUUUUUGUAGUUCGGCACGCAGUCUUCUUCAACAAUCCUCUUCCUCGGGGGAUCUUCUCCCGAGAUGAUGGAAAGCGAGACACCUCCACCAAUCUCGUCGCCCAAUAGGGCGGAUGACUUCAAGGUGUCGUAGCGGAGGGUAUCUCCCGAUCAACAAGUGGUGCGAGGGAUGACGAAGACACAACCCGAAGGUGAUACUUCGGUGGCCCAUGGUCCGGGGACCAACAGUAAAGGCCCCGAACAUUCCGGUCUACAGCCGGAUAUGAAUAAACGGAUUCCUUGAAAGGGAGGCCGUACUCCUUCAGCAGCCUCCGGAGUCCCAGAGGCGCCGGAUAUAUUGACGAACAUGCUGCGACAGGCGUCCGUCUCAGAGGAACAUCGUACCUUGAUGAGCACGGUGAUAGAAAAGGUCCUGGCCGCGAAAAGCGGAUUGAAUGAGGCCUUCAUGGGCCUACUAGGAUGCUUCGAGGUUUGUACCGUAAUAUGUUCGAUUGUGUUUUAUUCAAGAAUACACCUGUGCAUAGAUAGUAGCCCCUAAGACUCUGAUUGGCUUCCCAAGGGAGAUGGUUAUAUGAUCAAAAGAUAUGCCCAGGAAGUAAUAUGAUUGUUGGAACACAGGAUGUGACCUCCCCGGAAACUGUCUGGACUGUAGAGAUUGUGGAUUUGCAAGACAAGAUUGAUGAGGCAGAUACUGAUAUCACGCUUAUCAACAGGCGUCUUGACGAGUCGCAAGGUACAUGUUCAAAGCAAUCCAUACAUAUAAGUUUUUUAAUAUAAGCGUGACACUGAAAGUUGCAUACUGGAAUAUGCAUGGUUGCAGAUGGUGGUGCCGCCGUUGAGAUUCUUCGGGCGGAGCUGGCCCGGGCCAAGGAGUAGGCCUGGUUUAGUAAUGUGGCUGCCAAAAAGGCAUCGACCAAGUUAAAGGCCGAACAAGCUGCUCAGCACCAAGACGAGGAGAAAAUAUCCUCGAUGGUGCUCGAACUAAAAAAUACUACCAGCCGCUAUGAAUUCCUAGAGAAGGAGAAUAAAGCCAAAGCGGCUGAGCUUGACAAGGCCUUGCGAGAGGCGAAAGAAGCGCGGUCCGAAUCUAGAGCGGCCCGUGAGGAGAUCCGGCAAGUUGGGAAGAUUGCCGCUGGUAAGCCAUUUUUAUUACAGACAAAGUUCGGCGAUCCGAAUUAUGCUUAGCUUAACCAAGUGUGGAGUUCUCCAGAUGUGUUUUUGGACAUGCCGAAGAGUUCAUCCGAUGCGGCGCAGUUUUACCAAGCGCAAGAGGGAUAUGCAAUGGAGAAGCUUUUCUGGUCAUAGUUUGGCGCAUCAAAACGCCCUCUACUGCUGAAUGAACAAAUGUCCCAACUGGUCGAGCUUCACAAGAUGUCCACAGCUGCCAUGAAGAACGUCAUACUUUAGCUAUGGCCGACUGAGCCGAUUCCGAAUAGCUAUUUCGGCUUGGUGCGGUGGCUUGCUGAUGCGGUGCCACGUAUCGACGCCGUGAAGUGGUCGACAUGCAUUGAAGGUGCACGGAUGGCCUUUGCCCGAGUCAAGACAUACUGGGGGAAGAUGAAGGCCGUCGAUGUUGCAUUGCAGGGUCCACCCAAGGGCAAGGACCAUCACGCACCAGAGCAAUACUUUGAGGACAUCUUAGAGGCUGCCCGCUUGAUAGAGGGUCAAUGUUCGAAAGGCAUAAUAUUCAAGUGAACUCUUUACAAAUUGUAAAAGACAAUUGUUAUAAUCAAUCUAUAUUUUGAUUUUGCCUAAAGGCUUUUGUUCCUCAUGUGCGGCUGUUUGUAUGUGAACUGAAAGUUUUCCAGUCAUCGGCUUCAGCCCCUGAUGACCCACAAGUAUAGGGGAUCUAUCAUAGUCCUUUGGAUAAGUAAGAGUGUCGAACCCAACGAGGAGCAGAAGGAAAUGAUAAGCAGUUUCCAGCAAGGUAUUCUCUGCAAGUACUGAAAUAAGUGGUAACCGAUAGUUUUAUGAUAGGAUAAUUUGUAAUGAGCAACAAGUAACAAAGGUAAAUAAAGUGCAGCAAGGUGGCCCAAUCCUUUUUGUAGCAAAGGACAAGCCUGGACAAACUCUUAUAUAGAUAAAAGCGCUCCUGAGGACACAUGGGAAUAUCAUCAAGCUCGUUUUCACCACGCUCAUAUGAUUCGCGUUCGGUACUUUGAUAAUUUGGUAUGUGGGUGGACUGGUGCUUGGGUACUGUCCUUACUUGGACAAGCAUCCCACUUAUGAUUAACCUCUAUUGCAAGCAUCCGCAACUACAACAAAAGUGUUAAGGUAAACCUAACCAUAGCAUGAAACAUAUGGAUCCAAAUCAGCCCCUUACGAAGCAACGCAUAAACUAGGGUUUAAGCUUCUGUCACUCUAGCAACCCAUCAUCUACUUAUUACUUCCCAAUGCCUUCCUCUAGGCCCAAAUAAUGGUGAAGUGUCAUGUAGUCGACGUUCACAUAACACCACUAGAGGAGAGACAACAUACAUCUCAUCAAAAUAUCGAAUGAAUACCAAAUUCACAUGACUACUAAUAGCAAGACUUCUCCCAUGUCCUAAAGAACAAGCGUAACUACUCACAAAGCAUAAAUAUGUUCAUAAUCGAGGGGUAUUAAUAUGCAUAUAGGAUCUGAACAUAUGAUCUUCCACCAAAUAAACCAACUAGCAUCAACUACAAGGAGUAAUUAACACUACUAGCAACCUACUAGCACCAAUCCCGGACUUGGAGACAAGAAUUGGAUACAAGAGAUGAACUAGGGUUUUGAGAGGAGAUGGUGCUGAUGAAGAUGUUGAUGGAGAUUGCCCUCUCCCGAUGAGAGGAGCAUUGGUGAUGACAAUGGCGAUGAUUUCCCCCUCCAGGAGGGAAGUUUCCCCGGCAGAACAGCUCCGCCAGAGCCCUAGAUUGGUCCCGCCUCGUGGCGGCGGAGUUUCUUCUGAGAACAUGGCUUAUUAUUUUUUCCCAUCGAAAGACUUCAUAUAGCAGAAGAUGGCCACCGGAUAGCCACUAGGGGGCCCACGAGGUAGGGGGGUGCGCUCAGGGGGGUAGGGCGCGCCCCCCACCCUCGUGGGCAGGGUGUGGCCCCCCUGGUGAAUCUCUUCCGCUGAGUAUUUUUUAUAUAUUCUGAAAACGUCUUCCGUGAAGUUUCAGGACUUUUGGAGCUGUGCAGAAUAGGUCUCUACUAUUUGCUCCUUUUCCAGCCCAGAAUCCCAGCUGCCGGCAUUCUCCCUCUUCAUGUAAACCUUGUAAAAUAAGAGAGAAUAUGCAUAAGUAUUGUCACAUAAUGUGUAAUAACAGCCCAUAAUGCAAUAAAUAUUGAUAUAAAAGCAUGAUGCAAAAUGGGCGUAUCAACUCCCCCAAGCUUAGACCUCGCUUGUCCUCAAGCGAAAAGCCAAAAUCGAAAAAUAUGUCCACACGUUUAGAGAUAGAGGUGUCGAUAAAAAUAAAAUACGGACAUGAGGGCAUCAUGAUCAUUCUUAGAACAACAACUUACAUAAUUCUUGUCAUAUGAUUCCUUAUGCUAGAUUAAUAAUUCAAUCACAAUUUCAACUAUGAAUCGUAAACUUCAUUGAAAACUAACAAACUAUAAUCUCAGUCAUUGGAGCAAUUGCAAUUUAUCAUAACAUAGGAAAGAGUCAAUAUAUAAGAGCUUUUCAGCAAGUCCACAUACUCAACUAUCAUAUAGUCUUUCACAAUUGCUGACACUCACACAAUACUUAUGGGUAUGGAGUUUUAAUCGGACACGGAGAAAGAUAGGGGCUUAUAGUCUUGCUUCCCAACAUUUUACCUCAAGGGUAAUGUCAACAAUAAUAGUUCAUGAAAACUCACAUCCAAUUAGCCAUAUAUACCAAGAUCUUUCCAACAUACUGUGCUCGCCAAAGGAUAAAGUGUAAAAAGGAAUGGUGAAGAUCACCAUGACUCUUAUGCAAGGUAGGAGAUAAAAGUAGAAGAUAAGCCUUUCGCAGAGGGAAGUAGAGGUUGUCAUGCGCUUUAAUGGUUGGAUGCACAGAAUCUUAAUGCGAAAGAACGUCACUUUAUAUUGCCACUUGUGAUAUGGACCUUUAUUAUGCAGUCUGUCGCUUUUAUUUCUUCCAUAUCACACAAUCGUAUAAAGCUUAUUUUCUCCCACGCUAAUAAGUCAUACAUAUUUAGAGAGCAAUUUUUAUUGCUUGCACCGAUGACAACUUACUUAGAGGAUCUUACUCAAUCCAUAAUAAAACUGGUUUAAGGGUAUUUGGAAGCACAAGUAGUAUCUCUACUUGGUGCGAUGAAUUUGGCUAGCAUGAGGGAGAAAGGCAAGCUCAACCAUGUUGUAUGAUCCAUGACAAUAUAAUUUAUCUCAGAUGUAAGAAACCAUAACCCAUUACGUUGUCUUCCUUGUCCAACGUCAACUCUUUUAGCAUGUCAUAUUUUAAUGAGUGCUCACAAUCAUAAAAGAUGUCCAAGAUAGUAUAUUUAUAUGUGAAGACCUCUCUUUCUUUAUUACUUCAUAUUAUUUGCAACGAUGACCAAAACUAUGCUUGUCAACUCUCAACAACUUUUAUUCAUCAUACUUUUUCUAUGUGAGCUCACCACUCUCCAUAAGACUCACAUGAUCUCUUUGUUUAUUUUUAUUUCUUUCUCUUUUCUUUCUCUUAGGAUCAUGGCAAAAUAAUCAAGCCCUUGACUCAACACUAAUCUUUAUUAUAUAGCUCACGGACUCGAUUACAUAGAAGGACUAUAAAGAAAAACUCACAACUAGAUCAUACUAAGACUUUUAUUCCACUAAAUCAAGAUAUUACCAAAAGUAUCGAACUAAGAAAAAUGGUAAAGAUAAAGAUAAAGGUGAUACGAUACCGGGGCACUCCCCCAAGCUUGGCAGUUGCCAAGUGGAGUGCCCAUACCAGAUGCUCAAUUAUUUUUUGUUGGUGCAUAAGGUGGAGUUGUUGAUGAUGGACAGUCGCACAUCGAGCGUAGGAGGUCUUCUAACUUGCGGAUAAUGCCCUUGAGUGCGAUGAUAUGCUCCUUCAACAAAAUAUUUUCACAUGUGAGAUACUUAUUUUGUAUAUGAGCUAACUCAAUCAUCUUGAAAGCUUCGAUUUUUUUUGGGGUAAGAAGAUUGUGAUCAAGUUGAAGGGCGUCUUCUGUUGCCGGAACUUGGUCCUCCAUGGCCUUCUUGAUCCCUUCAUCCUUGUUGAUCUCCAUGGGUUCUUAUCUCUUCAGCUCUAUCUUCAUUAGCCAAGCAUCAUUGCCCUCAUGGUUGGAGGAGGAGGAGGGAGACGACAUAGUGCCUGGCCUUGACAACCCUGACAGAAAACAACUCGAAACAAAGACAGGAGAUUUUUGCAUGAUACGGGAGUCAAAACCUCCGGGGGAUUAUAUAAUGAAUUUUUACCGGCCAAAAUACGUGUCGUGUAAGAAAACGGAGUCCGGGAAGUGCACGAGGAGCCCACGAGGUAGGGGGCGCACCAAGGGGGUAGGGCGCACUCUCCACCCUCGUGGAGCCCUCGUGUCCUUCCCGGACUGCUUCUUAUUUUUCUAUUUUUCUAAAUACUCCAAAACGGAGAAAUAUUCCCUUAAAAACUGUUUUGGAGUCGGUUUACUUACCGUACCACAUACCUAUUCCUUUUCGGAGUCUGGAGCGUUCCGGAAAGUGUCCCUUAUGUAUUCCUCCAGGGUUACGGUUUCAAUAACAUUGGUUUCAACAUUUAUGGGAUUACCUAAGAUAUAAUGUUUGAUUCUUUGACCGUUCACCACCUUCGGAUUUGUGCCUUCGAAGUUGUUGAUUUUUAUGGCACCGGAACGAUAGACCUCCUCGAUAACGUAAGGACCUUCCCAUUUAGAGAGAAGGUUUCCAGCAAAAAAUCUUAAACGAGAGUUGUAUAGCAAUACAUAAUCACCAACACUAAACUCACGCUUUUGUAUCCUUUUGUCAUGCCAUCUUUUAACUUUUUCUUUAAACAACUUGGCAUUUUCAUAGGCUUGGGUUCUUGAUACGUCUCCAACGUAUCUAUAAUUUUUGAUUGCUCCAUGCUAUAUUAUCUACUAUUUUGGACUAUAUUGGGCUUUAUUUUCCACUUUUAUAUUAUUUUUGGGACUAACCUAUUAACCGGAGGCCCAGCCCAGAAUUGUUGUUUUUUUGCCUAUUUCAGUAUUUCAGAGAAACAGAAUAUCAAAUUGAGUCCAAACGGAAUAAAACUUUCGGGAACGUGAUUUUCUCACUGAACGUGAUCCAGGAGACUUGGACCCUACUCCAAGGAGUCAAAGAGGCGGUCACGAGGGUGGGGGGCACGCCCACCCCCCUAGGGCGCGCCCCCUGCCUCAUGGACCCCUCGGUGCUCCACCGCCGUACUCCUUCCUCCUAUAUAUACCUACGUACCCCCAAACGAUCAGAACAGGAGCCAAAAACCUAAUUCCACCACCGCAACUUUUUGUAUCCAUGAGAUCCCGUCUUGGGGCCUGUUCUGGAGCUCCACCGGAGAGGGCCGUCAUCACGGAGGGCUUCUACAUCAUCAUAGCCCCUCCGAUGAAGUGUGAGUAGUUUACCUCAGACCUUCGGGUCCAUAGUUAGUAGCUAGAUGGCUUUUUCUCUCUUUUUGGAUCUCAAUACAAAGUUCUCCCCCUCUCUUGUGGAGAUCUAUUCGAUGUAAUCUUCUUCUUUUUGCGGUGUGUUUGUUGAGACCGAUGAAUUGUGGGUUUAUGAUCAAGUCUAUCUAUGAAUAAUAUUUGAAUCUUCUCUGAAUUCUUUUAUGUAUGAUUGGUUAUCUUUGCAAGUCUCUUCGAAUUAUCUGUUUGGUUUGGCCAACUAGAUUGGUAGUUCUUGCCAUGUGAGAAGUGCUUAACUUUGGGUUCGAUCUUGCGGUGUCCUUUCCCAGUGACAGAAGGGGUAGCAAGGCAUGCAUUGCAUCGUUGCCAUCGAGGAUAACAAGAUCGGGUUUAUUUCAUAUUGCAUGAAUUUAUCUCUCUACAUCAUGUCAUCUUGCUUAAAGCGUUACUCUGUUUUUAACUUAAUACUCUAGAUGCAUGCUGGAUAGCGGUCGAUGAGUGGAGUAAUAGUAGUAGAGGAAGAAUCGUUUCGGUCUACUUGUCAUGGAUGUGAUGCCUAUAUACAUGAUCAUGCCUAGAUAUUCUCAUAACUAUGCUCAAUUCUGUCAAUUGCUCAACAGUAAUUUGUUCACCCACCGUAGAAUACUUAUGCUCUUGAGAGAAGCCACUAGUGAAACCUAUGGCCCCCGGGUCUAUUCUCAUCAUAUCAAUCUCCAUCACUUUAAUCUUGCUUUGCUUUUUUACUUUGCCUUUUACUUUUUACUUUGCAUCUCUAUACCAAAAAUACCAAAAAUAUUAUAUCUAUCAGAUCUCACUCUCGUAAGUGACCGUGACGGGAUUGACAACCCCUAAUCACGUUGGUUGCGCGUAGCUAUCGUUUUGUGCAGGUAUGAGGGACUUGAGCGUGGCCUCCUACUGGACUGAUACCUUGGUUCUCAAAAACUAAGGGAAAUACUUAUGCUACUCUGCUACAUCAUCCUUUCCUCUUCGAGGAAAUCCAUCGCAAGCUCAAGAGGUUGCAAGAAGAAUUUCUGGCGCCGUUGCCGGGGAGUCUACGCAAAAAGUCAACAUACCAAGUACCCGUCACAAUCCCUAUCUCUCGCAUUACAUUAUUUUCCAUUUGCCUCUCGUUUUCCUCUCCCCCAGUUCACCCUUGCCGUUUUAUUCGCCCUCUCUCUCUCUAUCCUCCCUCUCUAUUUGCCUCUUUUUGCCCGCUUGCCUUUUUGUUUGCUCGUGUGUUGGAUUGCUUGUUUGUCGCGAUGGCUCAAAAUACUACCAAAUUGUGUGACUUCACCAAUACCAAUAAUAAUGAUAUCCUUAGCACUCCAAUUGCUCCUCUUGCCAAUACUGAAUCUUGUGAAAUCAAUACUGCUUUGUUGAAUCUUGUUAUGAAAGAUCAAUUCGCCGGCCUUCCUAGUGAAGAUGCCACUACUCAUCUGAAUAGCUUCGUUGAUUUAUGUGAUAUGCAAAAGAAAAAAGAUGUCAAUAAUGAUGUCGUUAAAUUGAACCUAUUUCCUUUUUCUCUUAGAGAUCGUGCUAAAGCUUGUUUUUCGUCUUUGCCUAAAAAUAGUAUUGAUUCUUGGAACAAGUGCAAAGAUGCUUUUAUCUCUAAGUAUUUCCCUCCCGCUAAGAUCAUCUCUCUUAGAAACGAUAUUAUGAACAUUAAGCAACUUGAUCAUGAACAUGGUGCACAAGCUUGGGAGAGAAUGAAAUUAAUGAUACGUAAUUUCCCUACUCAUGGUUUGAAUUUGUGGAUGAUUAUACACAAAUUUUAUGUCGGAUUGAAUUUUGCUUCUAGAAAUCUUUUAGAUUCGGCCGCGGGAGGCACUUUUAUGGAAAUCACUUUAGGAGAUGCUACUAAACUCCUAGAUAAUAUUAUGGUUAAUUAUUCUCAAUGGCAUACUGAAAGAUCUUCUAAUAAAAAAGUGCAUGCGAUAGAAGAAAUCAAUGUUUUGGGUGGAAAGAUGGAUGAACUUAUGAAAUUAUUUGCUACUAAGAGUGUUUCUUCUGAUCCUAAUGAUAUGCCUUUGUAUACUUUGAUUGAGAAUAACAAUGAAUCUAUGGAGGUGAAUUUUGUUGGUAGGAAUAAUUUUGGUAACAACGCUUAUAGAUGGAAUUUUAAUCCUAGGCCAUAUCCUAGUAAUUCUUCUAAUAAUUAUGGGAAUUCCUACAACAACUCUUAUGGAAAUUAUAAUAAGAUGCCCUCGGAAUGUGAGAAUAGUGUUAAAGAGUUUAUGAAUUCACAAAAUAAUUUUAAUGCUUUGCUUGAAGAUAAAUUGCUUAAAGUUGAUGAGUUGGCUAGGAAAGUUGAUAGAAUUUCUCUUUAGGUUGAUUCUUUAAAGCUUAGAUCUAUUCCUCCUAAGCAUGAUAUCAAUGAGUCUCUCAAAGCCAUGAGAAUUUCCAUUGAUGAGUGCAAGGAAAGAACCGCUAGGAUGCGUGCUUCCAAAGAUGCCUUUAUUAAAGCGCAUUCUUCCAAUUCCUAUGAAAAUCAAGAUGAAGAUCUAAAAGUUAUUGAUGUGUCACCUAUUAAAUCUUUGUUUUGCAAUAUGAAUCUUGAUGAAACUGAAUAUGAUCUUCUUUUACCUAGAAGGAGUUCUAAAAAUUCGGAGUAUUUAGAUCUUUAUGAUGAAAUUGAUGAAAGUGGGAUUGAAAGAAAUAAAAAUCUAGAUGUUGCUAAACCCACUAUAUUGGAUUUCAAGGAAUUUAAUUAUGAAAGUUGCUCUUUAAUUAAUUGUAUUUCCUUUAUGCAAUCCGUGCUAAAUUCUCCACAUGCUUAUAGUCAAAAGAAAGCCUUCGCCGAACAUAUUUUUGAUGCCUUGAUGCAAUCUUAUGAAGAAAAACUUGAGUUGAAAGUUUCUAUCCCUAGAAAACUCUAUGAUGAGUGGGAACCAACUAUUAAAAUUAAAAUUAAAGGUCACGAGUUUUAUGCUUUGUGUGAUUUGGGUGCUAGUGUCUCCACUAUCCCCAAAACUUUGUGUGAUUUGCUAGAUUUCGCAAUUUUGAUGAUUGCUCUCUAAAAUUGCAUCUUGCAGAUUCUACUAUUAAGAAACCUAUGGGAAGGAUUAAUGAUGUUCUUAUUGUUGCAAAUAGAAAUUAUGUGCCCGUAGAUUUAAUUGUUCUUCAUAUAGAUUGCAAUCCUUCUUGCCCUAUUAUUCUUGGUAGACCUUUCAUUAGAACGGUUGGUGCGAUUAUUGAUAUGAAGGAAGGGAAUAUUAGAUUUCAAUUUCCAUUAAAAAAGGGCAUGGAACAAUUUCCAAGAAAGAAAAUAAAAUUGCCAUAUGAAACUAUCAUGAGAUCCACUUAUGGAUUGCCUACCAAAGAUGGCAAUACCUAGAUCUAUCCUCGCUUUUAUGCCUAGCUAGGGGCGUUAAACGAUAGCGCUUGUUGGGAGGCAACCCAAUUUUAUUUUUAUUCCUUAAUUUUUGCUCCUGUUUCAUAAUAAAUAAAGUAUUUAGCCUCUGUUUUGGUUGUGUUUUUUGUGUUUAAUUAGUGUUUGUGCCAAGUAGAACCGUUGGGAAGACUUGGGGAAAGUCUGGUUGAACUUGCUGUAAAAAACAGAAACUUUUGCGCUCACGAGAACUGCUGCCAUUUUUAUUUGGGGAGUGAUAUUUAGUUAAUUCUUUUUGCAGAUGAUUAAUAGAUAAAUUCCUCACGUCCAGAAAUUUAUUUUAGAAUUUUUGGGGUUCCAUAUAUUGCUCUAGCUACCGAUUACUACAGACUGUUCUGUUUUUGACAGAUUCUGUUUUUCGUGUGUUGUUGCUUAUUUUGAUGAUUCUAUGGUUAGUAAAAUAGUUUAUAAUUAGAAGUUGGAAUACAGUAGGUUUAACACCAAUAUAAAUUAAUAAUGAGUUCAUUACAUUACCUUGAAGUGGUCUUUUGUUUUCUUUCGCUAACGGAGCUCACGAGUUUUCUACUUUAAGUUUUGUGUUGUGAAGUUUUCAAGUUUUGGGUUAAUUCUUGUGAUGGAUUAUGGAACAAGGAUUGGAAAGAGCCUAAGCUUGGGGAUGCCCAUGGCACGCCCAAUAUAAUCCAAGGACACCAAAAAGUCAAAGCUUGGGGAUGCCCCGGAAGGCAUCCCCUCUUUCGUCCACUCCCAUCGGUAAUUUACUUGGAGCUAUAUUUUUAUUCACCAACAUGAUAUGUGUUUUGCUUGGAGAGUCUUGUAUUAUUUUUGUCUUUGUGUUUUAGUAUGCCACAAUCAUCCUUGCUGUACACACCUUUUGAGAGAUCCAUACAUGAAUUAAAAUUUGAUAUAAUACUCUAUGUGCUUCACUUAUAUCUUUUUGAGCUAAGUAAUUUUGCUCUAUGUGCUUCACUUAUAUCUUUUGAGCUAUGUAAUUUUGCUCUAUGUGCUUCACUUAUAUCUUUUUGAGCUAAGUAGUUUUGCUCUAUGUGCUUCACUUAUAUCUUCUGAGCGUUAUAAUUUUGCUCUAUGUGCUUCACUUAGAUCUUUUAGAGCACGGUGGUGGAUUUGUUUUAAAGAAACUAUUGAUCUCUCAUGCUUCACUUAAAUUAUUUUAAGAGUCUUAAUAGCAUGGUAAUUUGCUUAAUGAUAACAUGCUUGGUAUUCAAUAUUUGUGAAACUUUCUUUUGAGUGUGUUGAAUACUAAGAAAAGUUGGAUGCUUGAUAAUUGUUUUGAGAUAUGGAGGUAGUAAUAUCAAAGUCAUGCUAGUAGAGUAAUUCUGAAUUUGAGAACUGCUUGAGUUAAAGUUUGCAAGUCCCGUAGCAUGCACGUAUGGUAAACGUUAUGCAACAAAUUUGAAACAUGAGGUGUUAUUUGAUUGUCCUCCUUAUGAGUGGCGGUCGGGGACGAGCGAUGGUCUUUUCCUACCAAUCUAUCCCCUAGGAGCAUGCGCGUAAUACUUUGGUUUUUGAUGGCUUGUAGAUUUUUGCAAUAAGUAUAUGAGUUCUUUAUGACUAAUGUUGAGUCCAUGGAUUAUACGCACUCUCACCCUUCCAUCACUGCUAGCCUUUACGGUACAGUGCAUUGCCCUUUCUCACAUCGAGAGUUGGUGCAAACUUCGCCAGUGCAUCCAAACCCCGUGAUAUGAUACGAUCUUUCACACAUAACCCUCCUUAUAUCUUCCUCAAAACAGCCACCAUACCUACCUAUUAUGGCAUAGCCAUUCCGAGAUAUAUUGCCAUGCAACUUUCCACCAUCCAGUUUAUCAUGACACAUCCAUCAUUGUCAUAUUUCUUAGCAUGAUCAUGUAGUUGACAUAGUAUUUGUGGCAAAGCCACCGUUCAUAAUUUUUUCAUACUUGUCACUCUUGAUUCAUUGCAUAUCCCGGUACACCGCCGGAGGCAUCCAUAUAGAGUCAUACUUUGUUCUAGUAUCGAGUUGUAAAUAAAUAAAAGUGUGAUGAUCAUCAUUUAAUAGAGCAUUGUCCCCAAAAAAAGGCCAAAGAAAAAAACAAGGCCCAAAAAAGAGAAAAUAAAUAAAAAGGGGCAAUGCUACUAUUCCGUUUUCCACACUUGUGCUUCAAAGUAGCACCAUGUUCUUCAUAUAGAGAGUCUCUUGAGUUAUCACUUUCAUAUACUAGUGGGAAUUUUCAUUAUAGAACUUGGCUUGUAUAUUCCAACAAUGGGCCUCCUCAAGUGCCCUAGGUCUUCAUGAGCAAGCAAGUUGGAUGCACACCCACUUAGUUUCUUUUGUUGAGCUUCCAUACAUUUAUAGCUCUAGUGCAUCCGUUGCAUGGCAAUCCAACUCCUUGCACUAACAUCAAUCGAUGGGCAUCUCCAUAGCCCAUUGAUUAGUCUCGUUGAUGUGAGACUUUCUCCUUUUUUGUCUUCUCCACAUAAUCCCCAUCAUUAUAUUCUAUUCCACCCAUAGUGCUAUAUCCAUGGCUCACGCUCAUGUAUUGCGUGAAAGUUUAUGAGUUUGAAAUUAUUAAGGUAUGAAACAAUUUCUUGGCUUGUCAUCGGGGUUGUGCAUGAUGAGAGCAUUCUUGUGUGACGAAAAUGGAGCAUGACUAAACUAUAUGAUUUUGUAGGGAUGAACUUUCUUUGGCCAUGUUACUUUAAGAAAACAUAAUUGCUUUGUUGGUUUGCUUGAAGUAUUAUUAUUCUUUAUAUCAAUAUGAACUUUUGUCUUAAAUCUUCCUAAUCUGAAUACUCAUACCACAAUUAAGAAGAUUUGCAUUGAAAUUAUGCCAAGUAGCACUCCGCAUCAAAAAUUAUCUUUUUAUCAUUUACCUACUCGAGGACGAGCAGGAAUUAAGCUUGGGGAUGCCUGAUACGUCUCCAACGUAUCUAUAAUUUUUGAUUGCUCCAUGCUAUAUUAUCUACUGUUUUGGACUAUAUUGGGCUUUAUUUUCCACUUUUAUAUUAUUUUUGGGACUAACCUAUUAACCAGAGGCCCAGCCCAGAAUUGAUGUUUUUUUGCCUAUUUCAGUAUUUCGGAGAAACAGAAUAUCAAACGAAGUCCAAACUGAAUAAAACCUUCGGGAACGUGAUUUUCUCACCGAACGUGAUCCAGGAGACUUGUACCCUACUUAAGGAGUCAAAGAGGCAGUCACGAGGGUGGGGGGCACGCCCACCCCCCUAGGGUGCGCCCCUGCCUCGUGGGCCCCUCGGUGCUCCACCGACGUACUCCUUCCUCCUAUAUAUACCUACGUACCCCCAAACGAUCAGAACAGGAGCCAAAAACCUAAUUCCACCGCCGCAACUUUCUGUAUCCACGAGAUCCCAUCUUGGGGCCUGUUCCGGAGCUCCGCCGGAGAGGGCCGUUGUCGGUGUCAAAACCGGCGGAUCUCGGGUAGGGGGUCCCGAACUGUGCGUCUAGGCCGGAUGGUAACAGGAGGCAAGGGACAUGAAGUUUUACCCAGGUUUGGGCCCUCUCGAUGGAGGUAAAACCCUACGUCCUGCUUGAUUUAUAUUGAUGGUAUGGGUAGUACAAGAGUAGAUCUACCAUGAGAUCGAAGAGGCUAAACCCUAGGAGCUAGCCUAUGGUAUGAUUGUUGACGUGUACGUUGUCCUACGGACUAAAACCCUUCGGUUUAUAUAGACACCGGAUAGGGUUAGGGUUACAUAGAGUCGGUUACAAUAGUAGGAGAUCUACAUAUCCGUAUCGCCAAGCUUGCCUUCCACGCCAAGGAAAGUCCCUCCCGGACACGGGACGAAGUCUUCAAUCUUGUAUCUUCAUAGUCCAGGAGUCCGGCUGAAGGUAUAGUCCGGCUAUCCGAACACCCCCUAAUCCAGGACUCCCUCGGUAGCCCCUGAACCAGGCUUCAAUGACGACGAGUCCGACGCGCAGAUUUUCUUCGGCAUUGCAAGGCGGGUUCCUCCUCCAAGUACUUCAUAGAAGAUUUUGAACACAAAGAUAGUAUCCGGCUCUGCAAAAUAAGUUUCCACAUAUUGCCAUAGAGAGAAUAAUAUUUACACCAAUCUAAUCUGCUGACAUAUUCCGUAGCGUGACACACCACGGCCAAGCCUUUAUCCGAGUCAUUUCAUUAUCCCACCUCAGCGCGUUAUGCGAGGCGGUUUCCUUGGCACGUCUUGUUAAAGCAGUGAUCGUGUCCCCUUAUCCUGGGAUUCUCAUCAAUACGGGCGUGGGUAACCCAACCGCGCCAUUGAUUACGGCGCUUGGAGAUAAGCGAGUUUUACCAGGCUGGUGGGGACAUGUAGUUGGGUCCACCCAUAUAAGGGGAUAAGGAUCCACCUUUUCACCUACGCCUUCUUCCUCCUUCGCCUAUCCAUUUUUGUGCACUCGAGCUCCAGCGCCCAAAUCUGCACUCCCCACCUCAACCUUCUCCAGCCAUGUCUGGAGCGGGAGGCAAGUGGAUGGUCUCCUCCGUCACGGAGGGACAUAUCAAAAAGCUGAGGAAGGCCGGAUACCUGUCUAACGAUAUCGCGUACCGGCUCCCCGAAAAGGGGCAGCUCAUCCCCACCCCUAGGCCCCAUGAGAGGGUGGUGUUCCUCCCCCAUUUCCUCCGCGGACUGGGCUUCCCUCUCCACCCAUUUGUCCGGGGGCUCAUGUUCUACUACGGCCUGGAUUUCCACGAUCUAGCCCCAAACUUUGUCCUCAACAUCUCAGCGUUUAUCGUCGUGUGCGAGGCCUUCCUCCGCAACCGCCCCCAUUUCGGCCUAUGGCUCAAGACUUUCAAUGUCAAGCCGAAGGUGGUGCGCGGCAACCAGGCAGAGUGCGGAGGUGCCAUGGUGGGCAAGAUGGCCAAUGUCCUAUGGCUCGAGGGCUCCUUUGUGGAGACCCUGAAGGGGUGGCAAUCGGGGUGGUUUUACAUCACCGAGCCACGUGACACCGAAUGGGUCGCACCCCCCGAGUUUUGAUCCGGACCCCCCACGUGGCUCACCUCCUGGAAGGAGAGGGGCCUGUCUUGGGGUAAAAAAGGAGAGCUGACCGGACUCCAAACAUGCAUCCAAACCCUGGCGGACAAGAAGCUCAAACUUGUCACAUAGUCCAGGUUAUGCUCAUCCGCCUGAUCCUCCCGUGUUAACAACGGGCUUUCAACCUGUGGGAGUUCGACCCGGCGCGGCACGGCACCAAACUCUGAGCAGGCUCUUUGACACGACAUACGAAGAUGCCUGGAAGGUGCUUUUCAAAGGCGCCGAGGCUCCCGCGUCCACUACCGAGGAUCGCGGAUUCAGUGCCCAGCAUCACGCUCUCGCGGUAAGAUGUUUUUUUCCUUUUAUAGGGUAUCAGUUUUUCAUAGUUUGACUCCAUGCGGGAUCUAAGCUCCCUUACCUCUGACAGGAUUGGCAGGUGACGUCCGGACAGAUCAACUGUCCGUCUGCUUUGCCCGAAGGCCCAGCGGACGCCCGCUUGGCGAAGCUGCUGGUUCCGGCACCCUAUGUGGUGCCGGAGAAGAAGGCUGUGAAAAAGGCCGUGGGGACUCGAAAGAGUGCCCGGCGCCAGGAGGUGUCGGAUCCAUCAUCCGAUGGUUCCGAGGCGCAUUCCUCCCAUGAAGACGAGGAGGAAGAAGAGGAGAACUCUCCCCCUCCAGCGGGAGGAGAGAAGAAAAGGAAGGUCGCCCUCUCUGGGGAGGCCGGAGGGUCCAAGAAGGGGAAAACCCUUCCUCCGGACUACUCCACCGACGCCGACGGCGGAGAGGAGUGGCAGCCCAGGGCCAAGCCCCUGGCAAAAUCGUAAGUAUCCGGAUACAAGAGUAAUUCAUAGUAUUCGUUUAUUGCACAGCUUUCCCUUACAUCGAAUAUGUUUAUGCAGCCCACCCAAAGACCGGCUCGACGCGUCAUCGAGCAGCUCAUUGGACUCGUNNNNNNNNNNNNNNNNNNNNNNNNNNNNNNNNNNNNNNNNNNNNNNNNNNNNNNNNNNNNNNNNNNNNNNNNNNNNNNNNNNNNNNNNNNNNNNNNNNNNNNNNNNNNNNNNNNNNNNNNNNNNNNNNNNNNNNNNNNNNNNNNNNNNNNNNNNNNNNNNNNNNNNNNNNNNNNNNNNNNNNNNNNNNNNNNNNNNNNNNNCACCGAAGUGUUGUCCCAACAGGUUCCAAGCCGGGAGGAGGUGGUCCUGGAGGCGUCGCAAGGCGACCUCCCGGACUCCAGGAGUAAAGGGGAUGAAACCCCCCAGGGCUCCAAGUCCGGCUCUAGGCCGGACACCGCUCCAGAACCUUCAAAGGUUCCAGAGUCCGGUGGUGGACCUCCUUCCAAGAGGAGCAAGUCCACUGUGCCGGCGGCCCCCGUCCAACCGGAGGCGCCGGACAAUAUGUUGGAGGCGCUCCAAGGCACCUCCAUCGACGAGGAGCACCGCACUAUUAUGAGUGCGGUGGUCCAGAAGGUUCAGUCCGCCAAGAGCGGACUGACUGAAGCUUGUACUAGCCUUUUGACAGGCUUUGAGGUAAGUAAAGAAUGUGUAAAUAAUACUAUCGCAUAGACAGUAGCCCCUGAUGCUCUCUUUGGCGUUCGGGAAGAAAAGCCGAAUAGAGGAUCAAAUAGAAUUCGCAGGAGUCUAACAAAAGUGAGUCAAUAUGCAUAUGCAGGCUUCCCUGCUUGCGUCUGCCGCACUGACUGCGGAAGUGGACACGCUAAAGCAGAACCUCGAGCGGUCCGAGCAAGAGCUCGGGCGUGCCAAGAAGCAGCUCGAGGAUAAUGAAGGUAAGAAAUACCUUGCUUUUAAAUAUAUAUAAAAAGGUACAAUUGCAAAGAAUGACAGGAUUAUCAUGGCUAUUUUAGGGGCCACAUCUGAAGUGGCGACCCUUAAGCAAGCGCUGGUCGAGGCCGAGAAGAGGGCGGCCUCAGAGCACACCGAGUGGGAGAAGUAUGAGGCCGAGGUUGGCAAGGUGAGGCAAGAGCUCCAGGCUCUCAUGGAAAAACAUGAGAGUUUGGAGCUUGACUCAAAGAUGCGAGCGUCCGAGCUCGCGGUGGCUAUUGAAAAUGCCAAGUCUGCCAAGGCCGAAUCCCAGAAGACCCUCCAGGAGUUGGAUGAGGUGAAGAAGAUAGCGGCGGGUAAGGCAUUCUUUAUGCAAAGCAAACACAUAAACGUGAGUUACUUGUUACUUACCCGAAUCCAGAGCUCUCCAGGAACGUUUGCAGAUCUUCCCCGGAGUGUGUCCGAUGCCGCCGCAUUCUAUCGAGCCGAGGAGGGCAGCUCGACAGAGAAGGUGUUCUGGUCUCAGUAUGCUGAGGACGGACACCCCGUGCCCCUGAGCGACCAGCUGAAGCAACUAGUCGAGCUCCACAAGGCGGCUGAACAGGCCAUGAAGGGCCUCAUUGUUCGGUUGUGGCCUGGAGGGGCUCUUCCUGGGAGCUAUUUCGGGCUGGUGCGGCGGUUGGUGGAGGCCUGUCCAAGGCUCGAAGUCAUCAAGCGCUCCGUCUGCAUUGAAGGUGCCCGUAGGGCCCUUGCCCAUGCUAAGGUGCACUGGGGCAAGCUGGAUGCUGAGAAGCUGGUGAAGGACGGGCCACCGCCGGGGAAAGAGCAUCGCAAGCCCGAGAAUUACUAUAAGGAUGUUCUAAAGGGUGCCUGCCUUGUGGCGGAUGAAUGUUCUAGGGAUGUAAUUUUUGAGUGAGACUUGCUCGUUUUGUCCUAUGCGCUGAAAACUUGUUUAUAUGCGCUAAGCAAUGCUGUUGGAAUUUAAAAUAUUACCUUAUGUGCGGCUGUUUAUCAAUUCUGAGAGAUGGCGAGUCGUCGGCUUCUGCCCCCGUGCCGCUAGUGCUGGGGUGUUCGGGGAUAAACCUGAGCGCUCUUUUUCCCAUGUUUGGGUCCUUCGAGGGAGGCGCUCAGCCCAACCAACAAGGCAAUCAGACUAUAAUGUGUGAACACUCUCACUUAGCGAUAGAAUUCUAUAAUUUUAAAUUUCGGCGAAGCCCCUGGUAUUUGCAAGACCAAGUUCCGGGCGCUAUCCACGCCCUGGCCGGACAGAGCCGGCUCCUCACCCUAAGCGGCAUAUGUCUUUAGGGACUCUAAAAACCUCUCGAACAGCGACCAACUCUCGCUUCAUCAUGACAGUCAGUUUUAGCUUUCUCCACUAAAGUGCUCGACCCAGCUCAACUGGGGCACAAUGGUAGUGGUUCUCCUAGUGCUACCUUAGCCGAUAUAGCGGAACGUAAGGCACCAAAACAUAGGAGCCGGGCAAACCCAACUAUUGACCCAAGACAUGAUUCGGAGCCGAUGCAUAUAAUGCUAUAAGUUCGGGGUGCCGCACUUGUUAAAGUGUUCUGACUUCUCACACCAUAUUGAGGGGUACUAAAGCCCCUGGCGUAUUUUGGCCGUACCAACGUGUACGGGUGCAACAUGUCGUUAAGGAACAUAUAUAAAGAAAAAAGGUAAUGCAAAAAUAGACGAAAGCUAUGCAUUGUUUAUUAAAAAGGGCUGCGAUCAAAGCAGAACGAUACAAAUAAUGCGAUAAGUGGAAGGUUGGACUAGUUAACAUGUCCGUUCCAGGGGCAAGCUGCGGAAUAGUAUGCGGAACAGGUAUACCGCUCGUGAUAGAGACCACCUGGGAGUUCUGUACUGCGGCGUGGCUUGUCUGCUUCCCUGGUUCUUGCAUCGUUUGUGCGGCAAUUGAACUGGCGAACAGGCCUUCCGAAGGAUGGAGUCCUGAAAGUAAGAUAAAAUUAAAAAAAUCGGCAGCCCCUGGUAUGGUUUAAGCCGUAUUUUUGGCCGUGACGUCAUGGUGCCCCUCCCCCUGUACCCAUGGUAUCUCUAGAGCGUAGUUAUGUACGCGAAGUACUGGCGUCGCCUUUUUGCGAGGGUUGGGGUUGGGGCCGCAUUGCUACGCCUGCUCGGAUCGUGCCAGGAGGUCUUGUUGUAGGUUACUCUGGGCGCGCUUCACGGUGUCCGGUCGUUUAGUGGCUGGACAGGAGAACUGCCUGCAGAGGCUGCUCUGUACUUGCGCUGCAAGGGCCGCCGUGUGCUCCUCCGUUCGGAGGGAGCGUUCGGUGUUUCCAUUGACCAUAAUUACUCCUCGAGGGCCUGGCAUCUUGAGCUUAAGGUAUGCAUAGUGCGGUACCGCAUUGAACUUAGUGAAUGCGGUUCGCCCGAGCAGUGCGUGAUAACCACCGCGAAACGGGACUAUGUCGAAGAUUAACUCCUCGCUUCAGAAAUUAUCCGGAGAUCCGAAGACCACUUCAAGUGUGACUGAGCCUGUACAGUUGGCCUCUACACCUGGUAUUAUGCCUUUAAAGGUCGUUUUGGUGGGCUUAAUCCUCGAGGGAUCUAUGCCCAUUUUCCGCACUGUAUCCUGGUAAAGCAGGUUCAGGAUGCUGCCGCCGUCCAUAAGGACUCUGGUGAGAUGAAAUCCGUCAAUAAUUGGGUCUAGGACCAAUGCGGCGAAUCCGCCAUGACGGAUGCUAGUGGGAUGGUCCCUUCGAUCAAAGGUGAUCGGGCAGGAGGACCAUGGGUUGAACUUUGGCGCGACUGGCUCUACCGCGUAUACGUCCCUUAACGCGCACUUCCGCUCCCUUUUCGGGACGUGGGUUGCGUAUAUCAUGUUCAGCGUCCGCACUUGUGGGGGAAAACCCUUCUGUCCACUGUUGUUCGGUGGCCGGGGCUCCUCGUCGUCAUCGCUAUGCAGCCCCUUGUCUUCAUUUUCGGCGUUCAACUUGCCUUCCUGCUUGAACACCCAACAAUCCCUGUUGGUGUGAUUGGCCGGCUUUUCGGGGGUGCCAUGUAUCUCGCACAAGUGGUCGAGUAUUCAGUCCAAACUGGACGGGCCCCUAGGAUUCCUUUUGAAUGGCUUUUUCCGCUGACCGGAUUUAGAGCCUCUGAAUCCGGCAUUGACUGUUGUAUCCUCCGCAUUGUCGCCGUUAAUGCGGCGCUUCUGCUUGUUGCGACGCGACCUGCCACUACUGUCCCUGGUGUCCGAAUUACCAGGGUUCUUGGUCAUAUUGUUGUUACGAGCAAGCCAGCUGUCUUCCCCCGCGCAAAAGCGGGUCAUGCGUGUCGUGAGUGCUGCCAUAGAUUUCGGCUUUUCCUGUCCAAGGUGCCGGGCCAGCCACUCGUCACGGAUAUUGUGCCUGAAGGCUGCUAGGGCCUCAGUGUCCGGACAGUACUAUGUGAUUUUUCUUUGUUAGGAACCGUGUCCAGAAUUUCCUGGUCGAUUCCUCUGGCUGCUGAAUUACGUAACUUAGGUCGUCGGCGUCUGGGGGUCGCACAUAAGUGCCCUGGAAAUUGUCGAGGAAUGCGGCUUCUAGGUCCUCCCAACAACGGAUUGACCCUGUUGGCAAGCUGUUAAGCCACUGCUGAGCUGGUCCUUUAAGCUUGAGUGGGAGGUAUUUGAUGGCGUGGAAAUCAUCGCCACGGGCCAUGUGGAUAUGAAGGAGAUAAUCCUCGAUCCAUACCGCACGAUCUGUUGUGCCAUCAUAUGAUUCGAUGUUUACGGGUUUGAAACCCUCGGGGAUUUGAUGAUCCAUUAUUUCGUCUAUAAAGCAUAGUGGGUGUGCGGCGCCUCUAUACUGGGCGAUAUCAUGACGUAGCUCCAAUGAGCUGUGUUCGGCCCUGCCGAAUUUGUGGCCGGCGUGACGGUUAGUGUCGGUGUCAAAACCGGCGAAUCUCGGGUAGGGGGUCCCGAACUGUGCGUCUAGGCCGGAUGGUAACAGGAGGCAAGGGACAUGAAGUUUUACCCAGGUUCGGGCCCUCUCGAUGGAGGUAAAACCCUACGUCCUGCUUGAGUAAUAUUGAUGAUAUGGGUAGUACAAGAGUAGAUCUACCAUGAGAUCGGAGAGGCUAAACCCUAGAAGCUAGCCUAUGGUAUGAUUGUUGUUCUGUAUGGUGUAUCGACUAGCAUAGCCCUGGUUUAUAUAAUGCACCAGAGGCCUAGUGUUAACAAGAGUCCUAGCCGAAUAUGCCAGUGGGGAGAAGUCCUUGUCUUGAUCGCCAAGUCUUUGUGGAAUCUUCCUUGUAUGCGGCAGCUGUCUGAACUGGCCCAUGAGUAUACGGCCAUGGGGGGCCUCGGCCCAAUCUAAUAUAUCGGGAGACGACGUGGUGAGUACCCCCUAGUCCAGGACACCGUCAGUAGCCCCCUGAACCAGUCUUCAAGUUAGGGACGCUCCAUGAUUCUUUCGAGAUGUUCUUCAUCUUCGGUCGUCGGUCUUGAAAACUGGUUCAACAAAUCUUCUUUAUCUUUGAUCUUGAGGAUCGCCGAAAUGCAUUCGCCGAGUUUACACGUCGGGUAUCCGAGGAGCCCCUUUAAGUUUCCGGCCUUUACCAAUGCCUUGUUAUGUUUAUGCCACACCUCGGGUUUGAAUUUGUUCCCGGCUGGCAGCGUCCUCUUGCGUCCGAGCUCCAACGCCGGAUUGUAUUCGAGGUAUCUUUUGCAACCGAGCACCAAUGCCGGACCGCUUCCCAGCUCUAACGCCGGAAUGUAUCCGAGCUCCAACGCCGAAUGUAUCCGAGCUCCAACGCCGGACUGUAUAUCCGAGCUCCAACGUCGGACUGUAUCCGAGGUGUCGUAAAUCACCUUGGUUCAAAGAAGUUUGAAGGAGUUUAGCCGAGCUUAAUGCCGGAAAUGCCCUCUAUGGAGCCAGCCACUAGCGCCCGAGCUUUAUGCCGGGCUGCUUCCGAGGUGGUGCACCACCCCGAAUGUGGGCCGAUUUUUGUGAAUAUUUUUUAUUGGUGCAAUUUAUUCUCUGCCGAGAUAUAUAGCCAGUAGCCCUCAAGGUGUGUAUCGGUCUAAAACCCGAGAUGCACCUGAAGGAUGACAUAAGACUGCUGAUCCCAAUAGCCGCUGAGACUCAGGUUGAUUUGCAAAAUGGGCCUGAGGAUCAAGUCCAAGCUCGGCUGAAUACUUCGGGACACUAAAAGCGGUGUGCUCAGUCCUCGAGACUCAGGUUGGGUGCGGCCGACCAACCUGAGGAUCAAAAUCUCCUCGGAAACUAUAUUGCACAUAAAAUUUUCUGCAUUGGACAAGCAAUGCAGUAGCCCCCGAGACACUGGUCGGGUGGUAACACCAGAUCAGGGGAUCAAUGUGCCCCUUUAGUAUUUGUAAAUAAUAAGCCCGAAGCCCAGUAGCCCCCGAGCAUUAAUGCGGGCACGGGUGGCCGAAUUAAGUUUCAAUAUCCAUAGUAAAAUCACAAAUUAUGUGUAAUGACUCUAUGUAUCCAAGUACUUUACGUCAUUAAUGCUCAGAUCCGCAUUGUACAAAACUUUGUUGACCGACCAUCGGCUUCCACCUCCUCGGCCAGUAGCCGAGGAGUGUUUGUCCUACUUUAUAAAGCCUUUAUGAGGGCAAAGAUUUACAACAAACAAGGCAAUCUGGCUAGACGGUUUUAUAAACAAAGGUACGCAGAGAGAUAUAUUACUGUUUAACAGAAGAAAUGUCUUCCAAAGAAAAUAGUCUCGCUAUCGGUUCCUUUCUUUGGGUUGUCAUGCUAAGCAUGAUCAUUAAACCACAGCUCUAAUGUAAGAGCAAAAUAUUGAGGAUUUAGUUUGGGAGGCCAGUUAAUAGCCCCCGGUAGAGUUCGGCGACAAUCGGGGUCAAGCCGUAAACACUUCGGCCAAAGUUAUGAACGGCCCAUCAUUUAACAUAGUCAUCGGAUCGCUGACCAGUUUACGCUUAUUGUGAAAGUCAGUUUUUGGCUUUCUCCACUGAGGUGCUUAACCAUGUGAGCUGGAAGCACAAUCGCAGUGGUUCUCCCUUUGCACGCCUAGCCGAACAAAACGGAACGUAGGAAGCAACUGCAGGAGCCGGGCAACCCAACUAUUGACCGAAGACACAAUUCGAAACCGAUGCAUAUAUAGAAAUAUCUGAGAAUGUUUUUGCCGAAUCCCUAAAGGUGUUCGGCGUUGCACUGCGAGACUAAUGCUGGAAAAGCACAAAUAGUUUAAAAGUGCCAAAAAGCUUGGAAAACCAAGAAACGUCAGUAAAAACAUGACGUCCGAACAAUAUCAAGUGUUCGGUGCCAAUCCGAAAGUUGGUCUUAGAAAAAAGAAGUGUUUCUAUCGUGCUUUAACAUGAUAUAUCCUAUCUCAAGACUUCGAGCGGGUCAGCCUACGGCUUCAACCUCCUAUCCCGAGGGCGGAGUACUUCUCAUCAGGCCAGUUUAGCAAACUAAACUCUAGCGGCUUUGAGAGAGAAAUUAGGCUCCCCGGCUAGUGACCGCACACUCGUGUCGAAAAAAGGUGUGAUAAAUAAUAAUAAAAAAACUUUGCAACGACUAAGAAGAAGAACACUUAUUAUAGAACGGCUCAAAUAAACUUAAGAGCCCCCAAGUGACUUGGGUAGAAGAAUGAUUGCAUGUACCGAAGUACUUAUAUCAUAUCUAUGUUCAACCGAACUUUAAACGCGUCUUGACCGACCGUCAGCUUCUCCCUCUUUAGUCAAGGACUGAAAAGUGUUAUGUACUCCAUCGGUCGAGAAUAUCGACGGUGUUUCCAAUAACCAGGCAAUCAGGCCAUAAGGCUGUAACAAACAAAGCGCGCUCAGGGAACUUAUGCUAUAUUACCGUGAAGUGUAAGAAGCAUCUUCGAAGAAAAUAGUACCCCCACCGAUACCUUUCUUCGGUGCUCAUUGUUAUUAUGAGACUUGUGCAAUAGAUUUUUUGUACUCAUGAGUUCCGAUGUGUGCCGACCAUCAUUGAAAACUAUAAGAGCGCUAGCUUUCGGCUUCACCCAGUCUGAGGUCCGGCUCGGGUGACCCGAUCGUGACAAUCGCAGAGGUGAUCCCUUUACUCCCUAGCCGAACAAUCGGGAGCGUAGGGGUAAACGCAGGAGCGAGGCAACCCAGCUUGCAAAUCGCUUAAGUCAAUAUGGUGCAUAUUGUGGCGUAAUACACGAACAAGGAACGAAGCCGUACAAGUAUAAUCAUUUGCAAGUGGAAAAGCUUCAUAAAGGAAGCCCCCAAAUGAAUUGGGUAUUUGAAUUUAUGCGUCACAAACAAAGUUUGGACAAGGAAAUUUUUUACACGCAACUUUUUUCCAAGAAAGUAUAAUGCUUGGUCGAACCGAACACAAGUUAGAAAUUAAAGCUUUGAGCAUGAAAGCGACUUAGCUGGUUAAUGUGUUCGGUAUUGAUGAUGCGGUUUGAGCUUGAUGUGGGGCAAGGUUCCAUCCCCCAAGCUGGUCCCGAGGUGGUGGAGCGAAGAGCUCGUGUCGGGGGUUUGGUGCGACAUAUGCCAACGGAUGGCUUAUCAUGGUGGCGGCGAGUAGAACAUCGCCGGUGCCUGGAAACGGGAUGAGGCGAAGACAUGCACGCCGGUGAAUCUUACCCAGCUUCGGGGCUCUCCGGGGAGAUAAUACCCCUACUGCUGCUCUGCGUGGUGUCCGCAUGAUCACUAUGGUCAAGAGUUUACACGGUUGCUCCUUGAGCUGUGUCUGGUGGUAGGAGAGGGCAAGGCUAGCUCUCUCCUCCUAUCUGGUAUGGUAUAGAACUACUGGCAUCCAACCCUUUGCAUGGGUGCCCUGGGGGCUUAUAUAGGCCUACCCCCCAGGGGUACAAUGGUAAUUCGACUGGGCGCGGGCCCAGCCGUCAGUGCCUCCGACCUCCGACUUCUCCGCUGACUGCUGGGGCCCGCCGACUGGUGGGCCCCGCCGACUGGUCUGGUACGGAGCCGAUAGGCCGCGUCCGCCGCGGGCGUGUCUUGCCGGCUGCUGAUUACUGUAGUCGUGCUCCUGAUGACGCAAGCUUGGUCAUGGGGUCGUGGCAAUAGCCCCGCCGCCUGGCGGGCCAUCAAUCUGGCCACUCUCCAUCUCUUCUUGAUUAAUGGUGCGUGGGCCCUGGGGAAGGGCUCGGCCGACUCCCCCGGGCCGACUCCCGACGGGUCCGACUGGCGAUUCUCCUGCCGUCUCCCGAGGUCUUGCUGACUGGUGGGCCCCGCUGCCUCCAGGCCGUACAGACAAGCCGUCGUGGGCGCAGGACCCGGUACAGUGGUGCUGAUGUCAGGGCCGGCCGGGUAACAGUGCCAUGCCACAGGGAGGUCUUCCCUAGUACGGCGUGCUGUAGCCAUGCCUACCCUUGGUAAGGGGCGGGGAGUGGGCUUCAUUGUAGCCACGCCCCUGCCCCGUCCCCUUCGAUGAGGUCACGGUUUGUUGGAGUCGCCGGCCGACUCCCCAAAGCCGGCUUCUCUGGAAGUCGCCCCUGGGACUCGGCCGUGAGUGGGCAGUCGGCCAUCUUGCCGUAGACUCCCCAGGAGGCGGCUCUUCGCCCUGUGGUCUUGAGGGGCGCAGCCUACCCCGAUGUCUUGAAAGGUUUGGGGCUCGGGUUGGCCUACCCGUGGCCCAUUACUCCGACAGUAGUCCCCGAAGCUGGUGAGGCACCACGGACGAUCGGCCGAGAAGCCUCAGCAGUUUCUCUUUCCGGGUGCUCAACACAUGGUCUUGAUUGACUUCUGUCGGGCUGACUAGAAGGAGUCGAACUCGCCCAACUCGGACUCCAUCAAUUCCGACUUGCUCAGUAGUUCGAACGUCGCGGCGGGAUUUCAAGUGCCGUGCUAGCUAAGCUUCCAGGCUGCCGCCCGUUCUUGGCCUGUCACGCGAGGGCAUGUGCCAGGCCGUCCUGCCAGCCCACGCGCGCGACGGGACAGGCCCGUAGGCAGGGCCCGCCACUACCACGCCUCGGCGCCCGAGCAGAUCCGCUGCGGCCCCGGUGGACGGUUGGGAUUCCCGUGAAGUUACUACACGCAGUAACUUUACACGGAUCGUGGGGUUGCGGGCACAGUAAAUCCCCACGUCCGCCCCCUCGGCUUCGCAGCCCACGGGGCUAUAAGUAGGGGGAAGAGGGGGGCACGCGUGCCCCUCCUUCCCACUACCCCUUUCUUUCUUCCUCCUCGCAGCUCCUCGCUCUCCUGCUUCCUCUUCUCUUCUUCGCUGCGCCGCACGCCCAGGCUCCGGUGAACGCUGCGGUGACAGCUCGUGAUGAGUUCUUCCUCCACUGCCGCGCCUCCCCCAGUGCGCUCCGGCACCUGGGACGGCUCCGAAGUCCACGAAGACCAUAUCGAGUUCCUCCGCUGGACACGUCGGCUUCCCGGCGAAGAUCGUGUGCAGGUGCGUCUUGCACCGGCGGGGGAGAUUUCCCCCGCCCCGCAGGAGGGCGAGCGGGUCAUCUUUCGCUCGCACUGCCUGCACGGGCUGGGGCUGCCAGCGAGCAGCUUUUUCGGUCGUUCAUGGAGUUCUACCGCCUCUAGCCGCACCACCUCACCCCCAAGAUAGUGGUGCUGCUGUCCGCCUUCGUGGCUCUGUGCGAAGGCUUCCUCGGAGUCCUCCCCACCCUGGAGCUCUGGGGGGAGUUCUUUUUCUCCAAGCUCGGCACCCAGACCGCGGGUGUGCCGGCUCAGUGCGUCGCCUUCAUCGCCGUGCGAAGGACAGGAGCCGACAACCACUUCCCAUCCAUCUCGCUACUGAAGUCGGUGAAGAUGUGGCAGAGGUCCUACUUCUACGUCAGGAACGUCGCCACGAGGGGCGACCGGGUCAAUCUGCCGGCUUUCGAAGCUGGCCCGCCGGCUGGGAGAUUGCCCAACUGGUCGUACUGGGCCAGGUCGCUGACGCCUGCGGUUGCUUGAGGGCAAUGUUGACGUUGAGCCCCCGAGCUUCAUAGAUGAUUCCUCCGUGAUCUUGAUAGAGAUCGGAGUUGAUGUUUGAUGAAGGCCCUCGUCCGAACAUGGUGAUCCGAACACGGGGUGAAAUUCUUGGUCGAACCAAGGUGACCAGUCGAACUGGUGACGAAGACGCCGAAGUCGCAGUUGAUCUACAGGCGAGCCAUCGAUCCUUUUGUCGAUCAUACAGCGGAACUCUCAAUGAAAGCACCAAUGUCCGUGUCAAAACCGGCGGAUCUCGGUUAGGGGGUCUCGAACUGUGCGUCUAGGCCGGAUGGUAACAGGAGGCAAGAGACACGAAGUUUUACCCAGGUUCAGGCCCUCUCGAUGGAGGUAAAACCCUAUGUCCUGCUUGAUUAAUAUUGAUGAUAUGGGUAGUACAAGAGUAGAUCUACCACGAGAUCGGAGAGGCUAAACCCUAGAAGCUAGCCUAUGGUAUGAUUGUUGUUCUGUAUGUUGUAUCGACUAGCCUAGCCCUGGUUUAUAUAAUGCACCAGAGGCCUAGUGUUAACAAGAGUCCUAGCCGAAUACGCCGGUGGGGAGAAGUCCUUGUCUUGAUCACCAAGUCUUUGUGGAAUCUUCCUUGUAUGCGGUAGCUGUCCGAACUGGCCCAUGAGUAUACGACCAUGGGGGGCCUCGGCCCAAUCUAAUAGAUCGGGAGACGACGUGGUGAGUACCCCCUAGUCCAGGACACCGUCAGUUACCUUCUCGAGCCGUGGGGCGCCCACGCGAUCCGUAGAUCGAGCGUGUUUGCCUUGCCUUGUCCUCCAACAUGUCUCGUAAGUCCGGCGCAUAUUCUCGUGCCUUGAUACGGGGUGCGGCUUGAGUGGAGGGCCGGGAGGCCUCUCUGUCGCGGCCAUGAGGUGGCCGGUCGGCCGCAUCAAGUGCUUCCUCCUCUAACCGGGGUAGCAACCUGUGCUUUGGGUAGCUCUUGGAGGGGCGUUCGAGUUUAUGCUCUUCGGCCGCAAGGACUUCAGUCAAUCUGUCGACCAGCAAAUCUUGAUCAGCUCUAAGUUGUUGCUUUUUUUUCUUGAGGCUUCUUGUCGUGGCCAUAAGCCUGCGUUGAAAAUACUCUUGCUCGACGGGAUCCUCUGGCAUGAUGAAUUCAUCGUCGUCGAGGCUUGCCUCGUCUUCGGAGGGAGGCAUAUAAUUAUCGUCCUCGACCUCUCUGUCUGCCGCUCUCUCAUGAGGGUUGGUUUCUCCAUCCUCCUGUGCUAAGUCUUGCUGGAGGGGGUUUUCUUCGGCACUUUCCGGAGUAUUAUUAUCUCCCAUGCUGGAAUCGCCGUAUUUGUUUUGGCGGGAUUUUGAGCGGCUCCGCUGACGCCGGCGCUUACUCUGUUUCUUGGAGGGAUCCUCCUCCGCUGUUCCAUCGCCAUCUCCCUCUUUUGGGGUGUCCACCAUGUAUAUGUCAUAUGACGAGGUGGCUUUCCAGGGCCUAGUAGGCGCUGGUUCUUCAUCAUCUCCUUCAUCGGCAUCCAUACCGUCGAUGUCUUCGGUGUCGAAGUCGAGGAUGUCGGUUAAGUCGUCGACAGUGGCUACAAAGUGGGUGGUGGGUGGGCUUUGAAUUUCUUCAUCGUCCGUACCCCAACCUUGCUGACCGUAGUCCGGCCAGGGCUCUCCUGAUAAAGAGAGAGACUUCAGUGACUUCAGGAUAUCGCCGAAAGGCGAGUGCUGAAAGAUGUCCGCGGCAGUGAACUCCAUAAUUGGCGCCCAAUCGGAGUCGAUUGGCAGGGACGUGGAGGGUUCGGAGUCCGGCUCCUUGGAGUCACGAGUCUCGUAGAGUACGGGGCUAGUGUUCGGCUCAAUCACCAUUGGGGUCGCAGCCCCCGGGGUGGCGUCCAACCGCCCAUCCUCGAUCGGCGCAGUUGGCUCCGAAUUAAGGGUUGGAGCCGAUGCGGGUGCGGCCUCCAGGGCACUGUUCGGCGGCAGAGCUAGAUCAUGCUCGUCAUGACAGUGCGGCGCGCUCGGCAGUGGCUCGAAUCCGUCGAAGAUCAAGUCCCCGCGGAUGUCCGCCGUGUAGUUUAAACUUCCAAAUCUGACCUGACGGCCAGGGGCGUAGCUUUCCAUCUGCUCCAGACAGCCAAGAGAAUUGGCCCGCAGUGCGAAGCCGCCGAAGACGAAGAUCUGUCCGGGGAGGAAGGUCUCACCCUGGACUGCAUCGCUAUCGAUGAUCGUAGGAGCCAUCGAGCCUGACGGCGACGACACAGAGGAACUCUCAAUGAAAGCACCAAUGUCGGUGUCAAAACUGGCGAAUCUCGGGUAGGGGGUCCCGAACUGUGCGUCUAGGCCGAAUGGUAACAGGAGGCAAGGGACACGAAGUUUUACCCAGGUUCGGGCCCUCUCGAUGGAGGUAAAACCCUACGUCCUGCUUGAUUUAUAUUGAUGAUAUGGGUAGUACAAGAGUAGAUCUACCACGAGAUCGAAGAGGCUAAACCCUAGGAGCUAGCCUAUGGUCUGAUUGUUGAUGUGUAUGUUGUCCUACGGACUAAAACCCUUCGGUUUAUAUAGACACCGGAUAGGGUUAGGGUUACAUAGAGUCGGUUACAAUGGUAGGAGAUCUACAUAUCCGUAUCGCCAAGCUUGCCUUGCACGCCAAGGAAAGUCCCUCCCGGACACGGGACGAAGUCUUCAAUAUUGUAUCUUCAUAGUCCUGGAGUCCGACUGAAGGUAUAGUCCGGCUAUCCGAACACCCCCUAAUCCAGGACUCCUUCAGCCGUCAUCACGGAGGGCUUCUACAUCAUCAUCGCCCCUCCGAUGAAGUGUGAGUAGUUUACCUCAGACCUUCGGGUCCAUAGUUAGUAGCUAGAUGGCUUUUUCUCUCUUUUUGGAUCUCAAUACAAAGUUCUCCCCCUCUCUUGUGGAGAUCUAUUCGAUGUAAUCUUCUUCUUUUUGCGGUGUGUUUGUUGAGAUCGAUGAAUUGUGGGUUUAUGAUCAAGUCUAUCUAUGAAUAAUAUUUGAAUCUUCUCUGAAUUAUUUUAUGUAUAAUUGGUUAUCUUUGCAAGUCUCUUCGAAUUAUCUGUUUGGUUUGGCCAACUAGAUUGGUAGUUCUUGCCAUGGGAGAAGUGCUUAGCUUUGGGUUCGAUCUUGCGGUGUCCUUUCCCAGUGACAGAAGGGGCAGCAAGGCACGUAUUGCAUCGUUGCCAUCGAGGAUAACAAGAUGGGGUUUAUUUCAUAUUGCAUGAAUUUAUCUCUCUACAUCAUGUCAUCUUGCUUAAAGUGUUACUCUGUUUUUAACUUAAUACUCUAGAUGCAUGAUGGAUAGCGGUCGAUGAGUGGAGUAAUAGUAGUAGAUGCAGAAUCAUUUUGGUCUACUUUUCACGGACGUGAUGCUUAUAUACAUGAUCAUGCCUAGAUAUUCUCAUAACUAUGCUCAAUUCUGUCAAUUGCUCAACAGUAAUUUGUUCACCCAUCGUAGAAUACUUAUGCUCUUGAGAGAAGCCACUAGUGAAACCUAUGGCCCCCGGGUCUAUUCUCUUCAUAUCAAUCUCCAUCACUUUAAUCUUGCUUUGCUUUUUUACUUUGCCUUUUACUUUUCACUUUGCAUCUCUAUACCAAAAAUAUUAUAUCUAUUAGAUCUCACUCACAUAAGUGAUCGUGAAGGGAUUGACAACCCCUAAUCGCGUUGGUUGCGAGUAGCUAUCGUUUUGUGCAGGUACGAGGGACUUGAGCGUGGCCUCCUACUAGAUUGAUACCUUGGUUCUCAAAAACUGAGGGAAAUACUUACGCUACUCUGCUGCAUCAUCCUUUCCUCUUCGGGGAAAUCCAACGCAAGCUCAAGAGGUAGCAAUAAGGAUUUCUGGCGCCGUUGCCGGGGAGUCUACGCAAAAAGUCAAUAUACCAAGUACCCAUCACAAUCCCUAUCUCUCGCAUUACAUUAUUUGCCAUUUGCCUCUUGUUUUCCUCUCCCCCCAAUUCACCCUUGCCGUUUUAUUUGCCCUCUCUCUCUAUCCUCCCUCUCUGUUUCCUUUUUCCCUCGCCAUGUCAGAACCAAAAAGAGUUGGGGGUUUUCUCCCAAGUUCUAGUGCUUUAGACAGUCCUGCUAUCUUAUCUAAACUUAUAAAUCGGAAUGCUAUAGAACAACUUGCCGGAGUUAUCAAUGAGAACCUUAGUAAUUUUGAUGAAGAUGAUUCUGGAAUUUUCCGUUAUUUACUUGAUGAAUCUUUGAAAGAUUCUUGGGAUAGGUUGUUAAGGAUUCGGGCUAGCUAUGUACCCCAAUAUCAAAUUGAGGUUUACUUAAAAAGCUUUUAUGUUGGGCUGCCCGCUUCGUUCAAACAAGUUUUAGAUUCUAUUUGCGAGGGGGGUUUUCUUGAAGGGGACCCCAUAGAUACCUAUGAAAGGAUGAAAACUAUAUUUGGGCACCCCAUUAAUGAGAAAACUGAAAUCACAUCCCUCUUCCGGUGGAGCACCGGAAGAGGCCCCAAGAUGGGAUCUCGUGGAUAUAGAAAGUUGCGGCGGUGGAAUUAGGUUUUUGGCUCCCCUUCUGAUCGUUUGGGGGUACGUGUGUAUAUAUAGGAGGAAGAAGUACGCCGGAGGAGCAACGAGGGGCCCACGAGGCAGGGGACGCGCCCUAGGGGGGGCGCGCGCCCCACCCUUGUGACCGCCUCUUUUGUUCCUUGGAGCAGGGUCCAAGUCUCCUGGAUCACGUUCGGUGAGAAAAUCACGUUCCCGAAGAUUUUAUUCCGUUUGGACUCCGUUUGAUAUUCCGUUUCUUCGAAACACUGAAAUAAGCAAAAAACCGCAAUUCUGGGCUGGGCCUCCGGUUAAUAGGUUAGUCCCAAAAAUAAUAUAAAGUGGAAAAUAAAGCCCAAUAUAGUCCAAAACAGUAGAUAAUAUAGCAUGGAGAAAUCAAAAAUUAUUGAUACAUUGGAGACGUAUCAACCAUGAAUAAAAUGUGAACCACCAUCAGUCAUUAAAUAUCUAGGGACUCCGAAAAAUAACUCACUACAAAAAAAUACACUUCUGUGAUGAUACGUGUUUGUCACAGUAGGUCGCGUUUUCUGUCAUGCAUGUACAUCCAUGACAAAUUUAUGACAGAAUCAAGAUAGACAUACCUGUGCUGUCGUAGAAGUGUUCCAUGACAUUACCAAAAUUAUCAUCACGGAAGUGUCCACUUCCAUGACGAUAAAUCUCGCGUCACAGAAGUGCUUUCGUCAUGGGUGAUCGACACGUGGCAUCCACCGUAACGGAACACCGUUAAGCUAUCGGGUCGGGUUUUGGAUCCGAUAACCCGUUAACAGCCCCGACCAAUGGGGAUUUUCCACGUGUAAAAUCAUCAUUGGCUGGAGGAAACACGUGUCGUCUCAUCAUUGGGACAGAUGUCAACCACUCAUUGGACGGAAGGCGCCUAUGAUACGUCGACACGUGGCACGGACCAACAGAGGUCCAUUCCUGUGAAAAGGCCGGCCCGUUUGACUUGGUCAAAAGCUAGCGGGCCGGCCCAUGGAAAGCCUGUUAACGGCAUGUCCGAAUAUAGCCCAUUUACAGCCCGCUAACCCAAGGCCCGUUACACCCUAUUCGUAUUAGGCCCAGUAGCGUCAUCUGGGCCAUCCAAUAUGAUUCCAGCCCAUUUUCACUUCUGGCCCAUGUAUGGCCCAUGAUGUUUUUCGGCCCAUAUGAGGCCCUAUGUAACUCUUGGCCUACUAACGGCCCAUGGUGAAACUGGCCUGUAAUGAAUAGUGUAUCACUUUACACCCAUUAACGGCCCGUGGUGAAACUGGCCCGUAAUGAACAGUGUAUCACUUUAUACCCAUUAACGGCCUGUUAUUCCGUUGGGCCGUUUCCAGCCCAUGUUAUCUUUCGGCCUUCUCAGAGCCCAUUUAUUCUUGGGCUCAUUUUCAGCAUUCGUUUACUUACGGCCCGUUGUUGUCAUUUUCUGCUUGUGGGCCAAAUUCAGCCCGUGGUUACAGUCGGCUCAUUUGUGGCCCGUUAAUAUGUUGGGCUGACUUCAUAGCGUCAUCAAAUACGGCCUAUUAACGAUGGCCCGUUAUGGUCGGCCCAUGAAUGGACGAUUCCAUCUCUAGCCCGUUUACGGCCAUAAUGCGGUCUGUUUGGCCCAUGUUUGGCCAAUCGAUUAUACGGCCCGUAUAAGGCCCAUUGAUAAUACGGCCCGUAGAAGGCCCAUUGUUUCUACGGCCCGUAGAAGGCCCACUGUUUCUAUGGCCAGUAGGAGGCUCAGUGUCACUACAGUAAAUAUUAGCCCAUGGUUAUUGUGGCCUAGUUUUAAAAAAUAGGUUAUUGCAGCCACUAGCUAACCGCGGAAAAAGAACUGCAAUGACUACAAGCAAACAAAUAAACAAGACAACAAGGAAAUAAAUAAGCAAGCAACUAAUGCUAGGCUUCAUGGCUAUUACACAUAAUACAUCCACUGGGCAUCAAAGUUCGCCACCAGUGCAAAUAUAGGGAACAAAGCAGCAUAUCAUAUACACUGGUUGUCAAAGUUGGUGACCAACGCAAAUAAAUGCCGCAGCAAAACAAAUCCAGAACUGAAACCACUUCAGAAGAUAUCAAGAAACAAUAUCCUGGGUACCCAUAAUGCUGGCAGGAUACUUAGCAAGCUUAUUAAAUUUCUCUUGUUUGGCGCUUAAAUCCUCUAGCGCUUGCUGUUGCACCAGAAAAUAUGCAUCUGAAUUCUGCAGCGACUUCCUCAGUCCUUCAGCUUCCUGUCGCAGCACAUCUGAUCGAUGUCUUUGAACUUGAAGUUGAGACUCAAGAAGACGAACUGAUUCAAGCAGCGAGUUUGAAGAGCUUGUGCCAGCAGUAGUGGCCAGUAACUCGAACACUACAUCAAGACAGGACUUUUGGGUUCCCUCACCGUCUUCAAGAUAGUUUUUAUCAGCUUUCUUGGAGACCAACAGGGAUGUCUCACUAUCUUGAACCUUAUCUGUAUUACUUCCUUUACCAUUGGAUAACGCGCUACUGUUCUCCAAUAUUUUGUCCGCAUUCUAAAAGAGAAACAAGCAGACACAUCAUAUGUUUACCACGCGGCAUCGGAGUGAAGUGUAGCUAAAUCGGAGCAGCAUCGCAAGCAAUAGCAAGAGCGAGAGCAGCAGCGUGGGCAAGAGCAAUAGCAAGACCAGACCAGGCAGGGGACCGAGAGCAAGAGCAGAGCAGCAGCGCGAGCGAGAGCUAAAGCAGCAGCAGGUCCUACUGAUGUGGACGUCGCCGCCGAGGGAGCGACACCGUGGAGGAAGUGGCCGGUGAUGCCGCCGUGGAUGGAGCCGCGCCAUGUCGGCUCGGGACCGAGCGCCGGCAGCACCGUGAGAUCGAAUCAAGAAGAAAAUGCGACGAUUAGUGUACAACCUCUUUGGUGGCGCCGAUUAGGCCGCAACUUCAUCUGAGGAAACGGUGAUGAUGAUGCUCUUCCGGUGGUGCAGGUGAAGACGGUGGUGUGGGAAUGGAGGUGGCGCGAAAGACGAGGGGAACAUCGGGGCAGCUCCUUGGAGGUGGAGGACGGGGUGGCUGAACCGACAGGACGAUGAGAUCAAUGACGGAUCCUCAUCCGGUACGGUGGAUGAGGGACGUCGAGGUGUUGCUGUGGACGACGUCGUCGGGGAAGAGGCUCCGGCUGGGUGGCAGACGGAGCAGGGUGUGGGGUUUUGUCACGGGUUUUCGCGGCCUCGGUGUACGAAUGGGUGGACGGAUGGGAUGGUAGUGGGGAACCAUGGCUUAGAGACGCGCUUGUCCGAAAUGUGGGGUAAGUUACGGAAGUACCCCCACCGAUUUGAGGUGGUUCUUUCGGUUCAGGGGUACCACGGGCAUUUCGUGUGUCGGGAUUUCACAGGAGGUGGGAGUUUUCACACUCGUUGUAAUUUCGGAAUAGCAAGGCGCGGGUUGAUAUGGAAGGAGUUGUCGGAGCACAACGAGACAAAAAUAUAUCUUAAAUAUUUCGGGCUAAUAAGGCGCGGGUUGAAAUUUCCGGACAAGCCUAACGUGUAUUGUACCAAAUCAAUGUGCCCUACAAAUGUCAUUCAAAACUUUGAAUUCAUGUUAUGUUAAAUUAAAAUAUUUCGCUACGUGUAUAAUGCAUGCAACCUACUACUCAAAUGAACGUUUUAGUGCAUUCCAAACCUAUAUACUACCGCUUCAAUAUGAACUAAAUUUGAAUUCGUCUCUCUAUUUGAAUAAGAUCUACAAUAAUGAUUGUUGUGAAGUCAAAGCAUUUGAAUUCGUUUCUCUGUUUUAAUAAGAUCUACAAUCAUCAUUAUUGUCAAGUUAAACCAUCAUUUGUGUAUUAUCUUCACAGCACACCACAUGAUUAGUCUCGAGUUACAUAUGAACUAUGUGUACUAUAUGAACUCGAACUAAAUUUUUUGAAUCCACUUUAUUUUGAUUUGAAAUCACAUUACAUUUCUAGCUCUAGCUAGAUCUUCAUAAUCUAAACCAUGUAUCAUAUGUAUAAUGUGUUUAUCACAUUAUGUAUGGUGCCCCGCCCCCUACGCCUACAAGUAUUUAGAUGUGAGUUGCAAACACCACACAUUACCACAAAUUCAAAUAAAAUGUGAGAAUGUUCGAUAUAUAGUAUUGUUUAGAUUGUUCCAUAUUUAGUUGUAAGCUGCAAACGCCACACAUUAUCACAAAUUCAAAUAAAAUGUGAGAUUGUUUGAUGUAUAGUAUGGUUUAGAUUGUUCGGCAUUUAGCCGUGAGUUGCAAACGCCAUGCAUUAUCACAUUAUGGUAUACCGUGUGCACCACACGUGUAUCACCGCUAUAUUCAUGCAUGCAAUGUUUAAAACACUAUGAUCUCCUAUUCAAAUAUAUGAAUCCACUUCCAUAUCAAAUUAUGAUCUUUGUUAGUCUCUUACACCCACACAAUCCUCUAACCUUUGUAGCUACCACUAACUUUCUCUCGUGCAUGCACAUGCCCUCCUCGCCCCCCUCCCUCGGCAUUCUAUCCACCGGGCACAUUCAUUUUUUUUCUUUAGGUCGUUCUCCCAGAGUCUCCACAACUCCUUUCCGACACACACCACCGAUAGAUAAACUUCUCCAGCGAUGCCUGCCUACAACAUACAAACACACCUUCAAUCUCCUCCUAGGAGGUGGUUUGCGGUUUAUCCUUUUCUAUCUCUCUAUACAAAUUUUCUAACGUGCACUGCUGUACUACAACUAAAUCAAAUUUACUGAAUAUUACGUAUGUAGAAUUCCAAAAUAUCUGUCUAUGAAUUAAUGCACAAACUUCUAAGUGUCAAGAUGUUGAUUCUAUCCAAUUUUGGUAUUAGUUAUCUUAUAUUUAUUGAUCUUUGUAUUGCUGCUCAAUGUUCUAAGCAUGGAUAUAAUGACUCUGUCUCAUUUUGUUAUUAUUGCCAUGUAAAUGUUGUCUUUACCCUUUUAUUUUGUAUAGUAAGUACAUUUGAUUGAGGCUAAUAUCCUGUUACUUGACAUGGCAGUGACUAUCUCUUUAAGCUUCUGCUUAUCGGAGACUCAGGUGUUGGCAAGUCAUGCCUCCUCUUAAGAUUUGCUGUAAGAGUCCCUAUCUAAAGCAUGAUUUGUUCACUAUCUUUUAUAGGUCUUCCUUUUUUUAAUAUGCAUCUUCAUCUUAAAAGUUUGAUAUAAGUUUUCUUCGGGAUAUCAUGGAAACUGUAAAAAAAAAUUAGGCUCAGUAAACUGUAUGAUUUCCCACUACUUAAUACGAAUGAGGAGUUCAUUGUUGGUAGCUACUGUUUCUUAACAACAUGGAGAUGAUCCCUAUAACAAUCUUGUUGUUACUAGUUAAUUUACUCUGACCUCCUUAAUAUCGACUCUUUUGGCAGGAUGACUCAUACCUGGAGAGUUAUAUCAGUACUAUUGGUGUUGAUUUUUGUAAGUAUAUUUAGUUUCUUGGUCUGAGUGUUAAUGUUCUGGCUACCUUAAUUGAACUUGUAGUUUUGUUUUCUUCCAACUUUGUCGAUAGAAAAUACGUACCGUGGAGCAAGAUGGAAAGACUAUGAAGCUGCAAAUCGUGAGUCCAUUCUUUCUUUCAUUAUGUCCAGUAUGCAUGUACCAUCAAAUCCAGAUUGUACAUCGAAUCCAGAUUUGACAAAAUAGAAGACUUUAUCGGGAAACAUUUCAUUUAUAGCCCUCUUCUGUUUUGUGGAGUUUGCUGGAUUUUCCCUUUGCAUAAUAUAGCAUGCCGUUAUUCAUCAGUAUUUAUGUGGUUGUUAGUUGAGGCCAGUUUAUAGGAAACAGAAACUCCACUACUCCCUCCUUCCAUCUAUAUAGGGCCUAAUGUGUUUUUCGAGGCUAACUUUGACCAAAUACUAGAGCAAUAAUAUAUGACAUGCAACUUACACAAAGCACACCGUUAAAUUCGUGUGUGAAAAGAGUUUUCAAUGAUAUAAUUUUCACAUUGUGCAUGUCAUGUACUAUUAAUCUUGUCAAUAGUCAAAGGCGGUCCUAAAAACACAUUAGACCCUAUAUAGAUGGAAGGAGGGAGUAUGGCUGAAUAUGUAGGCAGUUGCACAACCCCCUUUUACCUUUUGGUUUUUUUAGUUCCAUCCAUUUAAAUUACCGUUGAACAUAAAGAAUAAGAGUAGUUUAGCCCAUUAAAUUAAAUGUUAUAAAGUUUCUUAGUUCGCAUAAAGAAUCGCACUUUCAAGAUGUUUUUAGAUACCAAAGUGAUGCCCAUUUUGAACAUCAUAUUUUUUUUCAAAAAUGGGGGCUCCCCGGCCUCUGCAUCAUUUGAACAUCAUAUUUAAGGGCCUGAUAGUAUGUCAUUUAAAUACUUGGGUGGUACGGUAGCUCAUGUUGCACCUACUGUUGGCAUUUGGCGAUUCUUCCUUCCUUUUGUGUGACACAUUACAUUUAGUGAUGCAAGAUAUCCUUUUCCUUUUCUUUAAACCCCUCUUUGGUACCUUUGUUUUUAUCAGUGGGACACUGCUGGGCAAGAACGCUUCAGAACUAUUUACUAGCGGCUACUAUCGAGGGGCUCACGGGAUCAUUGUAAGUUUGUUUAUGUGAAAAUCUUAUUUUUAUUUUUCACAUGCUAUUUAACAUGCAUAAAUGUCCACAUUUUUAUAUAUUUUGAAUACAUAUAUACAAAUGGGGUUGCAGAUUGUCUAUGACAUGACAGACCAGGACAGCUUCAACAAUGUGAAGCAGUGGUUGAACGAGAUUGAUCGCUAUGCUAGUGAGAAUGUUAACAAGCUUCUUGUAGGGAACAAAUCUGAUCUCACUGACAAAAGAGUUGUAUCAUAUGAGACAGUGAAGGUACCUUAUGCUUUACUCAUAUCUGCUAAAGCAUUCUUUCUGCUCUUUGUGUUCACGUUUGGUGUAUGCAGGCAUUUGCUGAUGAGAUUGGCAUCCCAUUCAUGGAGACCAGUGCAAAGAAUACCUUGAACGUUGAGCAGGCUUUCAUGGCUAUGUCUGCUUCAAUCAAGGACAGGUGUGUGUUCCCAGACGGUUUAAUUAGCACAGGCCAUCCUACUAGUCCACUUUUUUUUAACUACCAUCAUUUUACACUUUAUUUACUGCUCAUUGAUGCUCUGUUCCUGUAGUACUCCCUCUGGUCCUUUUUACUCCCCACAUUAGCUUUGUCUGAAGUCAAAGUUUGCUAAGUUUGACCAAAUUUAUAUUAAAAAAUAUUAACAUCUAUAACAUCUAAUAAAUAUAAUAUGAAAAUAUAUUCCGAGAUGGAUCUAAUAAUAAAUGCGUUGUUAUGUGAAUGUUAAUAUUUUUUUUGUAUAAACUUGAUCAAAGUUGGAUGAGAUUGACUUCAGACAAACCUAAUAUGUAGAGUAAAAAGGACCGGAGGGAGUAUCAUAACCAAAAUUGCCCUACACUCUUUAGCAUGUUGCUGUUAAUUGUUCUAUGUUAUUCCUCACGGUGUUGUUCUAUAUACACCUCAUAGAAAGAGCAUAUAAUUAUGAAUAAAAAUCUUGGUUUCCAGGAUGGCGAGCCAGCCGGCUGCAAACAGCGCUCGCCCAGCGACGGUGCAGAUACGCGGGCAACCUGUCGAACAGAAGACGAGCUGCUGCUCUUCUUGAAAUGCAGGCAGCCGUCAUCCGUGUUACCCAAAUGGAGACGCAAACUUGGCCGCGCCAUCCUUGAGUCCAUGCUUCUACAUAGGCCUACUACAUCUUACACCUUCAUUCCAUUCUUUCUAGUGUACUUAUUAGCUCUUGAAUCGUUGGACUUGUAACACCGGACGGAGUUUGGAGACAGUAUCUUCUUCUAGUUGUGUAUCUUGAAUGGUUAUAUGUUACGAUUUGCAGCUGUUGCUUUUCUUCCCUAAAUUUAAGGCGAUUUCUACUUUUACUUGAUCAAAUUGUCCCGUUC
rnacentral:lncRNA from 1 species